AUAUAUCCUAUGAUCGAAUGUUUUUUCUCCUCCCUGUGUGCUCAAAAGGGAAACUUGGGGUUAACUAGGCGUUUUUAAGUUGUGUAUCGUGAUAUCUAAACCCAGAUGCAGGUCAUGGUCGUCCAUGUUGAUUUAUCUGUUUUCAUGUCCAUAUAGUGCAUAUGCCUUCAAAUUUUGAGUUCUAAGCUGGUUAUACUUAUAAGUCGGUAUCUGAGUUUGCUAUUUCUUUUGCCUCCUCCCCUACAAAUAGGGCGAUCGAUUGAGACAAAACGUCUUAGAAAAGAUCCAAACGCACCAAGUCCAGACCAUCUCAUUAUUGGAAGACAAGAUUGUGCAUAAACUCCGAUCAAAGGAAGCUGAAAUGGAAAGCAUCAACAAGAAGAAUUUGGAACUAGAGGACAGGAUGGAACAGAUCACUGCGGAAUCAGGGGCUUGGGAGCAACGAGCGAGAUUCAACGAAAACCUGAUAAGCGCCCUAAAGUCGAAUCUCCAUCAAGUUUAUGUUCAAAGUAGGGACAGUAAAGAAGGAUGCGGGGACAGCGAGGUGGAUGACACAGCUUCAUGCUGUAACGGACCUGGGAUUGAUUUCCAGAUACUUGCCAAAGAGAAGAAGGAGAUGAAAGAGGGGAUGACGUGUAAGGUUUGCAGAGUGAAGGAGGUAUGCAUGCUUCUAUUGCCGUGUAAGCAUCUCUGCCUUUGUAAAGAGUGUGAAAGUAAGCUUAGCUUCUGUCCACUGUGUCAGUCGUCCAAGUUUCUUGGUAUGGAAGUCUACAUGUAACUGAAAAGACUACGGAUAUCUUUCUUGACUGAUUAAUCCAUACAUAUUCAUACUACGACGUUUUGCCCACUUUCUGCCACCGACUAGUGACUACAGCCUAACCCAUUGAGUUUUUGAAUCCAAAUGUCAUUACUAAUAGAUCAUUGGAGAUCCAAAUCCAAUAGAACCAAAUAGUUCAUAAUUUAUUGAUUCUUGGUGGUGGUGGAGUAAGAAAUUAUUAAGAAUUCGUUUGAUUUUUUUAUUUGGGAGAGAAUUGGUGGGAUAAGUGAUUUUGAAAAUAUUUUGUUUGAUUUUUAAAAAUGGUGGAGAUUUGAAAUCAUCAUAUAUGGUUUUAUGGUGAUUUGAAAAGUGAUUUGAAAUUAUCAUGAGUUUGAUAUAAUUUAAAGAUAUCAAGAAUGAUUUGGACACAAUGACAUAUUAACCAAAUUAAAACUAAGUAAUUACAACAAUAUCAUUAAAAAUAUGAAGAAUUGAGAAGACUAAUUUUAGAACUAGAGGACAAUCUCAUUUUUUAUUUUUUUUGAUGAAUAUAGUAUUGUUAUUCAUCAAAAAGCAACGUCCGCAAAACGCUAGACGUGAGAGUUCGGUACAAGACAUAAUCUGUAAGCCUAGUACAAAAGAAUAUAGGAGGACAAAACUCUAGUUCAUAACAUUCAAGCUAUAUCUCUCAAGAUCCCAUGGGUUAACAUCAAGGCUGGUAUGCUCUUCAUGCUCUAUUGAAUCGAUUUCAAUACUCCAGAAACAACAAGAGAUGUCUGUUGUAAUACCCCAGUUUGCAGUAUGAUCUCUAGUUAUCAAUCUCUCUUUGAUUGCACGCCAAACUAUAAAAGAGUGUUUUGGAAUUGCUGGAUUUUUCCAAACAACUACACACCAAUGAACUAAAGGUUCUAUAAUCCGAAUAGUUUUCCAGACCAAGGAAAACGAAUACUUGGGCAUUUGGCAUCCAUUCCAAAGAGGGAUACCAUCUGAACUCGUGGAGAUGUAGGAAAGGACUUGGUCCCUGACCUUAAGAAUUCUUUUCCACGUCCAAGAUUGAUACAGAGCACCACCGCACUCCCAGAUAGUCUGAUUUUUAUUCUAUACUUCUGGAUCCAUGCUACUGACUAUGAGCUUGCCUGCAUCAAAAUAUUCCACAAAUGCCUUGCAAUACAAGCAUGAUUCAAACCAUUAAAUUUCUAAUCCCAAGACCACUCUCCUUUCUUGGAAGAGCAACAUGCUUCCAAUCAAUUUUAACCGUUCUUUUCACCCCUUCCUUAACCUCCCAAAGAAAAUUGCUACAAACUUUGUUGACCCCUUUGAUGACUGCUUUGGGAAGAAAGAAGAUAGACAACCAAUAUUGAUUAAGAGCACUUAACACAGUCUUAAUCAAUUGCAAUCUACCCACAUAAAUCUAGUCUUUUAUUAAAUAAGUCAAUUUAAUUUUUUUUAUUUGAAAUGCUAGAAUUACUCUUAAUUUUAGAAAACAAAUAAGAUAUUUAUGAAAUCACUAGCUAUUUCAAAUCACCUUCUUCCAAAUCUCAAAUUCAAACGACCAUUCAUCGUUUAUUUUAGGAAUUGGGUAGGGAUUGAGUCUUAGGAAUUAGAUGUGAAUCGAAUUUUAGGAAAUGGGUUUGGAAUUUUGAUAACUAGGUCGAGACAAUUUUUGGAAUUAGAUACAUACCAAUACCAUAUUUUGGAAAGACAAUUUUUUUAGGAACGAUUAAACCGAAAAUUACAUUGAUAGUCAAUGUGAAACGUAAAUUACACAGACUUACCAUUGGAGGCACCUAGAACGUGCGAUGUACCCGAGGAUGCGCCGUGCGUUAUAGAGAUCCUCCAAUUUCUAUAUUAUAAUGGUUGUUACCUGACCGUUACAAUAUAGCCGUUGGAGGGCCCCCUAGAACGCACCGGACAUCAAACUUGCAUAAAUUGAAAUAAUCAAAGUAUCAAUAGUUCAUCGAGAAACACCUAGGGUUCAUCUAAUCUAAGUAAGGAGGAUUUUAUCUACUCAUAAUCAUGAAGAACAAGGCGAAAUCAACAAAGGAAAACAUUGAAAUCGGAUUCACAAGAAAAAACCUAAUUCUGUGAGAACCAUCGAAGAAAUCAAUCUGCCUAUCUUGAUAACGUCGUCGUCGAUCCAAACUCCUUGAAGUCGAUGUCUUGUCGUUACUAAAAAUUCUCUAUCCCAAAUUUCGCCUAAAAGACCCACUCCUUCAAAGAAUGAAAAACUAGUCUUUAAUAGGAAAGAGUUCCUUGUUGGGCAAAGAGUUUGACUUUUUGCCUCUAAAUAGUUGACCGUCAUGCUGAUCUCCUAUCGACAGUUCUAGACCAAAAUAUUGAGAGUUUUGGCCGAAGUUAAUUUCACCAAAGUUGUAGGAAAUUUAACUAGAUUUCCAAUGCCACAGGUCUUGGAUCAAUUGGACUUCUAAGCAAGGACUUAUGCAUAAUACUAACCUGUCAUUUUCUUUUCAAGUUGAGAUCUUGCGCUUCUUGGGCUUUUUAAGUUGUCCCGACAUGUCCAAAUGCUUCACAUUUUUUUCCUAUACCAUCCACACAAGCCAUAUCACUUCGAUUAAUGCCUCAAUGUCGUCAUGUACCUGAAAUCUAUAAAAAACACUGCAAAACGACAUCAAAUGGCCCACGAACAGGUCAGAGACACUAAAUCGACAUAUUAUAUUAAAAUGCAUAAAACAUCAUAAUCUUCUACCCAAAGUAAUAUAAUUAUGCAUGAAAUAUAACUGAAAUGAGGGCGAUCAAUGUGGCAAAUCUAGCGUCAUCAUAACUAUUUUUCUCAAAACAUCGGAGUUGAGUAUGUCGGUGGUCACUGUCGGAGGGUGGAGAUAAGUUCAACACCGACGUACGCCCGAUCGAUUACUCUGUUUCUUCAAAAAAUGAAGAUCCCUGAGGCUCCGAUCCUCCACAACAUAUAUUAUCUUCAUCCUAUGAUGGUCGGUGCUAGUAUCUCGGAGUAUUGCCUCCGACCAGGCACCGAUGAAGAUUUUCCAGGCGUUCAACAACUUGGAGCUGUAUUUCGAGUUUGACUAUGCCAUCGAGAUAGAUAUUGGUUUUGUUGGUUGAUAAGGCUAGAAUUUGUACCAAUUAUCUAUCCUUAUAUGCAUGUUUUUUGAGUGAUUAUUAGUUUGUUCGAGCUUCAUUCUCGUGUGAUGUCGUGUUUUGGCAUUAUGUGCCUAGACCAGUUCAUUUGAACCGUUUCGUUCCAUUUGAUGUGUUUCUUUGUAGUAUUUUUUGUCCACAGGUACUCUAGAGAUAGGUGGUCUAAUUAUGAAGCUAUGAACGUGAAGUAGAGUACGGUUGGAGCUGGAACGGAAGAUCAAGAAAUGAGAUGGAGGAGAUCUCGGCCCUAAAACAGGGGAAUUUUUGUGCACCCCUGCACGUUGUUCCUCUCUUUUAACUAUGCAAAAUUUUGAAGAAAAGGAGGUGCACCCUCCAGUUUCAGCAGCUUCCUACAAAAGGGCAGAUUUUGAGGAAAGAGAGCAUUCUUCCCCAAACUCGUUUUCUCUCAAUUUUUCCCGACUUCCCUCUGUGAAAACCAGCAAUAAUCCUCCCCUAGAAGCUCAAUUGAAGAUCCAAAGGUGUUCCUAUCAAAGAUUAAAGUUAGGAUUGAAGCUAGAAGAUUAAAAGCGACGAUUGGAGGAAGAACAAGUCGUUGUCUCUUCAAUAAGAUGUGAUUAGGGUUUCUUUUGAUUUUUCUUCUUCUAGAGUUAUGAGUAGCUAAGUUUUCGAGUUUCUUGGUUGAGAUGUAGGAUUUGAGCCAUGAUACCUGUCUUGAACGUUUAGAAACGACGAUUGUGGAUAAUUGGAUUUUAAUGAAAGUUUGCUUCGAUUGUUGGGUUUUCAACCUAAUUCUUGUUACGGCUUGAAUUAGGUCAAAUCUAUGAAAUCCUUUGGUUGAUACACUUAGGAAUUCAUAAAGUUAACAGUCAAAGAUAGAUGAAAGUUAUCGGUGGAGUAAGCCGAUAACCCAAUUCUACGUUUUGUAUUUCUUUUAGUUUUAAAAGUUAUUCAUCAAGUAAUUGGCAGGCGCUCUGGUUUGCACCCAAUGGACCAAGUUGGGUGUAGUUAUCAGUAGCUUAGGCAUUGAUGGACCAAGUUAAUGCUAUUUCCAAUUACUCGUAAUUUCAUUUAAUUCCGAAAGAACACCUUAUCACUUUAUAGAACUUCUUGGUGUUCAUUACCGGCUAGCCUGAUUAAGGUUAUUUAUACCUUAGUUGGGAAGCUAGUAAUGGUAAUCUGCGUGCAUGAUUAUGUCGUGGAUUCAUACGAGUGAUAGUAGGAUUCAUUUUAUUCAAUCCAAGUCCAAUAUUUGUUCGUUUCGAAUGCAUUUAAGAAAUUGAGCUUGAUGACUCAUCUUUUCCAAGAACUUGUUUUCUCCUUUUGAAUCAACCUUUGAACUGUUAGUUUUAAUUAACCUUAAAAUCAUUAGCAACCAAAACCAAACUGUUAGUCUAAACCGUGUUAGCGAGUUUGAGCAGAAGCAUAAUGAGAGGAACCUUUGGACAAAAACGACACUUGCAUUGUCGGGAUAACUGUGAAGUUAUUUCGGCGAUCAAGUUUUUGGCACCGUUGAAAGAACUUAGUUGACGUGGCUUUAUACAUUCGACUCCAUGUAUUGUUUUAUCCCGCUUGAUUUACAUGGGUUGUUAGUGUUUGAGUUCAUAUGCAGGUUUAUAGUUGGAAUGGAGAGUGGCAAGGUCCCUAUGGUGCAAGUAAUGAGGAUGAAGGUUGGAGCUCAUAUCCUAACCAACACCAACAUUAUGAGCAUCAAGGGCCACCAAACUACUACCAAACUAGCUAUGAAGGAGAACAACAACAAUGGAGUGACUUUGGGCAAGGAGCAAUGCCAAGUUUGGCUGCACACCAAUCUCCACCACCUUUCUACCCAGACUCACCUUUAACUUACUGUCACCAAGACUCACCUUCAACCUACUUCCACCAAGACUACAAUCAAGAUCAUCCACCUUUUGAUGAUUAAUUGCUCAAGACUUGAUUAUUCAUAUCAAUCCUCUCCUUCCAUGAACGAGCAACUCAUUAUGCUACUUGAGGUGAGUCGCCGCCAACUAGAGACAUCAGAGGAACAAAGACACCGUUUGGCACAACUUACGGAGGAACCUCCUCUCCCACCACAAUUGGAGGAGGUUGAGAUGAAUGAUCAUGAUUUGGGCAUGACAUCCGAGCAAAACAGAUGAGGAAGUGGAAGCAUCUUCAGUCACCAAAGACAAACAACCGACGCAUGAUGAAAAAGUAGAGGGGUUCGAAGAGGAGGACGAUUCCUCCUAUGAAGACCACCUACAUGAAUGGUAUUUGAGAUUAGAGAUGUAUGCACGAGCCGAUGGGUAAGAAGGUGAAUCAACAAUCUACCUUGAAGACUUCUCAAUCCCAAAGGACAAAUACACAGAUAAUGAUGUUGGGGUAGAAGAGUCCGAAAGGGAAGAUGAUGGAGAGUGGAAGGAAGAAAUACAUGAAGAUAUAGGGCCUUCCAAAUUCGACAUUGCACCUCCUAUUGAAAAACCCAUCAUUUGGCAUUUUCCUCAAGUCGUGGUUCCAAUGAGACCAAACGAGACCCUUCAAGACUCAUGUUUGGUUUUGAAGUACCUAUUUGAGGAAACUCAUAAGGAGUACUUGCCACACCGGUCUAGAACGGACUCCUCCAUCUCGGGACCACCCUUGGACGAACUCAUCGACCGUUUGAGUACCACCAUUAGCUUGGGGAGAAUUGCAGACCUCAAUUUUCACUCACGAACCUACCUCUACCCUCCUCAAGCAUACACAUCGACAAAGAGGAAGCUACAAGAAGGGGAAGAGUUGGUGUGCACAACCGCUUCGGCUCUUCCAUCUCUCUCUAGGGGUGCUACUUGUCAUUCAACUCCAAUCCUUGAAGAAGCUAAUGUAAUUUAAAGAGAUUCUAAAUUGAGGAGCGUAAUCCAGGUAUUGUCUACCUCAAAGACGAAACAGAAAGAGCGCUCUUGGGAGGCACCCCUUGCGUAUCCAUUGUUAGAAUAGAUAUUAAAAGACCAAGGACUGUUGGUUUGUGUGUCUUGUGGUAUAUCUUUUGUGUCAGUCUUACGAUUGAGUCAAGUUUUGAGUAUGUUGAUAGUGUCCAAUUUGAUCGUUGUUGCCAAAUGAAUGCUAGGGAGUUGUGCUUAUUCAAUGUUUGUGUUUGAUGAUUGUUGUCGAAGGUUGAAUUAAAAUGUUGCUGUAAAUCUAGCCUGCAUGCCGUGCAUGGCUAGAUUGUUUCGAAACCUUCGUAGCAAAAAAGGUAUGCACGCCGUGCACCCCUUUUCUGAAAAUUCAUCUUCCCAGAGUUUGUUUCCAUACGUUCCACAUUAGUUAUUUCGCGAGGACGCGAAAAUUCUAAGUGUGGGGGGCGGGGGGGUGGGUUUGGUUUUGAUUGAUUGGUUAACUUUUGUGCUUCAAUGGGACCCUUGUUAACGGAUGAUAACACUUGUUACAUCUAUCACUAGUUUGUUGUUUUUGGUAUUUAUGUUAUGGUUAGCAGGUCCCGAAUAAAGGUUCUAUCACAUCUCACUAUCAAACUUCAUUUUAUCGGUAUCUCCUACUCUCUUCUCUAAAUGUAAUCUUGAUGUCUACCGGCUUUGUGAACAAUUAAUUCCCCUAUCGAGUCGCUCUAGUUUUUUAAAGUCAUAGUUGACUUGAUGGUCCGAAUAAGGUGCAAAAGAGNNNNNNNNNNNNNNNNNNNNNNNNNNNNNNNNNNNNNNNNNNNNNNNNNNNNNNNNNNNNNNNNNNNNNNNNNNNNNNNNNNNNNNNNNNNNNNNNNNNNNNNNNNNNNNUGUGGGUCGGGGUUUUUCAGGUAAACUCGGUCUAUGUGGAUGAGAGCCUUAGCCCGAUCAAGGUCGCAACUACCCCCACUUGGAAAGAUACCUUCUAAAGCUAUACAAUUUUUUUGAAAAGUGGGUUUGGAAUUAAUUGAGUAAUUCAGUUGACCCAAAAGUGUUUAGUAUAUCAUGUAUAGUACAAUUGCAAAAGAAGAGGGAAGUCCUCUGAUUCGAAUACAUUAUUAAAGUAAGCACUCCCUCCCUUAGGACGGGGAAAAUACCCGGCCAGGACCACCUGUUUUGAGCAUAGGUGAGAGGGGAAAUGUUUUUGUCGGUGGGUGUUGAGUGGUAUGAAAUAUAUGCAUAGGUUUUUUCUUCAUUUGGAUUAGAAGACUCGGUAAAUAUAACUAUGUGGUUUGGUGAUCUAAGGUGUAUUCUUGGCAUCGUGAAGUUGGCUUGAACUGCUAGCAUGUUGUUUCCUUUUCACCAUGUUUAGAGUUUGCUUAGAGUGCGAAAAGUAAAGUUGCUUGAGGACAAGUAAGAUUUAAGUAUGGGGGAUUUGAUAAGGCUAGAAUUUUUAGCAAUCAUCUAUCCUUAUAUGCAUGCUUUUUGAGUGAUUAUUAGUUUGUUCGAGCUGCAUUCUCGUGUGAUUUCGUGUUUUGGCAUUAUGUGCCUAAACCCGUUCAUUUGGACAAUUUUGAGUCCAUUUGAUAUGUUUCUUUGUAGUAUUUGUUGUCCCCAGGUACUUUAGAGAUAGGUGGUCUGAUUAUGAAGCUAUGGACAUGAAGUAGAGCACGGUUGGAGCUAGAACGGAAGAUCGAGAAAUGAAAUGGAGGAGCAGAGGGGCUGCACGCCGUACAACACUAGGAUUUUCAAAAUCUCGGCCCUAAAUUAGCGGAACGUCGUGCAUCCCUGGAUGCCGUUCCACCCUUUUAACUACGUAAAAUUUUGAAGAAUAGGAGGUGCACGCUGCACGGCGUGCACCCUCCAGUUUCAGCAACUUCCUACAAAAGGGCAGAUUUUGAGGAAAGAGAGCAUUCUUCCCCAAACUCGUUUUCUCUCAAUUCUUCCCUACUUCCCUCUGUAAAAACAUGCAAUAAUCCUCCCUUAGAAGCUCAAUUGAAGAUCCAAAGGUGCCCCUAUCAAAGAUUGAAGCUAGAAGAUUAAAAGCGACGAUUGGAGGAAGAACAAGUCAUUAUCUCUUCAACAAGAUGAUGGUCAGGGUUUCUUUUGAUUUGUCUUCUUCCAAAGUUAUGAGAAGCUAUGUUUUAGAGUUUCUUGGUUGAUAUGUAGGAUUUGAGCCAUGAUACCUGUCUUGAACGUUUAGAAAUGGUGAUUGUGGAUAAUUGUAUUUUAAUGAAAGUUUGCUUCGAUUGUUUGGUUUUCAACCUAAUUCUUGUUACGACUUGAAUUAGGUCAAAUCUAUGAAAUCCUUUGUUUGAUAUACUUAGGAAUUCAUAAGGUUAACAGUCAAAGAUAGAUGAAAGUUAUCGGUGGGGUAAGCCGAUAACCCAAUUCUACCUUUUGUGUUUAUNNNNNNNNNNNNNNNNNNNNNNNNNNNNNNNNNNNNNNNNNNNNNNNNNNNNNAUAACCCAAUUCUACGUUUUGUAUUUCUUUUAGUUUUAAAAGUUAUUCAUCGAGUAAUUGGCAAGCGCUCUGGUUUGCACCCAAUGGACCAAGUUGGGUGUAGUUAUCAGUAGCUUAGGCAUUGAUGGACCAAGUUAAUGCUAUUUCAAAUUACUCGUAAUUUAUUUUAAUUCCGAAAGAACACCUUAUCACUUUGUAGAACUCCUUGGUGUUCAUUACCGGCUAGCCUGAUUAAGGUUAUUUCUACCUUAGUUGGGAAGCUAGUAAUGGUAAUCCGCGUGCAUGAUCAUGCCACGGAUUCAUACGAGUGAUAGGAGGAUUCAUUUUAUUCAAUCCAAAUCCAACAUUUUUUCAUUUUGAAUACGUUUCGGAAGUUGAGCUUGAUGACUCAUGUGUUACAAGAACUUGUUUUCUCCUUUUGAAUCAACCUUUGAACUGUUAGUUUUAAUUAACCUCAGAAUCAUUAGCAACCAAAACAAAUCAUGUUAGUCGAAACCGUGUUAGCGAGUUUGAAUAGAAGCAUAACAAGAGGAACCUUUGGACAAAAACGACACAUGCAUUGUCGGGAUAACUGUGAAGUUAUUUCGUCGAUUAGUGGUCAAUCCCCGAAAACCGGUUACUUUGAACAUUCCGGUUCACAGAACAUGGAAGAAGCGUCUCAUUAUGCUGAACACGAGGUUGCCGAUGAGGUUGAGUACGAGGCUGAAAACAACGAUGCGUAAGGGGCCAGCGGGGAUGGUGAUGCAUCGAGCGAGGAUGAUGACGGAACGUCUGUUGGCCCACUCAAUCAAGAAGGGAAGGAUUUUGAUGUCAUAUUCGGAGGAGAAGCUGCAUCAUCGUCUCGUGUCCCUCCAUGACAGUACACUGCACCCGAGUUGUACACAACUUUGGGGGACAACAUUGACAAGGUCAUGACUGCGGACCAUUACAAGGGUGAUCUUGAAAUCCAUGAUUUUGACCCCACCGUUGAUUUCUACAUCGGCCAUUUUUUUAUACAGAGAAGGUGGCAAGUCUUGCUGUCAAACACCAAACCCGCCAGUAGAACCGUGCGUUGGCGACAACCUGCUCAAAGACUUGGGGAUUAAAGGUUAGGUGUUUGUGAAACCCGCCUCUAAACGACCCUUUUAAACAACGCGGUUUGACCCAUUCAACAACUUGCGGGUUCCACUUGAUUUGCUUGAUUAAUAGCAUAUUUGUUCCCUCUUUAACUUGACAAUUUGGACAUUUGGAUGCCUUAACAUGUUACUUUGGUGCAUAUUUGGUUCCACUUGGCCCCUUGGGCCGUGUUACAUUGCUUUGUAUGUUUUGGGUACAUUUCAGCUGUCAUAUGACGUCUCGGGGUGAAUCAAACCAUGACGGGGAGGCUGGACAACUCGGUACGUUCGACUUGGGAAGAAAACGUUACAGUUUAGUAUUUUGAGAAUACAUCAUCACUUAGAAGUCCGAUUAAUGCAAGGUCAACAAAGUUCGAAAGAUAACUUGAUUAUCUAUAACUUUAUUGUUGACGUCGUGUCCAAAAUAUGUAUAUUUAUAAAACACGGCAUAUGUUAUCAAAACACGGGCGUGUCUUAGCAAGCCGGAGCCACGGGAAGAAUAACACAUGGCUGUGUGUUGAUAAUACACGUCGUGUGUUAGCUUUUGACAAGAUUUUGGGCCUAAAUCCUUCUCCAAUUUGGUCUAGAACCUUAUAUAUACCCUUGAGACUCAUUUGGACGAGAGAGACUUCAGUAUACACAUAUUUUCGAGCUUUUAGAGAGAGCUACAAUUCCAAAGAGACAAUCAAAGUGAGAGGAUCAACCACGAUUGGCUAAGGGCGAAUCAUCAAGUUGAAGAUUGGGAUUUCCAUGAUAAAUAUGUUGUCUUCUCCAGUUUUACUUCUCUUCUCUUGUGAUUUCGUUUUCAAAACCAUGAGUACCUAAUCUUUUUGUGUUAUUUGGAUUAGAUGAAAUUUUAGCUUAGCUUUUGUAUCGAUGAUGGGUUUCUAAACCCGUUGUCGUGAACGUUCUCGUCCGCCCGGCGACGACCUGAAAUUGUUCGGAAUCGCCACCAAUCGCUUAAAAGUCGAUUGGACACUUGGAGCUCGAUUCAGGCUUCAGAACCUAAACCGGGCAUGGUCUGCAUUCAGAUAUCUGGGUAAGGGGUACGGUUACGUGUGGGGAAGGAUUAGCACCCCCAUAGUGCCCGGUAACCCGGUACUACAAAAAUCGAUAAGCUUGAUGUGUUUUAUUCAAUGCACUUAAUUUUUUAUUGUGUGGUUUGCCUGUCCUAACUCUUGUGAGGACUAAAGCCGCAGUACGGUUAUAUUUUUAUAAAACAGUUCAAAAAGAAAAGUCGAUAAAUUAUUUUAAAUUUAGAAAGAGGAUAAAUUGUUUUAAAGUUAAAAGAAAUUGAUAAAUUGUUUUAAAGUUGGAAAUAAGAUGAUAAAUCGUUUUAAAGUUAGGAAAACUAGUAAUUUGUUUUGAAGUCGAAAAGAAAAUAGUGAAUUGUCUUAACGUUUGAAAAAAGAUAAUAAAUUAUUUUUUGAGUUGGGAAGAAAAUAAUAAGUUGUUUUAAAAUUGGGAAUAAAACGAUAAAUUGUUUUAGAGUUGGAAAGAAAAUAACAAGUUGUUUUAAAUUUUGGAAAUAAAAUGAUAAAUUAUUUUAAAUCGGGAAGAAAAUAAUACAUUGUUUUAGAGUCGGAAGAAAAAAAAUAAAUUGUGUUAAAGUUGGAAAGAAAAUACUAAGUUAGUUUAAGUUGGACUCGAGUCUUUUAAUGGCCUACGUACCUGGGGCUAGGGAUCAAAGCCCACGUAGUUCGAUUUGAAAACGGUGAUCGAUUUGAAAACGCUGAUUUGAGGUGCAACCGAAUAGCUGCCGUUUUUUUUCUCUACUCUUUUCCAUCGACGGCGACGCCGCCGCCGCUCCCCCUUUUUUUCUCUUUUUCUUCUUCUCCGCCUCCGGCGGCGCUCCCUCUCUCCUUUUCCUUUCCUUCUUUUCUCUCUUCUCUCUUCUUCUUCUUCUCCGCCUCCGGCUGCGCCGCCACUCCUAUUUCUUCUAUUCUUUUCUUUUCCUCCAGCGGCGGGGGGGGGGGGGCGGCGCCCACCCGCCCCUUCCCUUCUUUUUUUUUUUCUUUUUUUUUUUUCUUCUUCUUUUUUUACUUUUUUUCCUAUUUUUUUUUUUUUUUUAAUUGACAAGGCUUUCUCUUUUUUGUCUUCUUUUACUUUCUCGCAUCCGCCUCCGUCUCCCCUAUUCUCCCACAACGUCAAAAAAAGGAAAAUAAAAGGAAGAAAAGGUAAACAAAAUAUGGAACUCCUCUUCUUACUUAAGUUUGUUUUCUGUUUUCUUCGAUUCGGGAUUGCAUGUCGUCUACAAGCCCCGAUUUGUAGAACUAAGGUUUGAAUUUUUUAUUUUUGUGGUCUUUUUCUUAUUUUUGUUGUCUUUAUUUUUCUUUUUGUUUUUAAUAGAGUUGGGGAUCGGUGAAGCUAGACUGGAGAAGCUGCAGCAAGAGACAGGAAAAGAAGUCCCCGCCGACGACAGAUCUGCCGGCCGGAGCAAUGUCUGACGAAAAAGUGUAAAAAAAUCUAAGCUCUUUGUUUAUUCUGUUUUACUUGGUUGAUGAUGGUAGUGGCUUUGUUAUUGACUAUAGGUUGCUCGAAAAUUUGACUGUUUUGUUGUUGAAGCUAAACCAAAAAUCUAAGUGUUUAUGCAAAUGAUUUUCCGUUUGAAAACUUUGAUCAAUUGAUCAAUUUUAGGAAAAUUCCAGCAAUCAUGUUUAACAAAAAAGCACUUGUUUUAGCUCCCCUUUUAUGAGUAGUCUUAUAAUUCUUGAGUAAUCGACACAAAUGGUAUACAAUGGUAUUAAAUGGUCGUGGUAGCCUCUUGUCAACGUUUUCCAGCAACCCUUUAUUAAAUAAAGAAGUUUCAUUUUUUCAGCUAGUGUUAGUUUUAGAGAGUCGUUUAGUUAUUCAAUUACGAAAGUCAUUUGACUGUAAGUAGCUUAUAUGCUUAUAUAUAAUAUAACAUGCAACACUGACAGGUAUAUCAAUAUGUUUAGGAUUUAAGAUAUGAAAGAUAGGUUAAUGACUGAGAAUUAUGAAAAGGGCUUGUUUGGGGGUACCGACCUUUGAAAACUGAUUUUUGUUUCUCCUUUGAAUUGUGGACGCGACUUCCGGCGGUUUGCUCCAAGAGUUUGGGACUUCGGAAGCUUUGCGAUGGAUUCUCGAAGGAACACUCAAAGCGCUUAUGUUUGUACUUUUAUGCUUUAUUUUGUGGUGGGAUUGGGGUGUAAUGAAUUUAGAAUGUAAUGGACUUAGGGUGUAGUGGGAUUAGGGGAUUUUUGGGGAGUUUUUCGUUGUAAUCGGUAGGUCCUUCUUCGUUCUCUCCCCCCUCCCUCGAAAAAAAUUCAAUGGUACUUUUAAAUGAACAAAGGGGCUACCACCUCCCUUGAAAACGAAUCACAAUUCAACACCCAUGCUCUAACUUAAAAGAGAGAUGGCAGCUCCCUGAUUGGUUACAGUAACGAGCCCGACAUCGGGCCAAAAAUCGGGCCUGAAAUCGGACCCGAAAAAAGAUCAAAAAUUCGAUGUAAAGUAGAGUUACGUAAUGAAAAAAACUCGAAGACCCGGAAAAAAUUUGGUUACUACAGUUGCCCCUCUCUGUAUUACUUUUGUUUACCACAAAAAGUAGUACAAAGACAGGAACCAAAUUUUGAAGGGUUCAUCAAAUUAUACUUCCAUUUAUUUCCUUUUGUUUAUGUUUAUGUUUUGUUUUUUUUUAUUUUUUUCAAUUUUAUAUGGAGUAUUAAUAACACGAUACUAUGAAUACGGUUUAAUUUAACCCAGGACGUUAGUGUGAAUGUACUAGGGAUUCAGCUUGACUUAUUUCCUAUUCCAAGGUGCGAUCCGUUUAACCCAGGUUGCUAGGGUGAAUGUACUAGGGAUUCAGCUUGACUUAUUUCCUAUUCCAAGGUGCGAUCCGUUUAACCCAGGUUGCUAGGGUGAAUGUACUAGGGAUUCAGCUUGACUUAUUUCCCGUUCCAGAGUGCGAUUUGUUUAACCCAGGAUGCUAGGGUGAAUGUACUAGGGAUUCCGCUUGACUUAUUUCCCGUUCCGGCGUGCGAUCAGUUUGCCCCAGGAUGCUAGAGGUGGAUGUACUAGGGAUUCAGCUUGACUUAAUUCCCGUUCCAGGGUGCGAUCUGUUUGAUCCAGGAUGUUAGGGUGGAUGUAGUAGGGACUCAACUUGACUUAUCUCUCGUUCCAGGGUGCGAUCCGUUUGACCCAGGAUGCUAGGGUGAAUGUACUAGGGACUCAGCUUGACUUAUUUCCCGUUCCAAUGUGCGAUCCGUUUGACCUAGGAUGCUAGGGUGGAUAUACUAGGGACUCAGCUUGACUUAAUUCUCGCUCCAGGGUGCGAUCCGUUUGACCCAGGUUGCUAGGGUGAAUGUACUAGGGACUCAGCUUGACUUAUCUCCAAUUCCAAGGUGCGAUCCGUUUGACCCAGGAUGCUAGGGUGAAUGUUCGAAAGAUGUAAUUCAUUUAUAGCGCGAAUGCAAGACAGCUUUCAAAAUAUGCAAUUUGUUAUAGCUUGAAUGCAAGGCAAUUUUUUAAAGGUGCAAUUCGUUUAUAGCCCGAAUGCAAGACAACUUUUAAAGGAUCCAAUCCAUUUAUAGCCCGAAUGCAAGACAAUUUUUUAAAGGUGCAAUUUGUUUAUAGCCUGAAUGCAAGGAAAUUUUUAAAGGUGCAAUUCGUUUAUAGCCCGAACGCAAGGAAGUUUUUAAAGGUGCAAUUCGUUUAUAGCCCGAACGCAAGACAAUUUUUAAAUAUUUGGGAUUUUUUCGAAAUGCAAUGCGCGUAUACCCGGCACGCAAGGGUUAGGAUGUUUAUAUUUUUUCCAAAUGCAAUGCGUUUAUAUCCUGCACGCACGGGUGUAAAUAUUUGGAUUUUUUUCAAAAUGGAAUGCGUUUAUACCCGACAUCCGAGGGUGUAAAUAUUUGGAUUUUUUUCAAAAUGCAAUGCGUUUAUACCUGGCACGCAAGGGUGUAAAUAUUUGAAUAUUUUUGAAAUGCAAUGCGUUUAUACCCAGCACGCAAGGGUUUAAAUAUUUGAAAUGAGUCAUGGUGAAUGCAUUUGAGAUGCAUGAUAUUAAAAUCAAGUUAAUAGGAUUGUUUUGGGAUAUUUAUCAUGAUUUUGUUGAUGUAUGAAUAACAUUUGAUGUAUGUGUUUGAUAAUUUUACAUGUUAUAAGGAUGAAAAUUUAUUGACGAUUUUAAUUUAUGAGACGAAAGGUUCCUGAAAACCAUAUGAGUUUUAAUGCGAUAUGCCUAUGAUGAUGAUGAUGAUGAUGCACUAAAUGAUAAUUUUUGGAGUUUAAUUGUGCAUGCAGCGAAGAUGGAAACUUAUAUGAUUGAGCCAAUACGCCCGAUUUUGUAAUUAAUAGUGAUCAUUUUAAGACAUGAUGCAUGAUGAAUCUCAAAUGCAUGUAAGAAGUUUAGGGAUGAAUUUAAAAUUUGGUAAAUGAGAAAUUAGAUUAAUUAUAAGAUUUUGAAUGCUCGAUGAACCGAUGAAUGCAGUUACGAUAAGCUAUAUGCUAGAAUGAAGCAUGCUUUAUUUCUAUUUAUAUUUUCCUUUUUACCUUUUUUUAACAAUCGAAACGAUAAAUUGAUAUUACUAUUCCAUAUGUAAGACAAUAAGUGAUGAAAAGUUUCGAUUGAUGUUCUCAAUUAGCCGGUGUGAUGAACUUUGAACUUUGGUAAUAAGACACAUGACCAUAUGACUAGGCAUAUGUAGUUGUUUUUCAAAUUGGAGACACAUACGUAAUUUUGCUUUAUUUUAUGUGAAAGAGUACGAAUUUGAAGUGAUAUGUCUUUGACGGGUACAUGAAACAUAAAUGUAGAAUUAUAAGAAAAUGCCUUUUCAAAAAUCCCUUUUGGUGAAUGGGGCAUAGAUAUGAUAUUUUUUGGAAAUUUUGGAAAGACACAUACGAGAAUAUCAUUUAGGAACCUAGAAAUUUCUUAUCAAUAAUUAACUGUAUCUUUCAAGCUUGGACUUAAGCUAGAGCUAUCUCUGGUCGUAGCUGGCUCGGGGCUUCAAUUGGGUUCUGAAACGGCAUAAGACUUGGUAAUAAUGUCUGGAGCAUUACUUGAUGAUCAUGCCCCUUGAUAUGAUCGUUUGACUGAUGUCUACUUGGAGUGCGUCUAGUGAGUAGAUUCGACUCCUUCUCAAUGGAGAUGAUGAUUCUUUGUAACUGGACGGUUAUGAAUUCAUUAUGACGAAUGAUCACUUAUAGCUCUCUUUCUGUUUUUAGCUCUUUUUUAGGUGAACAAGUGCACUUAUCGGGACAAUAUAUUUGACUUCUUUUUGGGAACAUGUCGGAAGUUGUGUUUUGAAGACAUCUCUAUGUGCUAUAGUACAAAGCAAAUUUUAGAACAAAUGAAGAUUUUCAUAAUUUAAGAGGAAUUCGAAAUUUCUUUUGAUCAAAUGGAAAUCGAUAUUCAUCUCAUUAGUAAAUUUGCAUAUUUAACUCAAAGGAACGGACACAUCGUCGAUCUUAGCUAGACUUCUCACGUGGAUAAGAAAUGGACACAUCAUCAAUCUUAGCUAAACUUCUCACGUGGAUAUUUUGGUACGUGUAUGUAUGAGACGUACUUACUCUCUAGUUUAUCGGCUCUGAUUUUUGGGUUAGGUGUUUCACUCAUUCAUUUUCCUUAUCUAGACAGUCGCCAUAGGCUUGUAAUGCAACUAAUUCUCCACUACGCAUAAUGCAAAUGACAUAUCAAGAGGGCUUUUCUAGAUUUAUGGUAAAUGCCUUGGGAUAAUGGUAGGGAUAAUUUUUUUUUACUAAUAUUUUUGUGAGCGAUGGUACGAGCUGGUGUAACAAUCGGGUAGCAUGCUUGUCUUGGUCAACUUUGAUUGAUGAUGACUCGAUAAGUGAAGAAACUGCCUGAUAACGUUGGCUCGUGAGCAUUUUUUAGCUCUUGUUGUAUCAACUUGGGUAUAUGCGAGGCGCGUCGGUUGAUGUAAGAUUGUGGAUCCUCUAACUUAUGAGAUUAAUAACUUAGAUCCCUUUUUCUCCUUUUUUGUUCUUUUUUUUUAUUUUGGGACGCAAUCUUUGAAAAUUUUGAUGACUUUUUUUUAAUUUUUUUUGUUAUAGCUUCAACUGUUCCUUGCUAAUAGUCGUCAAUAUUGAGCUGACCUAGAUUAACAUGCAUACUAGGUUAUUGCAUCAAGCUAUUAACUUUGAAGGGAUAUUGAAAUAUAGGAUAUGAGUUUGAAUUGUGUGUUAUAUGGAAGAAAAGGCUAAUGUUGGGUUGUCUAUAUAAUUUUGUUGGGUGGGCUUCUUUUUUUGGGGAUAAUCCUAAUGCCUCUGUCAUUUAUGUCGUUAUUGAAAAAUCAUGUGGUCUUGAACCGGUCUCAUGCAAGUUCUAGGAGUGUUUCGACAAGGAGAACCUCUCAAAAUAAAUAAAAAGAAAAAUGUUUUGAUUGAUGGAUGAAUGAGACCUCGCAUGGCUGCUAGCAACAUUCCUUCUUCAUUAAAUAUGCAAACCUUUCCAUCUAAUAAAAAGAAAGUUCAAUUAACCUUUUAAAUUAUGAUCUUGAUUGUUCUCGAGUUUGGUCGGGGAUUUUGAUUGGACAGUAUUUGUGAAGAGAGGUGGAGAUAAUAAUUUUGGUGAAAAUGGUGGGGAUUAAAAAAAUAAAAAUAAAAAAAUAAAAAAUGAAGAUGAAAUAAUGUGACGAUAAAAUGCACUUGGUUACUUAUUGAUCCCUUUUUUAUGCGAUACAAACUCAUAACCAUCCAGUUAUUUAGAAUCAGAGUUCUGAAUUUCUCAUAAUUUUACUCCAUGCUGCUUGAUAAAGGAGGGUAGUCGACGUUGUUGAUGCCCCUGGAUUUCUUGUGCCAAUGAGAGAUAGCUUUUGAUCUCGUCCAAUAUUUGAUGACGCGGUUUUUUCAUUGAUAAGAAAAUUGAAGAAUUCAUUGAAAUUUAUUUUUUAUGAUUUUUGAUAAAAUAAUGUGCAAGUUACGUAUCUACAUGCCCCAAAAAUAAAUUUUUACUUGAAUGAAUAUGAAUUUUGAUUGAUAAGCUAAUUAUGAUUAUGAGAACAAUUUAAAAAUUUCAUUUUGAUUAGAAAUGGAAGUGUCGAGGAUGACACGAAGUUGUUGCUAUUUUCGCAAAUAAAAUUUUUAUAAUUAUGGAGAUUAGGUUUUGGAUGCACGUGAUGAAUAUUUAAAAUGCAUGAUGACAUGAAUUUAUUGGGUGUGUGCUCAUGAUUAUGAGUAUGGUAAAAGUAUUGAACAUUUGAACACAUAAUGCUUAUGCUAUAUGUUUGCAUAAUUUAUGAAGACAAUACUCUAGAUGCAUAUAGUAGUGUUGAAUAUGAUGGUAUUUUUGUUUAAAUUAGAGAUAAUUAUAAUAAUUUUAUUUUGAUUAGAAAUGAAACUAUCGAAGAUGACAAGAAGGUGUUGCUAUUUACAAAUAAAAAUUUUUAAAAUGUUCUUCAAAAGGGGCUUAUGAAAAUUCCGGCGACAUAAGUAUAUAAAGAAGCAAAUUCAUAGGAAAGUAGACAAUAGUGCGGUAUAAGGAAGAUUAAAACGCAUAAUCUUAUUGUCGGGAAGCCUUAGGUCUUUGCGCGAUAAGAAAAGGCGUCCAUAGGAUCUAAACCUAGGCUGGUUAAGGGAGGUUGCUAGGCGAACUAUAUGAGGGCAAUGAGGCUAAUCCUGGUAUACUCGAUACUGGGAUGAGGAUUCACGCGGCCCUACUCUUAUAAAGGCAAACGCUACUACACUCAAAAUUCUACCUAAGGGUAAAGCUCGGGUAUAGAGCAUGCAGCUGCAUGCAUACUUAUAAAGUAAAGGACGCACCAAAAAAAGUACACAUAUCAAACGAAGAAAGAUAGACUUAUCGAGAUUUAAACGCAGCUUUCCCCUUUGGAUAGUUCUCAAGAUCCCCAGCGGAGUCGCCAUCUGUCGUGAACGUUCUCAUCCGCACAGUGAUGACCUGAAAUUGUUCGGAGUCGCCACCAAUCGCUUAAAAGUGGAUUGGACACUUGGACCCCGGUUCAGGCUUUAGAACCUAAAACGGGCAUGGUCUGCGUUCAGAGAUCUAGUUAAAGGGGAGGGUUACGUGUGUGGAAGGAUUAGCACUCCUACAGUGCCCAGUAAACCGGUACUACAAAAAUCGAUAAGCUUGAUGUGUUUUAUUAAAUGCGCUUAAUUUUUCACUAUGUGGUUUGCCUGUCCCCACUCUUUUGAGGACUAAAGCCGCAGUACGGUUAUAUUUUUAUAAAACAGUUCAAAAAGGAAAGUCGAUAAAUUAUUUUAAAUUGCUUUAAAGUUGAAAGAAAUUGAUAAAUUGUUUUAAAGUUGGAAAUAAGACGAUAAAUCGUUUUAAAGUUGGGAAAAAUAAUAAUUUAUUUUGAAGUCAAAAAAAAUAGUGAAUUGUUUUAACAUUUGAAAUAAGAUAAUAAAUUAUUUUUUGAGUUGGAAAGAAAAUAAUAAGUUGUUUUAAAAUUGGGAAUAAAACGAUAAAUUGUUUUAGAGUUGGAAAGAAAAUAACAAGUUGUUUUAAAUUUUGGAAAUAAAAUGAUAAAUUAUUUUAAAUCGGGAAGAAAAUAAUACAUUGUUUUAGAGUCGGAAGAAAACAAUAAAUUGCUUUAAAGUUAGAAAGAAAAUAAUAAAUUGUUUUAAAAGCUGAUUUGAGGUGCAACCGAAUAGUUGCCGUUUGUUUGGAAAUUUUUGAAAGUUUUUAUGAGUUUUAUAUUUUGCGAAUUUCANNNNNNNNNNNNNNNNNNNNNNNNNNNNNNNNNNNNNNNNNNNNNNNNNNNNNNNNNNNNNNNNNNNNNNNNNNNNNNNNNNNNNNNNNNNNNNNNNNNNNNNNNNNNNNNNNNNNNNNNNNNNNNNNNNGCGGCUGCCUACGUACCCAAUAUUUUGGGAUCAAAGUCCGCGUAGUUCGGAUGGUGUAAAAGUUGUCGAGGAUUUCGCGUAAUUUUACUAUAGCAAACAUUAUGCUACUGUGCUCGUUUUCUUUUGUUUUAAAAAACGCGUCGAAUGAUUCAUGAUGAGAUUUUUGCAAAAACUACUUUUGAGUUUCGGUAUUCCGAAUCCAUCAACACCAAUUCAAUGAUAUAUUUAUCGAGGAAAAGGCAAGGAACAAAAGAUACAAUCUGCGAUGAAUUUACUUACGAAACCCUUGGCUCACAAAUUGGAAUAUUUGUUAUUUUAUAAAGCUGAAGGAAAUAAUAAUGAUUUAUAAUUUCGGCACUUAUUUGUUGAAAUUUUUAUUAGUUGAUAUUUUGUAGGAUCCGAAACUCUUGUUCCGGGCAAAGGAUUUAUACUCGUCGCUAUAACACUUUUUUAUGGUUCAUUAUUCGUGGUAUAUUUGAUUUUAAGUCUCUUGUUUAACGGCGAUUUUUUUUAUUUUACAACGAUUUAUUUGAUUUUUAUUAAAAUUAAUUUGAUUGACCAAAUUAGAAAUAUGUCGUUGGAAGGGAAACGAACCUAGAUUCGGAUGCGUUUGGCGCAAACAUUUUUAGUGAUUCAAUGAUUUUAUUGUCGUUUAAUUAACGUUAUCAAAAUUUAAUAGGUUAAAUCGUUUUGAAUGCUUGGAAGAUUCGAUAUUUUAGGUUUUACUAUUUUUACUUUUAAAUAUCAAAUAAAAUUAGAGAAUUUAGAAUUUUGUUAUUAACCUACCCUUAUUUCGGUUUUACUCUGUUCUUAAUACAGACUUAAUAAAACUUAAUUUACACAACAUACUAAGGACAUUCUGACCGAAAUGGGCCGAACCGAAAUUUGGAACGAAAAGAGGGAGUUGAAAGGUCAAAAUUGAUGAGAAAAUUGACCAGUUCGACCACUCAUUACUCGACCCAAGACUAAAAAGAUGAAAAUACCCUUAGAUAUUUUGUCUGUCAAGAAGGAAGGUGAAUGACAAAAUCGUAACUUACCUGGCCGAUAUAAAUACUCCUCUUAAACACAAACCAGCCAUUUGAAACCCUACCUCCCUCUCUCUUCCUCUCAAUCCUCCCUUCUCUCUUCACUUUUUCACCGGCGGCGCCGUUGCCACCGCUGCCGCCCCUCUCCUCCUCCUCCUUCUUCUUUUUCUUCUCCGCCUCCGGCGGCGCUCUCUCUCUGUUUCCUUUCUUUCUUUUCUCUCUUUUUCUUCUUCUUCCUCUCCGCCUCCGGUGGCGCCGCCAAUCCCUUUUGUUCUAUUCUUUUCUUUUCCUCCGCGGCGGCGGCGGCGCCGCCCUCCCUUCUAUUCUCUUCUUUUCUUCUCUUCUUUUCUUUUCUUUUCUUUUCUUCUCUUCUUCUUGCUGCCUCUCUUUCGCCUCCUGUUUCUUCUUUCUCUUCUCCUUCUCUCUCAGCGACGGCGGCCCCGCGUCCCCCGCCCCCCCCCCCCCCCCCUUUUUUUUUUUUCUUUUUUUUUUUUUCUUCUUUUACUUUCUCAUCGCCGCCUCCGUCUCCUCUCUUCUCCCACAACGCAAAAGAAAAAAAACAGAAGGAAGGAAAGGUAAACAAAACAUAGAACCCCUCUUCUUACUUAAUUUUUUUUUCUGUUUUCUUCGAUCCGGGCUUGCAUGUCGUCUGCAAGUCCCGAUUUGUAGAUCUAAGGUUUGAAUUUUUUAUUUUUGUUGUCUUUUUCUAACUUUUGUUGUCUUUAUUUCGGUUUCUGUUUUCAAUAGAGUUGGGGAUCGGUGGAGUUGGACCGGAGAAGCAGAAGCAGAAGCAGGAGACAGAAAAAAAAGUCCCCACCGACGAGGGAUUUGCCAGCCGGAGCAGUGUCGGACGAAAAAGGGUAAAAAAAACCCCAGCUCUUUGUUUAUUCUGAUUUUACUUGGUUGAUGAUGGUAGUGGCUUUGUUACCGCCUCCGGCGGCGUCUCCCCUCUCUUUUUCCUUUCCUUCUUUGAAAAUUUGACUGUUUUGUUGUUGAAGCUAAACCGACAAUCUAAGUGUUUAUGCAAAUGAUUUUCCGUUUGAAAACUUUGAUCAAUUGAUCACUUUUAGGAAAAUUCCAGCAAUCAUGUCUAACAAAAAAGCACUUGUUUUAGCUCCACUUUUAUUAGUAGUCUUGUAGUUCUCGAAUAAUCGGCGCAAAUGGUAUAAAAUGGUAUUCAAUGGUCGUGGUAGCCUCUUGUCAACGUUUUCCAGCAACCCUUUAUUAAAUAAAGAAGUUUCAUUUUUUCAGCUCGUGUUAGUUUUAGAGAGUCGUAUAGUUAUUCAAUUACGAAAGUCAUUUGACUGUAAGUAGCUUAAAUGCUGAUAUAUAAUAUAACAUGCAACACUGACAGGUAUAUCAAUAUGUUUAGGAUUUAAGAUAUGAAAGAUAGGUGAAUGACUCAGAAUUACGAAAAGGGCUUGUUUGGGGGUACCGAGCUUUGAAAACUGAUUUUUGUUUCUCUUUUGAAUUGUAGACGCGACCUCCGGCGGUUUGCUCCAAGAGUUUGGGACUUCGGAAGCUUUGACGAUGUAUUCUCGAAGGAAUACUCAAAGCGCUUAUGUUUGUACUUUUAUGCUUUAUUUUGUGGUUGGAUUGGGGUGUAACGAAUUUAGAGUGUAAUGGACUUAGGGUUUAGUGGGAUUAGGGGAUUUUGGGGAGUUUUUCGUUGUAAUCGGUAGGUCCUACUUCGUUCUCUCCCCCCUCCCUCGAAAGAAAUUCGAUGGUCCUUUUAAAUGAACAAAGGUGCUACCACCUCCCUUGAAAACGAAUCACAAUUCAACACCCAUGCUCUAACUUAAAAGAGAGGUGGCAGCUCCCUGAUUGAUUACAGUAACGGGUCCGACAUCGGGCUGAAAAUCGGGCCUGAAAUUGGACCCGAAAAAGAUCUAAAAUUCGAUGUAAAAUAGGGUUACGUAAUGAAUAAAACUCGAGGACCCGGAAAAAAUUUGGUUACUACACCCGUGAUAUUGCUAUUGAUGUUAUUCAGGACUGUCGUGUGUUCUUGCUGAACUUGAAUUUCAGAUUCAAUUUUUUUGAUCAUCUUGAUUGAAUCUUUGUUAUCAAUUAGAGGGUCCUAGAGGAACGGUAAUUGAUAGAAGACUUAGGAAGAACUUUAGAUUCUCCGUUAGCGAGAGAGAGGAACGGAUCAUCCAGGCAUUUUGUAACGUUCUAACUGUAGCAUUUCAUCAAACACCUUUAGUGUGUUCUACAUGGUGUAUAUUACCUCGAGAGAGGAGUUUACGGUCAAGCAUAAUAUAUCCUUAGAGUCAUGAGAGCGAUCUAAGACUAUCGUAGGAGAUCGUCGAGCCAUUAUCACCUGAUUAAUUGAGAUUGCAUAUCGUUCAUCCAUGUAUUGCUAACUUUAGUGGAUUCAAAGUCAAGCAACCUUCAUCCAAUCUUUGAAACUUGAUUAAUUACAUUUGCUUUCUAUCAAUUCAGUUAUUAGUUUAUAAUUCGAAACUACAACAUUCCACCAACAUAAAAUUCAUCGUUACUUGGUCUAGUUAGCAUAUCUAAGUUGAAUAAUUUUGUUAUAAAGACCCUAGAGAAAUAAACGAUUCCAUUAGAGUAAUCUAGUGGGUAUUUGAAAGGUGGUGUAAAAUCUGCUCGUCAAAUUGGCGCCGUUGCCGGAGAAUUAUCUAAUUCUAGGAAAGACUUAGAUUCUUAGCUAUUCCUUUACUUUUCUUUUCAUAUAUUUCCUCCUACAUGGUUUAUUGAGGUUUCUUUUGAGUUCCAUUAUGCAGGAUUCCAGUUGGGAUGGACAGUGGCAAGGUUCCUAUGCUGAAGGUAACUACAAUGAAAAUUUUGGUUCGUCAUCAAACCAAUAUUAUGAGAACCAGGCCUCACGAAGUUACUACCAGCCUAAUUAUGGAGGAGAGCAACAACAAUGGAACAGAUUUGGACAAGAAUUAGAUUCAUAUUGGAAUCAAGACCAAUCUCCACCACCUUUUUUGCCAAGACUCAUCACCAACUUUCUACCACCAAAACUACCAUGAAGAUGGUUCACACUUUCAAAAUCAAUAUUCAAGGACGGUCAUAUUGAAGAUGGUCAUAUCAACCUCCACCUCCUGAAAAUACAUACAUUCAUAUGCUUUUGGAGAAAGCCAUAGCACAGAUUGGCGAAGACACUAGGCUAUCUAAGCUACGACAAAGUGAAUUUUCAAAGAUGGCAGAUCAGCUACGGCACGACUUAAAGAACAACAUUCUCGUCCUCAACCACAUGAAGAGGUUGAUUAUGAAGAUGAAUAUGAUUUGCAAGUAUCUGAAGUAGUAGAUGAAGUGGUGGAGGAGUUACCUUUCUUUCAUGACAAUCUAGUUAUCCAGGAUGACAAAUUAGAAGAGUUUGAAAGGGAGCAUGUAACCUUCCAUGAAGACAACCUAAUUUUUCAUGAUGAUAAUUAGAAUACUUUAAAGAGGAAGAUGAUGAAGAGUAUGUGGACGAGAUAUGGGAAGAUGUAGAACCUCUCUAUAAUGACAUUGUCACAGCCGUUGAGCAUUCCACCAUAGGGCGCUCCCCUCCAAUUGUGGUCCCACAAAGAGAAACUGAGACCCUUCUUGUUUCUUCUUUGAUUAUGAAGCACUUAUGUCAGGAAAACUGAUAAUGAGUGUUUCUCACACAAGAUUAGAGAGGACACAAUCUCAGGACUAGACUUGCAUGCCCAAAGGACUUCUCAAGUUACACUAGUUGAGAAUACUAGUUUCGACACACCAUACUACUCCCCCCCCCCCCCCCCCCCCCCCUCCCCACCCAAAAUAAACAAAAAAAAAAAAAAAAAAAAAAAAAUCGAAACAAGGAAAAAGCAUCGCCUUUUGAACCACUUCACCGGGUUCUCCAUCAAUCUCUAAGAACACCAAGAAGUUCUACAAAGUGAUAAGGUUGUCUUCUAGCUUCAAUCCUAGCUUCAAUCUUCAAUGGUAACUCCUUCGGAUCUUCAAUUGGACUUUUAGGGGUGAGUAGAUAAUUGUUUUUGCUGGGAGAACUCGGGAAAAAUCGUGGGAAUUUCGCUGCCGAAAACUAUCUUCCUCUUUCGUCAAAUUGCUCCUUUUAAUUUCCGGAACAAGGGGGUGCAGGGCACGCAAGGGUGCAUGGCGUGCACCUCUUAUUUCACCGUGAGAUUUUUCAAGUUUAGGGCAUGCAUGGCGUGCACUGAUGUAGGGCGUGCAACCCUUUUUCUUCACCAACUUUUGCAACGUCGUCCCAUUUGAGCUCUAACCGUGCUAUAAUCCGGGCCCAUGGGCUUGUAACAAGAUCAAAUGUUUCUAAACCUGAACGUACGCCUCAUAUACCUGAACGCAUUGGUCAAUUCUCUCAACCAAUCAACUGCCAAUAGAGGAUCAGCGGUCUCGCCUCGGCUACUUGAAAUCCAACCUAGGUGCAGGCGAAUCCCUCAUCAUGUCGACCAACUCCUCCUGAUCACUACACAUAUGAGGAUAUUGUUCAGCAACCAUUUUCAAUAAUACUUUAUCUCUGUUAUUGGAUAUCUUGUUGCAAAUUGUUUAAAAAACUUGACCACACCCGUAACAAUCACUCCACCACGCCCGUGGUCCAUCCUCUACCACACCCAUGGUAUACUCUUGACCACACCUGUGAUAGGCAUUACCACGCUAGUGGUGAUCACGCCCAUAGUGAUCACUCCACACGCCCAUGGUAUACUCCUGACCACGCCCGUGAUAGGCAUUACCACACCCAUGGCAUGUAGUGGACCACGCCCAUGGUGCAGUAUCCAUCAUGCACGUGGAGCAGUAUCCAUCAUGCCCGUGGCCAAGGACUAACCACGCUCGUGGUCAUCACUAGGUUUGGGACGUAGUUCAGAGACUGGUUAUCUCCAAGUCCGGCCAAGUUUGUGACUACCCCCAUUUGGGAAAAGCAGCAAUAUUGAAAAGAAAAAACAAAAAGUGAAAACUGAAACAAAAGAAAAAGAAGAUGAAAAGAAGUAGAACAGCAAGUGAAAGCAAGUUGUAUAUAGUAGAUUAUAGCUAGUAGUAUAGUCAAGCAAGAAAAUUAGAGGGUGCUAUCAUUGCUUGAGUGCUUUGGUUUGUAUGAAAAACUUGUUGUAAAACACCUUCCCCCUCAGGUUUGGAAGAGAAAGCCCGGCUAGGACAAGCCUUCAGUCUGUUACUUCCUCUGUCAGCUAUGUGGCAUCACUCUGCUAGUUUAAGGGACUCGGUGUUAUGCUUAAUUUUGUGGUUUACUGUUUGACUAGUACUACUUAGCACCAUGGUAAGGUGUGAGACUAUAUAUUAUGCUCUCCGUUCACCAUAUUUUGUAUUCUUUGGGAGUGUGUUGAGUAGAAUUGCUUGAGGACAAGUAAUGUUUAAGUGUGGUGGAAUUUGAUAGAACCUUUAAUUGUAUGACAUUCAACCCUAUCUUGACUAUUAUUUGACUCGAUUCGACCGAUUCUUGAUCGUGAUUGUGUGAUUGGUAGAUAAAACAAGGGUUUUGUGUUGUGUUCUCUCGAACACACCGUUUUGGUCUGUUCGACUUUUUUCUCACAAGUAUUUUAGAUUUAGGUAUCCGAUGGAUAGAGGACAUGGAUACGAAGCCAACGAGACCAAUUGGAGGUCGACUGGAGGUCGACCGGAGGUCGAACGAGCGAGAUACGUGCAAAUAAAGAAAUUGGGACCAGUUUGGAAGUUGACCGAACCGAGUUGGAUCAUCAAGGGAGGAUCAUAAAAGCCAUUUUGGACGAGAGAGGGAACAAUAGUUGUCAUAACAAUACAUUAGACCCGAAUUUCUCUCCUUUCCUCUCCACUCUCUCAUUUGGAGACCCUAGAAGAUGGAUUGGAGCACUUGAAGAUCAAGGAUUGAAGGCAUUCGAUUGCUUAAGCUUGGAGCAAGGAUUCUACUCUCAUCACCUUUUUCAUACUUGUAGAUGCUGGUGAUUGUAUUCCUUUCUCUUAGUGAUAGCUUCAUGAUGAUUGGCUAAACCAUUAGAGUUGAUAGAUUAGGGUGUUGGGAUGUGCUAGGAUGAUCCCUUCAUGAUAAGGGGUUGGAUACACUUGGAUGAUAAUUAUGAUUAUAGUUAUUGCUUGGAUUAUGGCGUUUUCAACCUAUCUUGUGUCAUCGCUUGAUUUAGGUCAAAUGAACUCUUUCUUUUUCUUAAUUGUGAUUGAAUUGAGCUAGGUUAGUAAUUUAAGAUUGAAGCAAGGUGUGUGUAGACCAAGCCACACCUCAAUUCAACCUUUAGUGCGAGGAUUUCUUUAGUGAAAUUUCAUAUAACGCUUAGAGCGCAUUCCGUUAAUCAAGUAGGUAUGACAAACUUUAGUGAUUGAGAGGUUUGGGGUGUCAUAUUGUGACUAGCAUCCCUUUCCUGAUGUUUGUGGUGUCAUUAAGGCUUUCUAAGCACCGAGGCAUUUUGUUGAACACCUUGUGUUCAUUACCAUUUGACUUGAUCACUUGUGAAUUGGUAGUGGUAAUCUAUUGCAAGACCAUUUCUUGGAUUCCUUCAAGUGGCCUAGAGGAAUAUCAAAACGUAAAUCCUGUCCAAAGUGUCCAAUUUCUCCAAUGAGUUGUAUUUGAGCAUAUUCCAACACCCGAAGUCUAGCAACCCUCGUUUCUUUGUUUGACAUUCUCACUCGUUUGUUUUGUUAAGAUUGAUUACUUUGAUAAACUUAGUUGGUAACUUUGAAAAAAAGAUUUUGAACCUUUUGUAGCUUAAACCGUGUUCCUAAACCCUGAGUAGAAGCUAGUGAACCAAUCCUCGUGACAUAACGACACUAGUUGUUAGGAAUUGGGAUAACAACCUUUUCUUGGCGAGCAGUGGCAAUUAUCCUUUCGCGGAUAUUUUCGUCCAUAUAUCCAAUCCGAACCAUAUAGUUUGGAUCCUAAUUUAAAUCCGAUCCAUAUGGAUCAGAUCGAAUAUCGAUGUAUUCGAUAUGGAUAUGAAUUUAUUAAUUUAAAAUAGUUGGAUACUAGUCGGAUUUGUAUCGGAUUUGGAUUAUCCAUAUUACAAAACUUGAUUCAACAUCCCAAUUAAAAGAGGGGAGUACUAUUCGCUGCCCUACGAUUUUUUUUAAAAUCACCCUAACUAAAUAAAUGACGUAAUUUCCCUCACGUAACACAUAAACCCUAACGCGUAUCUUCUCAACUUCUUUGCCGGCUAAUUACCGACAAAACCCUAGCGAGCUCGCGACUAUCAUCUGUCGAUCCCAACCUUCAUCACCGAUUAUUGACGAUCAAAUUAAGAUCAUAAAAACUAAAACUAGCUAUAUUUACCUAUAGAGAGAUGAUAGAAAUCAUCUCUAAUCUAGAUGAUUUGAUAUAGACCAUCAGAUCAGAAGAAACUCUCAUCUAAUGGCCUAGAAUUUUAGUACUUAUAUGAGUUGAAAAUCCUAUGUUUUCCCCAUUCUCUCUCUGCCGUUUCUGGUUUUUUGAAAAAUUCUGGUCCCCCUCCCCCUACUUCGAUUAUAAGGAAACUAAUUUCACUUACGAUGGUGACAAAUCCAUCGGAGACUGUGACGGCAACGAAUCCAUCGGCUACGGAGAUUACAACGAAACUAGUUCCACCGACAAUAGCGACGAAUCCAUCGGCGACGGCUAAAAAUCCACCUGCUACGGCUCCAUCGAUGACGGAGGCAUCCCAAGUUUGGUUUCUAAUUUGACCAAUUUGGAUCUGGGUGUUAUUCUUCCCUAAGUUUCAACCUAAUGUUGCAGUCGAGACAGCAUUGCGGUAGGGAGAGAGGAUCGAAUCUGGCAGCGCGAGAGGGAGUAGCAAUUUCGUCCCCUGUUCUCGGUAGGUUAUUAGGUUGUUAGCUGUAGAUCGUCUCCUUACAUUUUUCUCAUUGAAUUUUCCAGUUUUUAGGUAAUCCCAGGUUGUUGUACUUUGAUUUUGGGUGAACUAGUGUUUGUGUCUUCGGUUUGGCUAUACUAGUUUUAAAUUAGCAGUCAUUAUGUUCUCAAUGUUGUUUGAGAUAAGGAAAUUGUUUGCUAAGAAUGGUGAACUAAUUUUAUAUUAGCAGCCAUUAUGAUUGACAUUGUUUGGUAAGAAUGGUAAACUAGUUCGUGUCGUAUUUGUCUUUUUGUUGAACUAGUUUUGUUUGUUUCUUGGUUUCGGUAGCGGUAAGGCUUUUAUUUGUAGUUUUUUCUUAUCAUUGUUUGAUUUUAAGAACUACUUUAGUGUGAUUUGGAUGUCGGUUCGGAACAGUCGAACUAGUUAAAAUUGUAUUCUAAAUUAAGUAAUGGCUUGAACUUGGAUUGUCAAUUCUAUAAUGCAGUUGUUUAACUUCUGCUUCCAGACAUUUUGGGCAGUGAAAAUGGCUGAGGUUGGUAAGCAAGCAUCCCUUGCGACCCGAUGCAGCUCGAACCUAAUUUUGCAGUGAUGGGUAUUCUUCCAAGCAAUGAACAAUUGGAAGCCAUAAAGAAACUUGACUUCCAUGGAAUUACAGCUGUAAAGAUAAAACAAAUCAGCUGAGAUUUCAUGCAUUAGAUUAUGAAUACAUAUGAUAUAUAACCAAAACAAUUUGUGAUUUGAAACAAAAAGACAUUGAAGAUAACUGAAGAAGAUGUCCAUAGUGUUUAUGGUUUACCGCGAGGAGUCAAAGAAGUCAGUGUGGAAGGGUGUGCAGUUCAUAAAAUUAAGUCUGAAGCUGCGAAGUUGAUGCUUGUAGUUGGGAAAUAGACAUUUUUGUGUGGAAACCAUUGAUUUGGAAUGUGAUUUGGCUGAACUAAUUUGGGUUGUUUGGGAUUUCAGGUAGUUUGUUGUCAUUGUAUUCAUCCUGGUAUUUGGGUUCUUCAAGAUGAAUUGGUGAACUAGUUUGAUUUCUUUGGGAUAUUUUGAGGUAAUGGUGAACUAGUAUGAGUUUUUGUGAUAUCAAGCAUAGUUGAUGUAGUAGUGGAUUGGUUCAUGUGGAAAUCAGGGUGUAAUGGCGAACUAGUUCUGUGUAAUAUGAUUUCAAGUUUAAUUUGGGUGUAAUGGCGAACUAAUUCUGUGUACUAUGAUUUCAAGUUGAAUUUGGGUGUAGUGGCGAACUAGUUAUGUAUAUAAUAGAUUUCAAGUUGAAUUUGGGUGUACAAAUUUCGAUAUUUUUGGGUGCCAAGCAAACUAGCUUUGUUUGUUUGGGAUUUCAAGGCAUUUUGGUGAACUAGUUUAGAUUGUGAAUGAGAAAUUCAUUUGAAAUAUAAAUUGGACUACCGAACUCGACAUCAGGCAAGGAGUUCAUAUCAAAAGAAAACGAUGACUAUGAGUUGGAUACUCAUGGAAAAUUAUCGCUAUCAAACAGGUGCUCAAAAUUUAGUGUGGGAACUCUGAUAAAAGAAAAUUGAUAAACUAAAAUUGAUGGAAGGUGAGGGAUAAAUAAACCUCAUACGAGUUAGUCGUCGGUUUGAGAAGAAGAAUAAAGAAAAAUUGCUUUCAAUUAAAACACAAUAACAUAAAAAGGAAGUUUAAAAGGAUAUAUAUUAAUUAUAUGAAAAGAAAAUAUUACAAAAUAAACAAUUAACUACUCACCCAAAAAACUCAAGAUCCAAUGGUUAGGAUUAAUCAUCUAGAUUAGAGAUGAUUUUCAUCAUCUCCUCCUAAAACAUGCUUACCUACUAUGUGAACUAAUUAUCUAUGUUUGAACUUACAUGUGAACUUAACAUCAUCAUCAUAUCCCCAUCAUUGGAAGGUACGUAGACUAAUAGUAUUAGAUAGUCAUGUAAAUAAUUUAAACUAAGAGGGAGGUACUCUUGAUCAAAAUAAGAGGGUGGUACUAGCAUUACUUGAGUGUUAUGAUUGUAAAAAUUUUUUAAGCACCUCCUCUCUCAGGACAGGAGAGUAAUCCCGACAAGAACGAGUCGUCGGUCUAUUUCUUCUGCUGACAAUUCAAAGAUAUAAGUGUUUAGGGGGGUGUGGAUACACUCCGGUGGUUAGGUGUUGAGUCAUUUGUAUCAUAUACAUGAGUAUAUGUUCUACUAGUCUAAGGGAUUCAGUGUUGUAUGCCUAAUUGUGUGGUUUGCUGACUGACUUGCAUUUCGUGACAUUGUGGUAGAGUUGAGGCCCUAGGAUAUGUUUUCCAAUCACCACAUUUUGAUUUCUUUGUAGCGUACGAUUAGUAGAUUUGCUUGAGGACAAGCAAACAUUUAAGUGUGGGGGGAUUUUAUGUGCUUGAUUAUUAGCACAUGUUUUCCCUCUUUAAUUGACUUUUUUUACGUUUGGAUGCCUUAACAUGUUCGAAUUCAUGACAUUUGGCGCAUAUUUGGUUCUCCUUAGCCCCUUGGGCAGUGUUACGUUAGUUUGAAUGUUUUUAUGCAUUUUCGGGUGUUCUACAACACUUGAUAUCAAACCAGGACUAAAGUGGAGCUCAAACAAAGCGAGAAUCAUCAAUCCAGUGAAAGCUGGUGAGGUAGGAGAUUAGUGUGUCUUGGACGAAGAAGUGUGGGCAUUGUUUUGGCCAGAGAGCCUUUUUCAGGAACGGGCCAGCAGUCUUUCGUGGGCUAUUUGUAAGACCUUUUCGACUUAUGAAAAGAAAAAGAGACCUAAGAGACGAUAGAUUUCUCCCGGAGAAGGUAGAGAACAAGGGUUUUUGGAGUUCUCAUCGAGUUAGAGCAAGGAAACACAAGAUUGAAGUCCGAUAGGAGCAGAGUUUGUAUUUCAGCUUGAAGAUUAAUAUUUCUUGUUGUAAGAUGUCUUCUUCUCCAGUUUUUUCCGCUUUAUUUAUGCAAUCCUUCUUGAAACCAUGUCUAGCUAAACUCAUUAUGUUGUCUAGAUUCGAUGAAGCUUUAGAUUGAAUUUUUGUUGGAUGAUGACGAGUUUUUAACCCUUUUAUGCUAUCAAUGUUAUUAAGGAUAAUGAUGUGUUUUUGCUAAAACCUAAUUGUAGAUUUAGUCUUGCUUGAUCAUCUUUAUUGAAUCUUUGUUAUCUAUUAGUGGGUCCGAGAGGAACGGUGAUUGAUUGGACACUUAGGAAGAACUUUAGAUGACCCGUUAGCUCAAGAGAGGAGCGGUUAAUCUAGGCUUUUUGCAUCGUUUUCGUUGUGGCAUUUCAUCGAACAUUUUUAGUGCGUUUUGCUUGGGUGAAGAUUAGCUCGAAAGAGGAGUCUUCGGUCAAGAAGAAUAGAUCCUUCAAUUCGUGGGAGCGAUCUAAGGUUAACUUAGAAGAUUUCCAAGUCAUUAUAACCUGAAUAAUUGAAAUUGCAUGUCAUAUAUCAUGCAUUGUCUUCUAAAGUGAAUUCGAGUGUAGGCAACCUUCGUUUUAAUCUUCGACACAAACUUAAGAUUACUUGGUUACUUAGUUGGAGUAAUUAUAAUAAUUGUUUUAAUUUUUGCAUUAAUAGAUUGAUAAUCGUAUAACCUUUUCACAAAAUUUGUUUCAUUUAGUUUACAUUCUAGGUUGAGUAAUAAAAUUAGAAAAAUCUUAAGAAAUAUUUAAUAACAGAGUAAAAACUCCCUUAUCACCCUCUUUUGCCUUCACAAUCAGCUUCCAAGAGCAACCUCUCCCUCCAAACUCACCCUUCCUCCAACAAUUUGCUGCCAAUCGUUCGACGAUGGGUUUGGAUUGGGAUCCAUGAAGGUCGUCAUAUUCUGCUCCAAUGGAAAACUCUUAUCCGGGGACCAGGAGUCCGUAAAUAAAACACUACGUAGCCUAGCUGUUGUUCCUCGCCUUCAUCGUCGUAGCCGCUCCAUCCUUCACCUCACCCGCGUUGGACCGCUAGACGAUGACUUAAUCUCCGGCGACGACGAAUCCGAUCGAUCUGUCGUCAGCCCCAAUCGAAAGAUCCCUCCCAAUGGGAAAUAGAGGCGGAGCGGUGGUCGUCUGAGUAUAGAGCUCCCCGCGGUUGUCGAGAGCUGAAGAAUCAAGAAGGUGAAUAUGAAGCCGGAUUGGAAGCGGAUGGAGGAGAUGGUGGGCAUCGUGUAGUGCUGCUGCAAAUAAAUUAAAAACUGAAAAAUUAAAAAGGGAUAAUUUUUUUGAAAGUGCCAAAACUGCCCAUCUGUAUUUUCAUGUUUUGACUUGGUUGAACUCGGUUGAAUGUUUCCACAUUCAAUAAAAUUCGCUCCCAAAGAUACACCACAUUUAAUCCCUAUAGAAGAAAAGUAAAGCAUCCAUGAAUUAAUAAUUAAAGUCUCCCAGUAAUCAACUAAUCAUAGAGUUACACUCAACGACAUAAAUCCCAAGUAUUUAAAGAUCGGGAUGUUACAUACAUAGUGGGUAAUGAACAAUGACUAGUCUUAAAUGAGAGAGGCCACUUUUUAAUCAGAUUAUCACGUGAUUUCGAUUAAUUAGCGACUGGGUGAGCGAAAAUCCCGGCCCUUGACAAUGGGAGGUUGUGAUGGCUUCCGCAAUUGCUUCAGGACUGGGCACAUUGGACACCAUCACUGAUCGUCAUCGACCCAUAAUACAAAUUUCGUCAUUCGCUCAAUCUGCUUUCAAAUAGAAGGCAGUUUUGACUUUGGAAUGAAGUAUUGGUACACACUUGAGCGGAGCAGCAGAGUUUUGUGUUUCCUUUCCGUUUCGUGUUUAACAAACUUGGUUAACUGCCAGUCAACGAAGCAGCUGUAAUAUUUGUGUUUUUAUUUAGUCAGGUUUUAUUCGGUCACAAAGAUAGUAAGAACUUGGAAUCAAUCGAUGAUGGGUCCUCUAUGUAAGUUCCAUAUUUAUUUGAGCCUAUAGAUUCUGGAAAUUAGUACCAUAUACAUCCAAUAAUUGAUAUAUCACAUACAUAUACACUAGAUCGUAUCCGACCGGUUGGCCGAAAGUCUAAUGAACUAAAACACUGUUUGUUUGAAAAAAUUUAAAAGAAAUAUAUAGUUAGGUCAUAGGCGGUGUACACUCCUAAUUAAUAUGUUUUUAGGUAGAAUCCUAAAAAUGAGUAGCCCGUGCAUUAUCGUGACACCAAACACAUUAGCUUGUAAAUCCUUCAAGAUCUUAAUAUGAUGGAAAUUGAAUAGACUUAAAAUGGUUUUACAUUUGACAUAUUCAACUUAUAAAUAGUUUUGCACUAUAUACUUUCGCCUAAUAAUAUACUUUUACCAAUACGUGUCUUUGUACCAUUAGCCAUAGCCUGUUAGCGGAGCUUAGACCCGUGAUUAAAAGUAAAAGUAUGUUAACUAAUAUGUGUAAGUUAAAAUUUUGUUACAGUAAUUCUAUUAUUAUAUAUAAGCAUGUACAUAAUUGUGAUAAUUUUGAUUGUUAAAUCGANNNNNNNNNNNNNNNNNNNNNNNNNNNNNNNNNNNNNNNNNNNNNNNNNNNNNNNNNNNNNNNNNNNNNNNNNNNNNNNNNNNNNNNNNNNNNNNNNNNNNNNNNNNNNNNNNNNNNNNNNNNNNNNNNNNNNNNNNNNNNNNNNNNNNNNNNNNNNNNNNNNNNNNNNNNNNNNNNNNNNNNNNNNNNNNNNNNNNNNNNNNNNNNNNNNNNNNNNNNNNNNNNNNNNNNNNNNNNNNNNNNNNNNNNNNNNNNNNNNNNNNNNNNNNNNNNNNNNNNNNNNNNNNNNNNNNNNNNNNNNNNNNNNNNNNNNNNNNNNNNNNNNNNNNNNNNNNNNNNNNNNNNNNNNNNNNNNNNNNNNNNNNNNNNNNNNNNNNNNNNNNNNNNNNNNNNNNNNNNNNNNNNNNNNNNNNNNNNNNNNNNNNNNNNNNNNNNNNNNNNNNNNNNNNNNNNNNNNNNNNNNNNNNNNNNNNNNNNNNNNNNNNNNNNNNNNNNNNNNNNNNNNNNNNNNNNNNNNNNAUAAACUGAUGAUUGUUAAAAGAACUAAAUAGGAGCCGUUCGAUUAAGAGCAGAAGAGACGAAGAAGCAAAUAUUGAAGUAACAAGAGCGGUUGAGGUAAAGAAUGAGGAUAAUAUCCAAAGAUAAGGAGAAUUAGAAGGAGUAGUGUGAGUAAUAGAAAUAUACUUGAAGUAGGAAAAGGAAAAGGUUGGUGCUCUGGCAUCUGCAUCAGAGAAGAAGAAAGAGGAAGAAAAUGGGAGACAGAAAUAGAAGGAGUAUUGAUAGAAACAUUUCAACCCCACAUACAUCUUCACUUCUUCAGUGCAGUGCAGUGUAGUCACUACUAUUUCUUCUUCUUCUUCUUUCCAUUUCGCUUUCAUCGAAUACCACACCGUAAUAUAUAUUAUAUAUUUUGUAUAUUGCUUCUCUCGUGUAUGUAGUUUUACCUUUGUUUCCUUGUCAAUCUUCUUUUGGCUCAUUAUAUUCCUCAGACUCAGACCUCCUUCUUUUUCUAAUUUACUGUAUUAUAUACAUGACACAUUUGUUUGCUGCCACACCACCCACCCAGCUGAGAGCUGAGAAUGAGAUGCCAUGCCAUGCCCCCUUCAUUAUUAUUAUCUAAUUAAUUCUGGACUACUGACACUUCAUGGAAACCCAACCAGAAUAGUUUGCAUGCUAACCAGCAAAUUUAAGGAUAUAGUCAAGGUAGGGAAUCAUUACCUUUACCCUUCUCCUAUAAUAUAUAAUCCACUUUAAUUAAUUAUAUAUGUUGACGAUAAUGAUAAACCUAAUGAUGAUGAUGAUUUGAAACCCCAUCUUCAGUAUGAUUAGAUUAUCCAAGUACAACAAAGUAAUGGAAAAAGAAGAAAGAGUGGAUUAAAAUGUUGGUGUUGCAUUCAUUCAUUGUAUAGACGCAUUAUUAUUCAUUAAUGAGAGGAAGCCCUGGAGGAAGGGGAUUGCAGUUGCCAGUUGCAGACACUGUAAAUGUAUAGCUGAAAUAGCAGCAGAUCAGAGAAAGAGAGAGACACUGAAGAAAUACCUUUCUUUUACCUCCCCACCCCCUUGCAGUUGCAUUGCUUGUCAUCAGCUUUUUAUUUCCCUUGCAAUGGGAAAAUAGAAUAUGGUAAAACAGCUAUACCCAUAUUUCUUUCUAUAACAUGACAAACUUCCAAACCUUCUCUUCCUCUCUCCUACUACUACUAUGUCUAUACUACUCCAUUAAUGCAACUGAAGCAUUUAUAGCAUCAAAGUCAGCAAUACAAGGCAACACAAACACAACAAGAAGAAGAAGAAUCGGAUAAUAACUUAAAAUGAAAAAUAAAUGGCAAAGAAAUAUAAUAGAAGUACUCAAUCGAUUGCUUAAUUAUAUAUAUGUACACUAAAACAAAAGCCCACAUUCUUUUACUUCUUCUUCUUCUAAGCAUGAUGAGAUGACAAGAUUCAUCAAUACAUAAAAAGGGGAGAUCUAAUGAUAUAUGAAUGAGAUCCUACUCAAAAAAGGGUUUUUCUUUCAGAUUCAGGAACCCAAAAAGAGAAGAAAACCCAUCAUCGCCGUGGUUCUAGUAAAUCAUGCUACUAAUAAUUAGUGCUGAAAAUAUAGUAAAUAAUAUGCAAUUGCCAAUUGAGAUUCAUCUGAUCUAACAAGGAGAAGGAGGCAUUAGGUUCAAACCCAAAUCAUCCUUUUCCAAAACAAAACGGUGAGACUUACUACUACUAUUAGUACUAGUCUGAUGAUUGAUGGCGUAGUCAUGGUCCGGGUGCAAUCUCUUCUUGGAAGACUGGUUAUGAUUAUGAUUAUUAUUAAUGGCCACUCCAAACAACUUGGUGUUGUUGUUGUUGCACCCUUCAAUUUCUUCAAGAAUGGUGACAGUGCUGUGGGAGUUGUUGCUGCUCUUGUUACCACUGUAGCUUGGAGAUGUUAUAGUAGUGCUGUUAGUACCCAGCACUUGAACAUGAGGAGCACCUGAUUGCCCUUUCUUCAUCAUCAUCAUCGUACUCGUCAUAUUGUUGGUGUUGUUGUUAUAUCCACCACCAAGCAGCAGCUGGUUUAACGGAGGAGCCUUAUUGGGUGUGGGAGGAGGGACGGGCUUGACGUGGUUCUGAACAAAAUAGAUGAUGUCGUUGUAAAGCUUCUUCAUGUGAGAUAACUCCGUCAUCAGCAUAUUGUUGCUCCUCCUCAGCCUUUCGUUGUCCUGUGAUAACGCCGUCACCGUCCCUGCUGCACUACUAGUAUUACCACUACCACCACCACCACCACCACCAGUGGUGUAGUACACUCCUCCUCCUCCUGCUCCGUUUAUCAUCAUGCUGGCGGGUCCCAUUAGCCCUGAUAAAGUUCCCGACGGAGGGGACCAGUUAUUGUGAUUGUGUUGGAAGUAGUGGUCGUCAGCGUCGUCGGACGGAGAGAUGCUGAGGCGGUUGGUCGAGAAAGGGAAGAAGCCACCCGCCGGAUGAUAAUGGUGGCGGUGGUGUGGCGGAGGAGGUGGAGGAAGCUGAGCUGUCUUUCUGCGGUGGAUUUCGCAGAGCAAGUGUUUUUCGCCCUUCUUGAAGAAGUCAUUGGCGAAUUCCCAUCUAUCAGGCACUAUUUUCCUAAACCCCUACAAAAUCACAAAAACCCAAAAACAUAAAAUGAGCUGUUUUUACAUAUCUAGUUGAAGAGAAAAAGAAAAAAGAAAGGAAAUGAAUGGAAGUAAAGCGUACGUAGGUGUUGAGCUGGCGGACGAAGGAGGAGAAGUUGUUAUGCUUGAAGUAGUUAGGGAGGAGGUCGCGAGCGAAUUCAGGUGGACGCCAGACGAUGAAAGUAGAGUGGUCUUCUCCCCAAGAAACGAUAUCGUCGGUGGAAGGGUCGUCCACAAGCUGGUAAGUCUUGGUGAGGAAUGGAGCCGGCACCGACUUCUGGGAUUCCAGUGACAGCAACAUCCCGCCGUCGACUCCGCAUGAUGAUGAUGCCGAGUUCUCCACUAUCAGUGCCAUAUUUAUGUUGUGUGUUUGGCAGUGUUAGGCGAUCGAGGUGAGAAACAAAGACAGAGAGGUUGAGGAGGAGAGACUAGAGAGUAAGUAAGAGAGAAGAGAAGGGUAAAAAAUGUCUGGGAGAAACUAAUUGGGGCCUUUGGGGGCUGGGUGGGUGGGUAGUGAAGAAAUAGAACAAGAGUAGUAGGGGCAAGGACGACCGAAAGGAAAGGUCCCCGCUACAGCUAUUAACUAAUAACCUCAGUUCCUUUUUUUUUUUAAAAAUGUAUAAUAUUAACCUUACCAAUCUAAACGUACAUCUAUUUUGUCUCCUUCGUUCACUACUGCAAAACACAUAUACAUCUUCAUUAAUAUAGUUACAAAAUGAAGAAAAAAUGUUGAACAGUAGCAAAAGUAUAAGUUUACUAAAUAUCUAAGUAGGAGUAAAUAAUAAUAAUAAUGUUGGAAAAUUUGUAAUAAACAUGGAUAGUAGGUCUAGAUGUGGUAGAGAUCGAACAUAAGUAAUUUAUUUUAAUAUGGGAUAUAAAACAGAAGCAGGAGGGUUGGAGUAUGUGGGGUUUUUGUUUGGUUGUGUCCGACCUCGGGGUUAUGGAUGGUAGAAGGAAGGGAAUAUGUGUCUGCGUGUAUGUCUAGGAUGGACCUCUUCUCUCUUUCUCUUUUUUUUUUUUGUUUCUCUUCUUCUUCUUCUCUAUUUAAGAGCAUUUCAAGACAAACCCGUGACACCACUCUCUAUUUCUCUCUCUUUGCUUUUUCCCCUGACGUAUGUCCUUUUUGUUUUGUUUUGUUUUGUAUAUAUAGAUAUUUUAAAUUUCUAGUGUUUUCUCUCAUCUCUCUUUCGUUUUGGUAUUACUGUAAAAAAAGAAAAAUCGGAAUUAGUCUGACAAAAUUGACCCCCGCCCGCACACCCACUUGAGAGCCCAGCUGAUAGCGCAAUUGUGAGUGAAGGAAAUCAGAAAUGGUAGGAAGUCUGUGGUGGUGUGCUUUCGGGAAUUUGACAAAAUUUUACCCCCCUCCAAACGAUCCCCUUUCCUCCAUGACUUCAUUUUCCUUCACAAAUAAAAUACUUGUUUGUUUCUAUCAUUUAUUACUCUUUUUCUUUGGAUUAUUUGCUUCCUGUGCAUUUUGGUCAACACUAGUCACCUUUACUUACCCACAAUUCCAUUCCAUACAUACUCCAAAUACUAUUUUCCUCUGCCUCCCUUUUCCAGUCCCUUUUUUUUGCUACUUCCUUUAAUACCCAAGAAAACAAAAUACGAAUACAACAAAUUUAGCUUCUUUUUUUUUUGUUAUUGUGAUGAUGACAAAGAUACAAGGCCAAAGACGACUUUUUAUUUCCUUUUGGAUGCAUGUUUCUUUCCAUGUUGGAUUUCAUAAUACCGUAAUUAGUUCAAACGGUAAUGGUGCAAAUUGAAUAGAGCUUAGUUAUAGCAAAGAUAAAAAAAAAAAGAUUGAGGAAGAAGAGGUAGACAAGGUAGUGCAUGUGGGUUUGAUUUCUUUUCAAUGGAUCCAAACGAGUACCUACCACAACUUAGUAUUUUGUAAUUUAGUGUUUGUAAUUUUUUUGGAGAAGAAUCUAAUGUUUGUUGUUUAAUGGAAUGGAAGGAGGGGGAGAAAACAACGGAACUUAAUUUAGAAGAAGAAGAAGAAGAAGAAGAAGAAGAAGAAAACAAUGUGAAAGAAAGAAGCACAUGUGCACGCUCCCCAAUUUCGAAUCAUUUCGUGUCUGUUUCUAUAACUAUAUAUACUAUAUAUAAACAAAAGGAUAUAUAUGUAGCAUGGAACUACGUGCAUGUUUUGCAGAUUAAACAAAACAAUUGGAUGCUUGUUCUUGUUUGUUGUUUGGUUUCUUCUUCCCAACAACCCAUUUUUUCCUCCUUUCCUUCUUCUUCUCAGCCUUUUUCCUUCUUCUUCUACCAUUCCAAACUUUCAUGACUACUUCUACGUACUCUGUCUUUUAAUUUCACUUUAAAAUUAGCAUUUUUUAUCUCACUUGAUAGUUUUCUUUUUAAUGAAAAUAAUUACAAGACAGGUCUAUAAGAGAGACCAGCAACGGCCAUCUUCACAGGCACAUUAAGUAACGUUAUUACUUAAUAUACGGAUAUGUGUACACCUUGAAACUUCAUUUGUUUGGUGAAUUAAGCAUUUCAUUUACCCCCCUGUUCCCACCGAUUAAUCUUCUUUCUACUUUUAUGGCCUUUUAUGGAGACUCUAAUUCUAAUUCUAAACAGUUAAUUUUGUGUUUAAAAUUAUGAAAAAAGGUGCUUUGAUAUAUGUGGUGCGACUUAACUUCUAUUUUUCACAGUGACACAUGUUAAAAGAAAUUAACAGUCUGCAAGAAACCCAAAGCAGAGAUGAUUUGGAACAUUAUUUGCAAUGAGUGAGCUUUUCUGUUAAUGAUCAGUAAAAGAUAGACGGUAAAAACUCAAAAAAAGGGAUAAAAACAAGGAAGUUGAGGGGUCCGAAAGUGACACUAUAUAUGUAUGGAAAAAGGAAACGGAAAGGAUAAUAAAAUGAUGAGCAAUUAUUUCAAACAGAUACUCCACAACUGAUUGUUCUAAUCAUGCCUUAUGAUUCUCAUUCAUAUAAUUAGUUGGGGAUAUACAACGCUACAAAAGUAGUGCAACUCUGCUUGUAAUAUACAUACAUUUACUUACUCCCUUUUGUUAUAUCAAAGUUUUGACAUUUACCAACUACAUAGUGGUCUGGUCGAUGCCCCUUUAGGUGAAAAGGGAUGAAGUUGUGUUUUCAAAGUAAUUUGCAGAUAACUUUUAGACAUUUAACAUUCUGGGGAAAAUAGAUUGAACCUAUAUGUAUGUAGUUAAUCACUUACCCGUUAAAGUUAACUGCAUAAUAAUAAUGAGUUCAAACCUCAAACGAACACGUACUACUAUUGACAAACAUCAUGUUUGGAAAGUUGGAUAUAUGGCUAGCUAGUGUGAACUCAUACAUGCACAUCGAAUAUCAUGAGAGAAUCGUUUCUGUGUUCACGUCUCCCCUGAAUUUAAAAAAUGCACGCUUUAUAGGUGGUGAGAUCUUGUAUAUAUAGUAAGCUGGAUUUGUAGCAGUGAUAUGAUAUAUUUUUUUAAAAGGACUAGUCAUGUGGUAUAUGCUUAAGUGCGUAACGUCCAAAUUAAAGAAAUGGAAGUAGGAAAAGUAAAAGUGGUGGGGGGAGACUACUAUAGAAAAUUAGAUGUAGAAGAAACUGGCAAGAAUUGGAGUGUCGUGGCUCCUGUGUCAGCUUCGAGUCCCAACAUUCAAUUCAUACCAAUUUAAUAUCAUCAUCCACAUAUAUAUAUGUAUUUUUAGAAAGAGAUAGAGAUAGAGAGAAGGUACGUAGUACGUAGCAGGUGGGCUUAGAGAGAGAGAGAGAGAGAAAAAGGUCUGAUGUUUAUUUAAAAUAAAAAUGGAGAAGAUGGUCCAAAAAUAAAAUGGUUACGUAUCUCCGUCUGGUGGGUUUCAUCUUCAAAAACCAUAUGUGUACAAGAAAACCCAGGCUGCACCUACUGCUGCUCUCUCUGGGAGUUUUGCAGCGGCUGACAUGGAAACUUGUCCUAUUUUUUUUCUUAUUUGUUAAUUUUGAGUUGAGAGAGAGAGAGAGAGAUGAAAGGAGAGUAGAGCUGGUAAAGAACAAGAAAGAAGAUGGAGAUGAAAGAGGGGGGGCAGCUAAGCUUUGUGGGUGUGUGUUGUUUAUUUGUAGCCUUACUGGUUAUGCCAUUCUCGUGAUUCCAAAGUUUUGUUCUCUUCUCCGAUGCGCAUAUUUCCAUUAAAAAUAUUUCACUGCAAACCAUAAAAACAACAGACAUCCCCAUUCCCUACCCCCAAUAUGUUCCUUUUCUUCUUUUUUUACUUUCGGAAUUCACAUUUCCUCCUAUCUACCUACCUACUUCCUUUCUAAGCCAAAGCUACAAUAUUUCCAUCCUAACUUGAUUAUUUUGGAUUCAAGUUAAUUUCUUUAUAACAUUUAACCCUCACACUAUACACAAACAAACCAACAAGUUCGAAAAACCCUAACCGCACUAUGGCCGCGAAAUAGAAACAAAAAUUUGGUCACGCAGUUCAAAAACUUUUAGUAACAACAAAUAAAAAUUCAAUAUGCAAAAUGAGAAGAGACUCGACCUAAUAUGUACUAUGACUUUUGACGAGAGUACAAAGUAGCAAUAAAUAAAAACCCAUAAGCAACAUCCAAAAACACGAAAUCAAAUAAGCAUGCAACAACAUCAAUCGAGUGAGCACAAGAGAAAGUAGAGAAAUAAUAAUUCUUGUAUUCCUUGAAGGUUUGAAGCAAAAAAAAAGCUUCAAAAUGAGAUAGCAACAUAACCCUACCCCUCUCCUUAAGAACACUCUAGAAUUUUUUAUUAAACGGACAUGUAUGGGAGAAUUUUUGUGUGUAUUAAUUUAUUGAUGUACAAGACUCUUCUUAUAAAGAGGACUCAUAUGAGAUCUGCUUAGGUACGGGAGUCAUAUGAGACCUGCCUAGGUAUAGGAGUCGGUUAAUUUGAUUAUUAAUCGUUAAUUAACAAUUGGUGAAAUUGAUAUGAACAUUCAGAUCGGUUAUUUUUAACCGACCGACCGCCACGGUUAAUUAACCGGUUGACUAAUGUAACCGACACUUUAACGCUCCCCCCUCAAGUUUGGUGGUGUAAAUAUCAUACAUCCCAAGCUUGAAGGGGAGUGUUGAAGAUACGUGUAUAGCUAUACAAUUACCUAGUUUGUAUAUCCCAAGCUUGCUGAUCGCCAAAAUAACUGUAAGUUCUCUCGACAACACAAGUGUCGUAUGUGUCCAAGGAUUCCUCUCGUUAUGCUUUUACUCAAACUUAUCAACACGGUCUAGACUUAAUAAUUUGGGAAAGGUUUCUAAUUAAUCUAUUGACUCAAUUAAAACUAAAAAUUAAGGUUUGAUCAAAAGGAGAAAACAAGUUCUUGGAAGGGAUGAUUCAUCAAGCUUAACUUCCUAAUAGUAGUCAAAUCAAGCAAAUGUUGGACUUGGAUUGAAUAUUAUGAUUCUUCUUAUCACUCGUAUGAAUCCGCGGCACGAUCAUGCGCGUGGAUUACCACUACUAGUUUCCCAGUCAAGAAGAACUAUGAUGGUUAGGAUUUCUUUGCAAGAUGAUGGUUAGGGUUUCUUUUCAAUUACUUUCUUCUAGAACUAUAAGUAGCUAAAUCCUUAGGGAUUCUUGGUUGAGAUGUAGGAAUUAAGCUAUGAAACUUGUCUUGAAUGUGUAAGAUUGACGUUUGUGGAUGAUUGAAUUGCAAUGAAAGUUUGUCUUGAUUGUUUGGUGUUCAACCUAAUUCUUGUUAUGGCUUGAAUUAGGUCAAAUUCAUGAAAUCUUUUGUUCGUGAAAGACUUAGGAAUUCGUUAGAUUGACAAUCGAGGAUAGAAUUUGGUUUUAACAUUAGUCAUCUUGUAAUUGGCGAACGCUCUAGUUUGCACCCAAUGGACCAAGUUGGGUGUAGUUAUCAGUAGCUUAGGCGUUGAUGGACCAAGUUAACGCUAUUUCCAAUUACUGGUGAUUUCUUUUAAUUCUUGUGGAACACCCCUUUCACUUUGUAGAACUUCUCGGUGUUCAUUACCGGCUAGCCUGAUUAAGGGGAUUUCUACCUUAGUUGGGAAGCUAGUAGUGGAAAUCCGCGUGCAUGGUCGUGCCGCGGAUUUAUACGAGUGAUAGGAGGAUUCGUCUUAUUCAAUUCAAGUCCACAUUCGCUCGUUUUGAAUGCAUUUAGGCGGUUGAGCUUAAUGACUCUUCUCUUCCAAGAACUCAAUUUCUCCAUUUCAAACAACCUUUAAAUUGAUAGUUUUAGUUAACUUUAGAAUCAUUAGAAAUUAAAACCAAUUAUUUUAGUCUAAACCGUGUUGAUGAAUUCGAGUAGAGGCAUAACGAGAGGACCGGCUAGCCUGAUUAAGGGGAUUUCUACCUUAGUUGGGAAGCCAGUAGUGGUAAUCCACGUGCAUGAUCGUGCCACAGAUUCAUACGAGUGUUAGGAGGAUUCGUUUUAUUCAAUUCAAGUCCACAUUCGCUCGUUUUGAAUGCAUUUAGGCGGUUGAGCUUAAUGACUCUUCUCUUCCAAGAACUCAAUUUCUCCAUUUCAAACAACCUUUAAAUUGAUAGUUUUAGUUAACUUUAGAAUCAUUAGAAAUUAAAACCAAUUAUUUUAGUCUAAACCGUGUUGAUGAAUUCGAGUAGAGGCAUAACGAGAGGAACCUUCGGACACAAACGACACUUGUGUUGUCGGAAUAACUUCACAGUUAUUCGGGCGAUCACAAACCAAGCACAAACUUUUGCAUAAAGUUAGUACCACUCAACACCCACCGACAAAAACAUUUCCCCUAUCACCUAUGCUCAAAACAGAUAGUCCUGGCCGGGUAUUUUUCCCGUCCUAAGUAGUACCACUCAACACCCACCGACAAAAACAUUUCCCUAUCACUUAUGCUCAAAACAGACGAUCCUGGCCGGGUAUUUUACCCGUCCUAAGAGAGGAAUUGGGUACUUUAAUAAUGUAUUCAAAUAAGAGCACUCCCCUCUUCUUUUGCAAUUUAACUAUUCAUGAUAUACUAAACACGUUUGAGUCAAUUGAAUUACUCACUUAAUUGCAAACUCACUUUUCAAAUUUCUUUUAAUACUUUUGGAGGGUAUCUUUCCAAAUGGGGGUAGUUGCAAUCCUAAUCGGGUAAACUUUCAUCCACAUAGACCGACUUGACCUGAAAAACCCCGACCCACAACUAGGAAGAGGUGAGAAGAGAAGCUUGAAGAGACUAGCUUGCAGGCGACAGACUCAAGGUCGCUCGUGUGUUGAAUCGCAACCAAACCCCCAUCACAAUUUGGCACAUUGGCCUCUUUUACACCUUAUUCAGACCAUCUAGUCAAAUAUGAAUUUAAACAACUAGUGCGACUUGAUAUGGGAAUUAAUUGUUCACAAGUCGGUAGGUAUCAAGAUCGAGUCACCAAGUGCAUAAAUCUAUUCUAAACUCGUUUCGAGAAAAAUGAGAGGCGACCCAAAAAUGAGAGCCCCUCUGCUCUUCCAUUUCAUUUCUCGAUCUUUCGUUCGAGCUCCAACCGUGCUCUACUUCAUGUCUAUAGCUUUAUAAGCAGACCACCUGUCUCUAGAUUACCCGUGGACAAAAAAUACUACAAAGAAACACAUCAAAUGGACCGAAACGGUCCAAAUGAACGAGUCUAGGCACAUAAUGCCAAAACACUAAAUCACACGAGAAUGAAACUCGAACAAACUAAUUAUCACUCAAAAAGCAUGCAUAUCAUGACAGAUAAUUUCUACAAAUUCUAGCCUUAUCGAAUCCCCCCCCCCUCACACUAUAAUCUUGCUUAUCCUCAAGCAAAUUACUUUAUGCACUCUAAGCAAACUCUAAACAUGGUGAAAAGGAAACAACAUGCUAGCAGUUCAAGCCUACUUCAUGAUGCCAAGAAUACACUUUAGAUCACCAAACCACACAGUUAGAUUUACCGAGUGCUCUAAUCCAAAUGAAGAACAAACUUGUGCAUAUAGUUAGUACCACUCGACACCCACCGACAAAAACAUUUCCCCUAUCACCUAUGCUCAAAACAGAUGGUCUUGGCCUGGUAUUUUUUCCAUCCUAAGGGAGGGAGUGUUUACGUUAAUAAUGUAUUCAAAUUGGAUCACUCCCCUCUUAUUUUAUAAUUUUACUAUACAUGAUAUACUAAACACGUUUAGGUCAAUUGAAUUACUCAAUUAAUUGCAAACCCACUUUUCAAACAUUUUGUAUAGAUUUGGAGAGUAUCUUUCCAAGUGGGGGUAGUUGCGAUCCUCAUCGGGCUAAGGCUCUCAUCCACAUAGAUCGAGUUUACCUGAAAAACCCCGACCCACAACUAGGAGGAGGUGAGAAAAGAAGCCUGAAGGGACUAGCUUACAGGCGGCAGACUCAAGGUCGCCGGUGUGUUGAAUCGCAACCGAACCCCCACAAAAAUUUGGGAACAUUGGCCUCUUUUGCACCUUAUUCAGAACAUCUAGUCUCAUAUGACUUUAAACAACUAGAACGACUCGAUAAGGGAAUUAAUUGUUCAUAAAGCGAUAGACAUCAAGACCGAGUAACCAAGUGCAUACAUUCAUUCUAAACUCAUUUAGAGAAAACCGAGAGGCGGCCCAAAAGUGAUCUAUCAUGCAUCCUAUUCACCCUCAAGUAGCAAUACUACGCUAAACAUGUAGCAAUACUACGCUAAACAUGCAUUCACAUCAUCCAAAAUUUUCAAGUUUAAGAGGGAAUUUCAAAUGUUGAAAGACAAGGAUUCAAUAAAAGCAAUCAAGUGAAAUACUAGCAUCCUAAUUCAUCCCAUAAACCACAACAUUAUCCUCACAAGCAGUCACAUUUAGAGAAGAGGUAAGGUGAUACCGAUGAAAUGGAGUUUGGUGGUGAGAUGCGAUAGAAGAACCAUUAUUGAGACCUGCCAACCAUAACAAAGACACAAAAACAACGUACUAGUGAUAGAUGUAACAAGUGUUAUCAUCCGUUAACACGAGUCCAAAUGAAGCAUAAGUGUUGACCAAUCAAUCAAAAUCAAUUCCCGCCAUACUUAGAAUUUUCGCCUCCUCGCAAAAUAACUAAUGUGGAAGGUAGGGAAACAAACUCUGGGUAGUUGAUUUUUCAGUAAGGGUGCACGGCGUGCAUACCUUUUUUCUACUAAGGUUUUGAAACAAUCUAGCCAUGCACGACGUGCAUGGGUGCACCACAUGCAUGCUAGAUUCAUAGAAACAUUUUAAUUCAACCUUCGACAACACUCAUCAAACACAAACACUCAAUAAUCACAGCUCCCUAACAUUCAUUUGGCAAAAACGAUCAGAUAGGACACUAUCAACGGACUCAAAACUUGACUCAAUCACAAGACUAACACAAAAGACAUACCACAAGACAUACAAACCAAUAAUCCUUGGGUUUUUAUUCUCUAUUCUAACAAUGGAUAUGCAAGGGGUGCCUCCCAAGAGCGCUCUUUCUUUUUUGUUUUUGAGCUAGACGAUACCUGGAUUAUGCUCCCCAACUUAGAACCUCCUUGAAUUCCGUUAGCUUCUUCAAGGAUUGGAGUUGAUUUCCAAGUAGCACCCUUAGAGAGAGAUGGAGGAUCCAAAGCGGUUGUGAGCGCCAACUCUUUCCUUGUUGUCGCUUCCUCCUUGUGAAUGUGUAUGCAUGAUGAGGGUAGAGGUAGGUUGGUGAGUGAACAUCAAGUUCUAUAAUGCUCCCCAAGCUAAUGGUGGUAUUCUGGCAGUCGGUGAGGUCGUCCAAGGGUGAUCCCGAGAUGGAGAAUUUUGUUCUAGACCGGUGUGGGAAGUACUCCUUGUGAGUUUCCUCACAUAGGUACUUCAAAACCAAACAUGAGUCUUGAAGGGUCUCGUUUGGUCUCAUUGGAACCACAACUCGAGGAAAACGCCAAACAAUGGAUUUUUCAAUGGGAGCUGCAAUGUCGAAUUUGGAAGGCUUCAUAUCUUCAUGUACUUCUUCCUUCCACUCUUUUCCUUCCACUCUCCAUCAGCAUCCCUUUCAGACUCUUAUACCCCAACAUCAAAGAGAGGUAGCCUGUCUUCAAGGAAGGUUGAUGCCUUCACUUCUUCUUCACACCAUCUUCCGUACAUCUCUAACCCCAAAAACAAUCAAAGUAGGUGGUCUUCAAGGGAAGGGACUUCUUCCCUUUCUAACUCCUCUCCCUCACCAUCAUGAUCUGUGUAUUUGUCCUUUGAGAUUGAAAAGUCUUCAAGAUAGAUUGUUAAUUCACCUUCUUUCCCCAUCGGCUCGUGCAUACAUCUCUAAUCCCAAAUACCAUUCAAGUAAGUUAUCUUGACAACACAAGUGUCGUAUGUGUCCAAAAGUUCCUUUUGUUAUGCUUCUACUCAAACUCGUCAACACGGUCUAGACGAAACCGAUUGAAAAGGGUUUCUAACAAUCCUAUUAAUUUAACUCAAAUAGACAAUUAAGGUUUGAUCAAAGGGGAGAAAUCAAACUCUUGGAUGAGAUGAUUCAUCAAGCUCAACUUCCUAAUAGCAGUCAGAUCAAACAAACUUUGGACUUGAAUUAAAUAAUAUGAUUCCUCUUAUCACUCGUAUGAAUCUGCAGCACGAUCAUGUAUGUGGAUUACCACUACUAGUUUCCCAAUCAAGGUUGGAACAACCUCAACUAGGCUAACCGAUAAUGAACACCGAGAAGCUCUACAAAGUGAUAAGGUGCUCUUUCAGAAUUAAAGGAAAUCGCGAGUAAUCGGAAUUAGUAUUAACUUGGUCCAUCAAUACUUAAGCUAUUGAUAAGCACAUCCAACUUGGUCCAUUAGGUGCAAACCAGAGCGCCCGCCAAUUACAAGAUGAACAACCUUUAAAACUAAAAGAAACACGAAACGAGCUAUUGGCUUACCCCACCGAUAACUUUCAUCUAUCUUAGAUUGUUAAUCAUAUGAAUUCCAGAAUCUAUUAAAUAAAGGAUUUUAUAGAUUUGACCUAAUUCAAGCCGUAACAAGAACUAGGUUGAAAACCUAACAAUGAAGCAAUCAUUCAUUUGAAUCCAAUUAUUCAACAAUCAUCGACCCUAUACUUUUAGGGAGAGUUUCAUCGGUCAAAUCCUACAUCUCAACCAAGAAACUCUAAAGUAUAGCUACUCAUGAUUCUAGAAGAAGACAAAUCAGAAUUCAGCCUAACCAUGAUCUUGAUUGUGAGACGAUGAAUCCAUCUUGCUCCAAUCGUCGCUUUUAAUCUUCUAGUUUCAAUCGUAGCCCAAUCAAUCUUUCUUACCUCUUCACUAUGUUUUGAUCAUAAGUGAGACAACAUGCUAGCAGUUCAAGCCUACUUCAUGAUUCCAAGAACACACUUUAGUCACUAAACCAAACAGUUAUAUUUACCAAGUCUUCUAAUCCAAAUAAAAAACAAACCUAUGCAUAUAGUUAGUACCACUCAACACCCACCGACAAAAACAUUUCCCCUAUCACUUAUGCUCAAAACAGAUGGUCCUGGCCUCGUAUUUUUCCGUCAUAAGGGAGGGAGUGCUUACUUUAAUAAUAUAUUCAAAUCAGAGCACUCCCCUCUUCUUUUAAAAUUUUUCUAUAGAUGAUAUACUAAACUCUUUUGGGUCAAUUGAAUUACUCAAUUAAUUGAAAACCCACUUUUCAAAAUUUUUGUAUAACUUUUUGGGGGUAUCUUUCAAAGUGGGGAUAGUUGCGACCCUGAUCGAGUUAAGGCUCUCAUCCACAUAGACUGAGUUUACCCAAAAAACCCUGACCAACAACUUGGAAGAGGUGAGAAGAAAAGCCUGAAGGAACUAGCUUGCAGGCGGCAGACUCAAAGUCACUAGUAUGUUGAAUCGCAACCGAACCCCCACGACAAUUUGUGCAAAUUGGCCACUUUUGCACCUUAUUCAGACCAUCUAGUCAAAUAUGACUUUAAACAACUAGAGACUCGAUAGGGGAAUUAAUUGUUUACAAAGUCGACAGACAUCAAGACUGAGUAACCAAGUGCAUAAAUCUAUUAUAAACUCGUUUCUAGAAAAACGGGAGGCGGCCUAAAAAUGAUCUAUCAUGCAUCCUAUUCACCCUCAAGUAGAAAUACUAUGCUGAACAUGCGUCCAAAUGAUCCAUAGAUUUCAAGUUUAAAAGGAAAUUUCAAAUGUUGAUAGACAAAAAUUCAAUUAAGCAAUCAAGUGAAAUAACUAGUAUCCUAAUUCAACCCACAACCCACAACUAUAUCCUCGUAAUAAGUCACAUUAGAGAAGAGGAAAGGUGAUACCGAUGAAAUGGAGUUUGAUGAUGAGAUGUGAUCGAACAGCUAUUUUUGGAACCUGCCAACCAUAACAAAAAAGAACGUACUAGUGAUAGAUGUAACAAGUGUUAUCAUCUAUUAACAAGGGUCCAAUUGAAGCACAGAGGUUAACAAAUAAUCAAACAAUCAGAAUCAUGACUCCUUUUGAUCUUCAAUUGGAACUCUAAGUAUGGGGAAUGGUGUUUUUGCAGAGAGGAGAUCGUGGAAAAAUUGAAGGAAUUCGUUCUAGGGAAGUCUGAUUCUCUUUCCUCGAAAUCAUACUUUUAUAUGGAAAACUACAGAUCUGGGGGGUGCACGCCGUGCACCCCUUGUCCUGAAAUGGUCAUGGCCUGAAAAACAAUGCACGUCGUGCAGCUCAUUUUGCUACGAGGGUAUUUUGCAAUUUAGGCCUGCACGGCGUACAGUUCGUCUGCUCCAUCAUUUCUUGUCUUGUUCUUCCGUCCGAGCUCCAAUCAUGCUCUAUUUCAUAUCCAAAGACUCGUAACCAGACCCUCUAUCUCUAGAGUACAUGUGGAUUACAAAUUCUAUAAAGAAACACAUCAACUGGACCACAAACGGUCCAAGUGAACGGGUCUUGGCAUAUAAUGCCAAAACACAAAAACACAUAGAUAUGAAGCACGGACAAUCUAGUAUUCACUCAAAAAGCGUACAAAUAAGUAUAGAUAAUUACUACAAAUCCUAGCAGUAUCAGUCAUCAGCAGGUAGUCUUUGAGGGAGAUUGAUCACACCAAAUUUGGGGAAAUUAUUUAGAUGUGUUAGGGCUUAUUUAGAGUCUGGGAUGAAUUUAAGUUUCACUUUGUUAGGAGAGAAAGAAAUUUGAUCACACACGAGCUAACUUGUUGUUCUCAUUUUCAUACUUUUCCGCAUGUGGGGUUUGUACCUACUAACUGGUUUAUUAAUAUUAUAACGCCUUGUGUCGGCCGGCACAAUAUUGAUAAGAGUUUAUGCUUGCUAGUGUAAAAAAACUAGGGAUGAUAUUCUGCAUUUUAAAAUAAGUGCUUUCAAAAUUCAUUUUAAAAUACAGAAUACCAUCNNNNNNNNNNNNNNNNNNNNNNNNNNNNNNNNNNNNNNNNNNNNNNNNNNNNNNNNNNNNNNNNNNNNNNNNNNNNNNNNNNNNNNNNNNNNNNNNNNNNNNNNNNNNNNNNNNNNNNNNNNNNNNNNNNNNNNNNNNNNNNNNNNNNNNNNNNNNNNNNNNNNNNNNNNNNNNNNNNNNNNNNNNNNNNNNNNNNNNNNNNNNNNNNNNNNNNNNNNNNNNNNNNNNNNNNNNNNNNNNNNNNNNNNNNNNNNNNNNNNNNNNNNNNNNNNNNNNNNNNNNNNNNNNNNNNNNNNNNNNNNNNNNNNNNNNNNNNNNNNNNNNNNNNNNNNNNNNNNNNNNNNNNNNNNNNNNNNNNNNNNNNNNNNNNNNNNNNNNNNNNNNNNNNNNNNNNNNNNNNNNNNNNNNNNNNNNNNNNNNNNNNNNNNNNNNNNNNNNNNNNNNNNNNNNNNNNNNNNNNNNNNNNNNAAUAUUAUAUAAAUAAUUGAUUAUCGUAAAGUUGAGCUUCAGGUUGAUUCGGCUGUGGUGACUUCUUUUCCUCUCAAAGAUCCCACUGAUGAAAAUCGUCAUUCGACAUGCACUAUUGAGCUACAACGCCUCCUCCAUCUUGACUAGAAGGUUUGAGUUAUACAAAUGUUUUGAGAAGGUAAUCGAGUUGCUGAUCUCCUAACCCAUCUUAAACAUUCUCUACCUUUGGGUUUCUUCCAUUCGAAUCUUCCCCUUACUUCUGAUUUAUUUUAUUGUAUUCAAAGAAACCUUAUUGGUGUAUCAUUCCCUCAUUUUCUUCCAAAUUAAUAAUAUUGGACACUAGUCCACCUCUCUAAAAAAAACUUGAUUUGAACAAUAUUAUCAAAUCAACCAUACACAAAACCAAACUAUCCCACUUACAAACUCGCCUAGAUCAGCAUUGCAUGGAUGCUUUUUUUUAUGUACAAAAAAACUGCAUGGUUACUUUUAAAGUGUAAUAAAACAAAUGGAGAGCUCAUCAUUCAUACAUAAAAAAAAGCUAAUUUUGUAAACACUAGUUAAUGUUAUAAGAUUCUCACGUUAAAAGAAGAGAAGAACAAGACUUGUCUUUCCCUCCCCUCUCCACUACUCCUAUCUUCUUCUUCCUUUUUCGUUUACCUUUUCCCCUCACUACUCACUACUCACUACCCUUUCUUCUUCCAAUGAAAUUUUAUAUAUAGUUCCAUCCAAACCAUAUUACGAUGCGUAUAUACUGCUAGAGAUCAACUUGAUGAUAACAUUAUUGGGUGCAAUGCAAUGCCUCGCGUACGUGAAUGCAUGGUUGGUUUUUGUUCCACAAAUGAAACUAUAUCUUAUAUGCAACAUCUUUGUAAUGUAAACAUAAAUAAAUAAUAUAAUGGGGGCACACGUACGUGAAGGAAUCCAAAAAUAUAUGGGCCUUACCAAACGUGAAUAAUACUAUAAUAGUAUUGGACCGCUAGUGUCGGUAAUGUGGUAUUUCUCAAGUUGCUCGCAAAGAUUGGUUACGUGUGUGAUGGUCUUUGGUGCCGAAACUUUUAUUGGCACCUAAAGGUUCGUCCGACAGCUUGUCCAGUUGAUGUUAACGAUGGUUCAAAGUAUAUACAGAUAGGCAUACCAAUUAUAGUAUAACGAUAUUAAAUGAGUAAUUCUUGAUUUGAGUGGUGGAUUUUUGUAAUGCCUAUGAAGAGAUUGAUGUAUGAGGGAGAGGUUGUUGGGUUAUCUCACAUCGGAAUGUGAAAUGGACUGAGUACUGUUUAUAAGUGUGAGGGAAAACCUCACCUUUUGAAUUAGUUUUUGGGGUGAAAAAGUCCAAUAAUACCCAACAUGAUAUUAAAUAAGUAAUUCUUAAUUUAAACGAUGGAUUUUUAGGAUAACAAUCUAAAUAUUUCAUUAAAAAUUUGGAGAAAAGCUUCCCUAGCUUAAAAAGAGUCCACUAACUAUACAAGCAAGAGGCGUUUGGAAAAGAAAUCAAAAUAAAAUGUUCUUCCGAAUUUGACCCAAAUCAAAUAGUACAAGUAUACUAGUGUCAAGCCGCUGGUAACCGAGAUCAAUUGUAAGUGGAACAAUAACUAGUAAGAAGUGGGCUAUUUAUUAUUAAUAUAGGAAGGAGUUGUUUGGAUGUUUGAUUAUCUGAAAGAACAUUCUUUUGUAGCUACGUACUAUGUCAUUGAAUAUCUAAAAAAAAUGCAUAAGAUUUUGAAAUGGAAAAAGAAGAGAAAAGAAAGGAAGUAGGAAAUGAGUAUAUCCAUCCAUCCAUCCAUACUAGCUAGGGGUAGCAAGUGAUGGGAUGAAGCAAAAGAAAAGGCUGAUUUCACGUAUGAUCUACUUUGAUGUGAAAUGUUGUUUGUGUCGCGAGGGAGGCCCCACCAAUUCCACUAAUGACAUGCUUUCCUUUCCUUUUUUUAAAACGGUGAUAUUGAUGAUUUAAGUCUUUGUUUGGAUGACAAAGAUCGAUCCAUUGGGGCCCUAUAUAUUUCAAAGUUGUUCCUUUUUUAUUUAUACUUUAGAAGGGAAGCGAGAGAAACCAUGAAAUGUUCCAUGCAUGACCGGCUUAGUAAGCCUAACACACCCAAAAAACACACACUCCUUUUGGCUUAAAUGUCAAUAAAGCGGCGUCGAAGAAGAAGAAGAAGAAAUUUUAAUGUGUGGUUUGUAGAUUAAGGGAAGCUUUGCUUUAUUAAUAAAUAAAUAUUAAUUGGGAAGUAAGAGUGGAACAAAAGGCUGUUGGAUCACAUGCACAUCACUUUCUUUCAAACGUUUCUCUCUUUUUUCCCCUUUCUUUUACUCCCACCAUUCCUUUCUACUUCUUCUUCUUCUUCUUCUUCUUAUCCUCUUUGCUUUUAUUUUUUUACUGUUACUGUGGUUGAUGUAAUACAAUUUUACCGCGAAAUCGUUAAAGGAUGUGUUGACCUUCCUCUCUGGUCAACUAACUAUAACCAAUGCAAGCCUACAUUGCCAAUCACAAAACGGCAUUGCGUAUUAAGAUACCCAAGUGUGAUAUGCAUUACUACUCCUCAAUCCAAGGGGUUCCUCUGGUGAGGAUGAAAAGCCACAUCUGGUGGGACCCUCCAUCAAAUUACCAUGCAUAUAAAUUUGUACAGGGGAAAAAAAAAGAAAGAAACAAAAGAGAAAAGAGCCUCCUUUCCUGAUCUCCUUUCUUUCUCGAAAGCUAUAAAAUCAAACUGCUGCACAUAUGAUUACAAAGCCAUCCAUUACUUUCAUCUUUGUGAUAACCACCUCAAUCUGCCUGCAUUAUAUACGGAUGAGGUAUUUUAGACCAAAUAACUCCAUUUAAAUUGAAUUAUAUAUUUGGAUUAAAUUAAAUAUUUCAUUUAUUAUCCAAAAAAUAUUUCAAACGGUGGUAUUUAAAAUAAUUUCAAUUGAGUUAUUUUAAAUAUAUACGUAUAUGGGAGUGAUAUUUAAAAUAAUUUUAAUUCAAAAAGCACCAUUCAAAACUCACAACUCAUUGUUUUUUGUUAGCCAAAUAAGAUAAUUCUUACUCCUCAAAUCUUUUACACUUCAAGAAUACUAGUAUACUACAUUCUCAAAAAAAUACAUUAUUUUGCUCUAAAAUACCUCAUUUGCAAAAGAACUUGUCCAAACAACCGUAAAUUUAUAUAAAUUUCAAUAUUUUUUCUCAAUUCAUCGGAACACUAUAUAUGAUCAAACUUAUAUGUGCAAGCUACGCACCGCACCCAAUGGUCUUAACAUUAAUUACCUAAUUCUUAGCCUAGCUAGAUUCUUCAUAGGAAGAAUGUAUGUUGUCCUUUGAAUAUCUUUGGUUAUCCUAUUCCCAUUCUUUGUUAUUUUUUCUUUUGGAUUAGGACUUAGGGUUAGGACCACUAAUGUUACCCAAAGUGAAACCAUAUCAUGCUUAUUAUAAUUUUGAUUUUGAUUAUACUAUAAUUACAUUUAUUUGUUGUGGAGUAUCUAAUAAGUACUUUGGAAAUGGGUUCAUUUGACAAUAUAUCAAUGAGAUAAGUCACUGCCAUUUUCCUAAUUGUUAGUGAUAAAAAAGAAAAUUAUGUAUUAAACGAUUGAAGAACAAGGAGUAAGUAUUUACGUGAUUUUUUAUCAGUAUAAUCGAGUAGUCCAAUUAUGAGAUUAGAAGAAGUGAUGUUUUUAUUCUUGAUAGCAAUCUGAAUAUCACUUGUGUAGUCUAUAUGAAGACGGCCGUUUCUGCCAAAUCGACUCCGGACAGACUUCUAACAUCUAUAUUAUACUUCAUUCAACGACUUCGGAACCUUGUCUUUUUUUCUUUCAUGCAAUGCCAGACAAAACAUAUGAAUCUCCGACCUUGGCAUCUACCAUCAUGACGCUGACCGAGGUGUAUCCAUACAACCUGCAUAAUAUGGAUCGGCUUAUCAUAUGCGUUGCCUACAGAUACCGCAAGAUACGGAAUAGUACUGCAUCCAAAUUCUUAGUUCUCACAUAAAUUGACUAACGACUUGCACUGUAAGUGUUUAAUUUGCCAGUCGUUAUAGUUAUUAUAUACGUAUGCUGGAUCCUCACUGCAUGUACACAGGUAGGGUGCAGACUGAGGAAGCAUGCAACUCAUAUUCCCAGAGCCAAAAAGCUAAUUAAUUAAGUUGAACAUUAUUAGAAAGACGGGAGAAAGGUACAAUACAGUUUGAGUAUUCUCUUUAGUCUUCAGAAAACAAUUGUAACUUUUGACAGGCAGCUAGCUAGCUAGCUAGUAGUGAUGCUGAUAGGAAAAAGAAAAGAGAAAGAAAGGAAGUGCAAACAAACAAUGUCUGAUGAAUAAAGAAGGGCAAAAGAGAAACAAAGGUACCGAGUGGAGGGGGAAGCUAACAGUCAUAUAUAUAAUUUAUAUACAUUGUGCUUCUCAUACCCCACAAGAUUAAAGAAAGAAAGAAAGAAAGGAACUGGAAGAAAAGAAGAAUGAAAGUAAGUUGAAGCAGCAGGAAAAAACCAGCUUUUUAAAGAAUAAGUGCAAUAUGACAAUAAUGGAAUGAUUGUGACUCAACUCUUCUGUUGAGGGAUACAAGAACAAACAUAUAUUUUUAUUUUUAUUUUGUUAAGAAAGCUCUAAUGCUUACUAAUAUAAUUGUACUUUUGAGUCUAAUUGCAAAGCCAUUUACACAAAUAUUACAAAGAAAAAUAGGCUCUAAGCUUUGUUAACAUGAUCUCCAGCUGCCUAGACUCUCGAGAGGUUCAUAAUCAUUCCUUUCAACAUGCAUCCUUAAGUUUUCACUGUGCUAAAUUGAAAUACGUACCAAAAAUGGUAUUUGUAGUAGUAAAGUUUGAUUUGACAGCAAAAAUUAUCAUUUAUAGAAAAAUUAUAUCGUGGUAAGUAGAAGGACGUUGAAUUGAGGUCAAGAGAGGUAGUAGGAUUGUAGGAAGCUAAUUAGGUUGAGGAAUAAAAAAGAUAUUUUGGAAAGUAAUUUUCUAUCGAGUGACUUUGGAGUCGCAAAGAAAUAACCAUCCACUGAGUCAUUUUCAUAAUAUAGGUGUUAAAUUUGAUUAUAAAUAAACACCAUAAGAAAGAAAGCAAAUAAAUAACAAGCGACUAAAGACGGGGGAUGGCUGGGGAAGCUUUUUUGGGUUAUUAAUACAGGGCCCAAAUGAUGGCCUUAUGAAGGCCCAAAUGUUUCAAAACGUCAAUUUUAACACGGCCGAAUUUAAAAUUUUUCACUGAGCAAGUCUUUGUUUGUAAGAGAAUAAGUUUAGAAUUAUGUUUGCACUAUUUUUCUGUACGUCACAUCUAGACAUGAGCUUCAUGGAUUAAAGUAGAGUUAAUUUAAUGAUAGAGUAUUAUGUCUGAUGAGUUGAAGGUUCUGAAUUUAAAUCUAAUAUUUAGAUAUCAUUUGUUGUAUUUAUUUUCAAUUUUUUAUCUUAAAAAAACAUUUAUCUUAAUAGCGGACGUAACCCAUAACAUAUGACACGGGACGGUCAUCCCAACAUAAUUUCUAACUUUUCUUUCUUUACAAAUAAAGACUAACCCAUGACUCUACUAAUAAUUUUGAAUUUUGUACUAGACUUGAAGUUGCGAAAAUUUUGAAUUUCGUUCUAUCUAGUUUUAGCCUUGUAAUGAUAACAAUCCAAGCUUUUAUUUCUGGUCUAUAUGGGGUGGAAGUGGAGGUGUACUCAUUAUCAACAGCAAUUUAUGUAUCAUAAUAAAACGAGAUUAAGUGUUGUGUGAAUCUGACAAUGUAAGUAUUUUUUAAAGGGUGGACUCAAGAUCUUAAUUAUUAAUAACAACGCCCGUGAAAAUGAUACCCCAAUCAUAUCCACAUUAAUACAAUUAGAGAUUUUAUGAGAAAAAGAGAUAAUUCGGUGCAUUUCAAACAAAAGGGAAUGACCAUGAUGAGCGAGUUCAUCUGGCACCCGAUUACCCUCCCUAUAAGUAUGGGUAGUGAUAACAAUCCAAUUGCAUUGUAAAAGUUCAUACAAUUCCUUGAUACAUAUGCAACAACCAUUUUGGAAUCAACUUGCAAGUUGAUUUUCCUGAAUCCCACGUCCCAAGCGAUCCGUAAACCAUUAAUUGCCACUCGAAGUUCAGCUCAAGUAAUUGUGCAUUCACCAUAAUUAGCCGCAAAAACAGCAAUGCAAAUCCCUAUCGUAUCCCUUAAAACACCACCCUCUGUUGAGCUCUUUGAGGCCUAGAGUACGGAUCCGUCCGUAUUGAGGAUAGCCUCAACAUCAGUACGCACCGAGCAGCACACAAGGCCUCCAUGCACUGAGAGCCGGCUAUUAGAUGAACCAUCACAGGCGUGACUGACAGUCUGCCAUGAGCGUGAUCAUCAGGUAGAUCAUGACCGUAGUCAGUAAUGAUGACGAUCAAAUCACACUCUUUAGAGGAAAGCUUUUCAGAGGUAGGGGUUAGGAUUACUUUUCUACUUUAUGCGAAGAAUUGUACUUAGCAGUCAGGUUUCCUUACUUGGAUUUUCAGGACUGUAUAAUAGCGUGCGAUAUGUGGUUGUGGUUUGUAGUUGAGUAUUUCAGGCUCUGUAGUACCGUGAUCUACUACACAGACAGUUGGUAUUUUCGAGCAUAAGCUCGCAGUGAUGAACUGUGCGUGUGAUUCACAAUUAAUUUUAGGAUAAGAAUAAGGACUAGUUAGAUUAGCUCUCGUUACACAUUGGUCGCCCACCCUUUGGGUUGCUCAAUCCCCCUGGAUUCAUUCAGGUUCAUACAGGUGGUGAUGAGUUAACCUCCAGUAUUGCUCUCAUGGCUUUUCAGGGUGGUAUCAGGAUCUGAUCCACCAUGAGGUUUUCAUAUUUAGGGGUGGCUGUCGUUAUGAUGAUGCCUACAGGACUACAGAGUCACUUUACUAGAUACUAGUUCAGUUCUCAAGUUCAGGCUUAGUUACCCAGUUGCUUAUAUUUUGAUAUUGGAUUCGACCCAUAUAUGCUCGAUUUACUUUUCAGCGGUUUUACUUAUGUUAUGAAGCCUUUCAGUACAGUUAUUUUCAUGUGUAUCUUGUGAUCGAUUGAACCUGCGAGUGUUGCAUGGAUCAAAUCGUGUCGUUAGAUUGAGUCAUCUAGGGGUGGGUUUCACAAUGGGUAUUUGAAUUUGGUAAUUCUCUACGGUGUGAUCGAGGUUACUCGUAUCGAAACGUCAUGAACCUCAAAGCGACCAGUAAUGUCGGGAGCAUAGUACUAAAUAACCUGGGGAGAUAUUCUUAUAUGUAUAGGCGUCUGUAAGUUUCUGUGUUUCUUUGCAAGUUGAAAACGGGAAGUCAGUCACGGGUGUGGUGGAAAAUAAGUCAUAGACGCAAUGAACUAUCCACCACGAGCGUGGCUAGUGGUGGGGAACGGCCAUUGCUUUAUGAAUGAUAGAGCUAUUGAUGACUGAUAGUGCUAGGAUUUGUAGUCACUAUCUAUCCUUAAUUGCAUGGUUUUUUAGUGAAUACUAGCUUGUUCAUGCUUCAUUUCUGUGUGGUUUCAUGUUUUGGCAGUAUGUACCUAGACCCAUUCACUUGGACCGUUAUGGUCCAUUUAAUGUGUUUUUUGUAGUAUUUUUUAUCCACAGGUACUCUAGGGAUAGAGGGUCUUAUUACGAGUCUCUGGAUACAUAAAAGAGCACGAUUGGAGAUCGAACGAAGAAAUGGUGAAGAAAAAGGACUGCACGCAUGCAUCACGGCAGCCAUGCAUCACUACACGCCGUGCCGUCCUGAAAACCAAAAUAGGCUCGUCGCCAAAACAGGGGAACGUCGUGCACCCCUUCACGCCGUUUCUUCAUUUUUAUACAUGGUGAUAGGGCUAGAAAUUGUAGCAGUUAUCUACCCUUUUUCUACAUGCAUUUGAGUGGUUAUUAGCAUGUUCGCACUUCAUUUCUCUUCAAUUUCGUGUUUUCGCGUAUUGUGUAUAGAUCCAUUCAUUUGGACCGUUUCGGUCCAUUUGAUGUUUUCUUUGUAGUAUUUUUUAUCCACAGGUACUAUGGAGAUAGGUGAUUUGACCAUGAGGCCAAGGUCGUGGUGUGGAGAGUGAUUGGAGUUCGAGAAAUGAAGUCGAGAUUGGAGUUGGCGCAGCAGAGGGACUGCACGCCGUGCAGUCCAUAAAAUACUCCAAAGGCACGGCUUCAAAACAGGUGCACAGCGUGGACCACUGCACGUCGUUCCUUACUUUUGGCGUCGUAGAAUCAUGAAGAAUUGAAGCAGCACGGCGUGCACCACUGCACGCCGUUCCUACCUUUUGGCGUCGCAGCAUGGAGAAGUAUUGGAGCAGCACGGCGUGCACCUCUGCACGUCGUUCCCUUUCUUUUAGUACAUGGAACGAACACCUUAGGAAGGUGCACGGCGUGCACCCUCCAAAUCCGGCUGCUACUAUAAAAAGGGAAGUUGGAGGAAAGAGAAACCAUUCUUCCCCAACUCGAUUUUCCACGAUUUUUCCCGAGCUUUUCCUGCAAAAACCAGCACAUAAACUCCAUUAGAAGCCAAAUUGAAGAUCCAAAGGAGCUCCCCUUGAAGGAUUGAAGCUAGGAUUGAAGCGUUUUGAAUACAUUCUAGCAGUUGAGCUUAAUAACUCGUCUCUUCCAAGAACUCGUUUUCUCCUUUGAAUCAACUUAUAAUCUUUUAGUUUAAUUUACUCACUAGAAUAUUUAGAAUCAAAAACCAAAUAUUUUAGCCUAAACCGUGUUGACGAAUUCGAGUAGAGGCAUAACGAGAGGGACCUUCGGACACAAACGACACUUGUGUUGUGGGAAUAACUUCACAGUUAUUUGGGCGAUCAUUCAUCAUAGUGAUGCCUAUAGAUUUUGCUUGUUAUAACUCAAUAAGCUUUCCUAUAUAAAACCCUGAUUUGAGCUAUGAUAGUCUCCCUACAAGUAUAGAGUUGACGAUUGUUGGAUAUUUGGAUUCAAAUGAAUAAUUGCUUUGAUUGUUGGGUUUUCAAUCUAGUUCUUGUUACGACUUGAAUUAGGUCAAAUCUAUUAAAUCCUUUAUUUGAUAGAUUCUCGAAUUCAUAUGAUUAACAAUCUAAGAUAGAUGAAAGUUAUCAGUGGGGUAAGCCAAUGGCUCAAUUUUAUCUUUCGUGUUUCUUUUAGUUUUAAAGGUUGUUCAUUUUGUAAUUGGCGGGCGCUCUGGUUUGCACCUAAUGGACCAAGUUGGGUGUAGUUAUCAGUAGCUUAGGCGUUGAUGGACCAAGUUAACGCUAUUUCCAAUUACUCUAUUGAAAGGCCAUGUUAAUACUAAUUCCGAUUACUUGUGAUUCCCAUUAAUUCUAAAAGAGCACUUUAUCACUUUGUAUAACUUCUCGGUGUUCAUUACCAGUUAGCCUAGUUGAGGUUGUUCCAACCUUGUUUGGGAAACUAGUAGUGGUAAUCCACAUGCAUGAUUGUGUCGUGAAUUCAACGAGUGAUAAGAAGAUCCGUAUUAUUUAAUCCAAGUCCAACGUUUGUUCGAUCCGACUGCUAUUAGGAAGUUAAGCUUGAUGAAUUAUCUCAUCCAAGAGCUUGUUUUCUCCCUUUGAUCAAACAUUAAUUGUCUAUUUUAAUUGAAUUAAUAGGAUUGUUAGAAACCCUUUCCAAUCUUUUUCGCCUAGACCUUAUUGUUAAGUUUGAGUGGAAGUGUAGCGAGAAAAAUCCUUGGAAACAUACGAAACUUGUGUUGUCGAGAUAAUUUCACAGUUAUUUUGGCUAUCAAUAACGACCACGGGCGUGAUUAGUUAGUAGGUCACGGGGUUAGUGGGAUAGAGAUGAUGGGCUUGGUCAUGUGUAAACCACCGGUGUGGUGAUGCUGGUCACAUGCGUGGCAAUGUUUCAGCCACGAACGUGAUCUAGGAUACACCACGGGUGUGGCGGUAUGUACAACACGUGCGUCGUCAUGUUUUUACGAUUUUAAGAACAACUUAGAGAUAAGCUUAAAUGAAAGAGGGGUUGAAUAAUUCCUUCGUGCUUGUAGCGAGCCCAAGAUUUCAGUUGAGAGGACUAGAGACCCGCCUGUGUCAAGGAUGGAUUUCAAGGAGCUGACUCGUACGGGAGCCAUCACCUUAAAUAGGGAGUCCACAAAUCUGCAGUUAGUAGUAGACUGAAUGAGAGAGCUGAUGAAUGCAUUCAGGUAUUUGAGACCUGCGCCAGUGCUGAGAGUGUUGUAUGCUACUUACCUGUUGAAAGGUACAAACAAAAGAGAAGUGGGAUAAUUAGCUGGAGUUUGAGGGUGACUUCCUGAUGUCAAAAUUGGGAGGAGUUCCUGAUCUUAUUUAAGAACGAGUUCAUGCCAGAGAAGUGGCAGAAGAACAAGAGGGCUAAGUUCAUCAACCUCAUACAGGGUGAUAUGAAGGUGGUGGAUUACCACAACGCUUUCAUCAAGUUGAGUAGGUGGUACAAGGGUCCACCUGAAUACAAGAUGUAGGAUUUGAAGCAUAUGUUCCUAGAUGGGCUGAGGGCUCACAACAAGAUUGGGGUCACCAGCAAUCAUACGGCGACCUUGGCAAAUAUCAAGGCAGUAGGCUUGAGGGCAGAGCACGUGGAUGGUGUAAGAAAGGGGGAGCGCCAGGCUUGGUAAGAGGAGAAGAAAAGGAAGGGAAUGCUAGGUGGAUCACAACUAAUGCUAGCACCCCAAAGGAGGAAGGACACACAUCAUGGUGCUUCUACAUUCCAAACUCACUUCUCUGCCCCUGUCACCCCGACAGUGCAGCAUAAGCAGUCCAUUGUCAGGUUUGACUGUCCUAAUGUCUGAAGUGUGGGAUGCGACACUAUGAGCGUGUCUGAAGAAAGCAUGAGUCUGCUUUUGGUGCGGGAAGCCAGUGCACUUUUCUCGAGAGUGCAUCGAGUUGAGUAAGCAUGCAGCAUCAGAGGUGACAGUGCAGCAAGGAGAGCUCCAUCUGGGAGAAGGAUCAGAGGUAGGGGCUCCAAGGCUUCGCUGACAGGAGCUAAUGCAGUAGCCUUGAGACGGGGCAUGUCGUAGGGGAGGAACAUAGAGGCUCAGAACAGGGUGUAUGCUACCAAAGCUGAGGAAGAGGCCACCUCGGAUAUCAUCACGGGUAUGGUUGUCCUUUUUGGAAGAUCUUUUCAUGCCUUGUUUCAUACAGGUGCUUCGCACUUUUUCAUCUUAGCUGUUGGCGUUCGAAUUUUACCAAUAUUGUCUACUAGGAUGAGUAGACCUUUUAGAGUGAGUACCUCAGCAGGGAAGACUCUGCUGGUAGAGUCUUGGGUAGAAGGAGCAGUUCUGCUCUUUGAGGAUAGAGAGUUCAUAAUGGAUCUCAUCAUUCUUCGUUUUGAUUAGUUUAAUGUAAUUUUGGGGAUGGAUUGGCUGGCACACCGUUGAGCCUUAAUAGAUUGUAAGAAGAAGACGAUAUGUUUCUUGAUACCUAAGCAGAAGGAUGUAGUCAUCACAGGGAUUCAGCAGCAGAUGCACCACAUACUUCCUUCCAUUUUUGCCUUGAAGUUAGAGAGAUUCAUCAGGGAUGGGUGUGAGGCUUUUGUAGCUCACGUCAUCCUCGUUGCGGAGGGACAAAUCAAGGAUGUGCCAGUAGUUUAGGUAUUUCUGGAUGUCUUUCCAGAUGACCUUUCAAAGGUAUCGUUUAACACAAAGGUGGCUUUCGAUAUAGAGCUGGUGUCAGGCACAACACCUAUAUCCAUAGCACCCUACCCCAUGGCUCCAGUAGAGCUGAAAAUAUGAAGCUAUGGACGCAAAAUAGAGCAUGGUUGGAGCUUGAACGGAAGGAUAGUGCAAGACUUGGCGAAGAAGAAGAGUUGCACGUCGUGCAUCACUGCACGCCGUGCAGCCCCUAAACUUGAAUUACCCUCGUAGCUAAAGGGGGUGCACGAUUGUUGGAUAUUUGGAUUUGAAUGAAAGAUUGCUUUGAUUGUUGGGUUGUUAACCUUGUUAUUGUUACGACUGGAAUUAGGUAAAAUCUAUGAAAACCUCUGUUUGAUGGACUUAGGAAUUCAUAUGAUUAACAAUCUAAGAUAAAAGAAAGUUAUCGGUGGAGUAAGCCAAUAGCUCGAUUCUACUUUUCGUGCUUCUUUCCGUUUUAAAUGUUGUUCAUCGAGUAACUGGCGGUGCGCUCUGAUUUACACCUAAUGGACCAACUUGGGUGUAGUUAUCAGUAGCUCAGGUGUUUAUGGACCAAGUUAACACUAAUUCCAAUUGCUUGUGAUUUCCUUUAAUUCAAAGAGAGAACCUUAUCAGUUUGUAGAACUUAUCGGUGUUCAUUGCUGGUUAGCCUAGUUGAGGUGAUUUCAACCUUGAUUGGGAAACGAGUAAUGGUAAUCAGCGUGCAUGAUCGUGUCGCAGAUUAUACGAGUGAUAAUAGGAAUUGUAUUAUUCAAUCCAUGUCCAACCUUUUGCUCGAUCCCACUACUAUUAGGAAGUUGAGCUUGAUGAAUCAUCCCUUCCAGAGAACUUGUCUUCUCCUUAUGUUCAACCUUAAUUUCUUAGUUUUAAUUGUUAGUGUUGAUUGAAUUAAUAGUAUAAUUAGGAACCAUUAUCAAUUUUUUCAGUCUAGACCGUGCUGAUAAGUUUGAGCAGAACCAUAACGAGCGGAAUCCUUGGACACAUGCGACACUUGUGUUGUAGAGAUAAUUUCAUAGUUAUUUUGGCGAUCAUGCAUGCUUGACUCGAAGAAUAUUUUCUAAAUUAAGAGAAUGAUUAAAUAAUGUAGCUUGAGAGGAGCUAGAGUGAGAGAUUGGAAGUGUUUAGCCCAGAGUUCGGAAUGAUGUGCCAAGUUGUCCAGAUCCAAAGUCAAAUGAUGAUUAGCCCAGAGUUCAUAAGCCAUUAUUGGGAGGAUGAGGUUGGAUGGAGGUUUAGGCUAGGUAGAAGAUGGUCCAGCAGAAUGAGAUCCAAAAUAAUGAGGACUAGGACAAGUGGGUUGAAUAUUCCCUCUUCCACCACAAUUAUGGCACACCACUUCACUUGAGCCGGACUAGCCUUAUUCAAGAAGCCCAACAGUGAAUGAAGUUGCUACCGACUUGAUGUUGUGAGGGUUAGUCACUUGGUGCUUCUGUAGUUGUAGUUCUUCUGGUGAUGAUCUCCAGAGAUCAUCAUAGACAAUGGGUUCGAGCUUGGAUUCCAUGUGCCACUGAAAAGGACGGUAGAACUCAUCUAGACCUUAUAGGAGGGAAGAAACCAACUCAUAUUCUCUAACUGAAUCUCGAAGGGCUACGACUUGGUCAUAGAUCGUGUUUCCUCGUUGCAGAUAGUGAUGAGCAGAGUCUGCACCGCGAGUGAUGCAAUGUACUGACUCCCACAAUUGAUGAAUCUGGAUUAGUGAUCCAGUAGUACAUAUGUGAGCUAGUGAAUCCCAGGUUUCAAGAGUCGUGGCCUUGUUGAGGAUGUUCGGCAUAACAGAUUCUGACAGCGACAACGUAAUCCAUGUUAGUGCUAAUUGAACUUUUUCAUACCAUGUAGAGAAGGAUGGAUUUGGUUGGGAGUUGAUUGUUGGAGGAGGAUCAAUAGCAGUGCAGUCAACGUGGCCGAUCAGACGACUCCCACGUAGUAGAGACUGGACUUGGGCCUUCCAUAUCAAGUAAUUUGUUGGUGUCAAUUUCACAAUGAGUUGAGGAUUGGAGGGGAGAUUGAGAACGGGGGGAGUGAACUGAUGUAAGAGCAAAAUCUCAAUUGUAUUUCUUGUUGAAUGAUUACAUAUAGCAUCAGCUAACAACAUGUAGCUAGAUUUAAGGAAUAUGUGUCUAACUGAAUUAAAUAGAAUCAGCUGUGUAUCGUUGAGGCUUUGAAAGGUUCAAUCCUCCCAAUGUGAAGGAGAUAUUGUGGUCUCCUUAUCAUAUAGUAUUUAUUAAAAGUAUUUAAAGUUAGUAUAUAUUUCAUUUAUAACUGGUUAUAUUCUACCGUGAUUAUAUCAGAUUAUAUAUUUGAUGUGCCAAAUGAAUCAAGCAUUUCUUAUGAAGCUAAUAUGGGGUACGUUAAAGUAACCAGACGAACUUUGGAUUCAAGUCAUGUCAACCAAAUAUUUUCGGAAAAUAGACUCGGGAAUGCGCCAUCGAAAUUCAACACGUCAGUCCAAGCUGUGGGGAGGGUUGCGAGAGAUUUGGAUGACCUUUACCUGGGGUCUGUAGUGGGGAAUUCGUAACGGGUUCACCGUUUGUUUCUAGGAUGAUAUAUGGCUUGAUAAUGGGCGUAGGCUCCGAGACUAUGCUUCCCCUUCGGAAAGUGGCAGAAUUUGUUAGCAUGUCGGGCGAGUGGGAUUUUGCUAAACUUGCUUCUUGUUUUGGUGCCUAGUGCAGUUGCAGCAGUGGUGGGUAUGCAGCCUCCUCAAGCAAGUUUGGGGUCUGAUACUUUGACUUGGGGGCUUGAAGGACAUGAUCGUUACACUGUGAGUUCAGGUUAUCAAUUUCUUAAUGAUCUGAAUGGGGCUCUUCGUCAAGUUGGUCUGAAGUUGAAGAAGAUUUGUAACUGGCAUGGUCCAAAUCGAAUUAGACAAGUCAUUUGGUUGGUUUCUCAUGGGAAGAUCCUUACUAACCAUGAGCGAAGGUGCCGGCACAUGUCCGCAAAUGGAAAAUGUCCAAUUUGUGAUGCUCAAACUGAGUCCUUACAUCAUCUUUUUUGAGAAUGUCAGCCUGCUCGAGACAUUUGGGAGUUUGUCCUUGCACCUGGCCAACUUGACAGGUUGGAGGAUGGAACCUUUGAGAAUUGGUGGUUGACAAAUCUGGCGGACCUGUCGAAUGGAACACGUUUUGGGAUUCUUUGUUGGUUGCUUUGGCAGAAUCGGAACCUGAAGGUCUUCGAAGGCAUGGCUCAAACGCGGGAUACUAUUUUGGCCAAGCUGAAGUAACGGGCAGGAUGUUGUGCUUAAGAGCUUGAAGGAUGUUGUGCUUAAGAGCUUGAAGGAAUAGCCAAUGGGCUGCAUCAAGCAUUUGGGAAGCAAAAAGUUGUCCGGCAGAAUAGUUGGUGCCCGGCGAUGGAACCCUGGCUGACCUUGAAUACUGAUGGUUCGGUUCUUAAUCCAGGGAGUAGAGAUGCUACUGGUGGGCUGCUGCGAAAUGGUGAUGGGAAUGUACUUUAUGCUUUUACAGGGAAUCUAGAUGUUUGCAGCAUUACUCGAGCUGAAUUGUGUGGCGUUGUUGAGGUGCUUGAAUUCGCUUGGUAGUUUGGAGCUCGUCAUAUUAUUUUACAAAUGGAUUCGAGAUGUGCUAUUUAGCUUUUGGAAGGGAGUGGUAUCGACGACCACCAACAUGCUGCUCUAAUUGGUAGAUUUCGUGAGUUCUACACUCGAAACUGGGAGAUUAAGCUUGUUCACAUCUAUAGAGUGACCAUCACUAUAACUGAUUUCCUUGCCCAUUUAGGCCACUCUUACAACUUCGGUAUUCAUAGGUUGACUACUUUCUCGGCCGAUCUGACUAACUGGAUUCUUCAUGUUGUUGUCUAUUUCCCAACCUCGUCGAGUUUCAGUCUAAAUGUUUGUUUGGGUCUUUCUACCAAAAAGAUUAUAUAUUUCAUUUAUAACUGGAUGUAUAGUAUAUUUUUAACUUGUUAUAUAUGUGGGUUAUAAUUAGUUAUAUAAUAUAUUUAUAACUUGACAUAUAUUACCGUGUUAAUAAUUGGUUAUAUACUUAAUUUAUAAAAUCGUUUCCUAAAAUCCUAAACCCAUCUAGAUGUAAGGCUUUAGGGCUUUUUAUUUUAUCCUAAACCCUAAAAUCCUAAAAAUGUAAAUCAUAACUCGUCAGUUUGUAUUGAUUAAAAAAGUUAUUGGAUCGUGGCCGAUCAUAGUUGAAAGUUACCAAUUAUGUCAGUUAUUUUACUUAACUUUGGGACCCUAAGCUGUAAAACAAAUGGGGGACUAAAUCGGAUUUUUGCCAAGUCUUCUUCCCCAAUUACACAUCGUUGUUGCCCUACUUACAGUCAUCUCAUCGGUCCGAUAACGGAACGACUGCUCCAAGUACCUUUCGGUUUAAUUCUGCCGUCCCUAGGGUAACUCAAGAACAUGGCAGCUCUUUGGUUGAACUUUAAUAUGCGAUUGAACAUAAUCAUCUAUCCUAGCCCAGGAGUCCAGAUUUCAUGGCCACUAAUCUUCAGCCUAGUAGUAAUGAUAACAGGCAGGGGGGCUAUGGCUUAGCAGUGAAUACCCGAUGGGCCUUUUGGCCCAGAAUUUAUAAGGAAGAAAGGGUGGCCUUUAGCCAUGUAACGAAAUGAAGGGAGAGAGGAGCCCUGGGCCGAAUUAUUUUAUCAGUAGGGCCCUGGUGUCUAUCUUCAUUAAGACAGUAUAAUGCGGGCCGUAUCUUUAUAGUCUUAAAUUAAUGCAUUAUUAUUCUUAAGAUUUUAUAUUAGGUAUAAUUAUAGUAAUGAUUUGAGUGUUUUUUUUUUGUGGUUUUGUAAGAUUCAAUAAUUAUCAAGUUGAUGUGGUUGCCACAGCUACAAAUAAGUUCAAAUCCUUAAUAUUAAAAUAUAAAAUCAUAAAAUAAAUGAAUUUAAAAAUAAUAAGUAAUUGAUAAUUAUUGUCUCCUUCACAUCUCNNNNNNNNNNNNNNNNNNNNNNNNNNNNNNNNNNNNNNNNNNNNNNNNNNNNAUUGUCUCCUUCACAUCUCUCAAGAACUUGAACUUCGGCGGCGAGCCAUUGAUGAUUCAAACAAGGAAUUGAAAUCUCGAGAGUUAUAAGACUCUGAAUGAUUCUAGGAGAUGUUACGGAGGUAAACAAUAGCGUCGAUUAGACACUCGUCAAACUUAGAGUCCUCUACUGAGGAAGAAGACUAUGUGAGGAGGGAGAUUUGACGCAUUCUUUUUAGUUAUGUUUAUUUUAUUUUAAUUUUUGUUUAUUUAUUUUAAGACUCAUUUGUAGUUUGUGUGGCAGCCCCCACCUNNNNNNNNNNNNNNNNNNNNNNNNNNNNNNNNNNNNNNNNNNNNNNNNNNNNNNNNNNNNNNNNNNNNNNNNNNNNNNNNNNNNNNNNNNNNNNNNNNNNNNNNNNNNNNNNNNNCUAUAAUGACAUUCGAUGCAGAAUCUUAACUAUAAUGACAUAUAGUAUAUUAACUAAACACUGUAACGGUAUGGGUCCCAUUUUACUCCGACAGAAUUAGUUGAGGGGUUAGGAGAGGAAGGGUUGUUUGGGGCAGAUAAAUUUGUAGGCAAACAAUUUAAAUAAUCAGUAAAUUAAUAGUUAGAAAAUAAUAAGAAUGCAGAAUAUACCCAGUUGGUGCCCAUUGUUAAAAUAGAAACCAAUUUAAAAACACCAUUACGUAUACUUUGAUUACGUUCGAUUGGAAUGAAGACACUUAGGGAGGUUUGCAAGUUUUCAAUAAGUUUUGUGUUGAUGUGCUAUAAAAAUGAUAAAGAAUUAUGAAGAUAGAUAUGAACAAUAAAAAAAUUAUACUAGACCCAGAGAACAAAAAAGUAGAGGGAGAAGAAAAUAAAUUAUUAUUUAAAUAUAUAUUAUAUAAUGUUGAGAGUAGGUUUGGCAGCAAGUUUGCGGGUUUCGGGUAUUCGCGAGAACCCGUUCAAAUUGAGCCCAUUUGUGCCCAUCAACGGCGGGUUUUUAUCGGUUUUGGGCUCACGCGCGACCCGCCAAACACGUGUGACGGAUGGUCGUGGUUAAUGGGAUCUCGGACCCAUCACCGACCCGAUAACAAAACGUCGUUUUUUCUAUGAUAUAUAAACCGAGUUUAGAGUUUCAGAUUAGUCUUCCGCCGCUUUCAACCUCCCUUCUCGAUUUUUUUCUCAAUUUGCGAUCUCUCUCAAAUCCAACGAAGAAAUCUCUUUGAUCCCUACGAUUCCUCCAUGUUUUCUGCCUUUUUCCUCUCCUAACCAAAUAAUAUCUAAAGGGGUCAGUGAUAACCAAUCAAGGAUUGAAUCUCUAAAAACUCUGACUGUCAGGUUUUCCUACGUAGAUUUCAAUCAAUAGGUUUAAGAGAGAAAGAAGAGGAUUAUUUACCUUAUCUUACAUCUCCUAUCCACUCCAUUCCUUUAUCCUUGAUCAUCAACUAAUCAGCUCCAACUUCUCUCUUUGAUCGAUCUCCUUCAUCUCAUGGAAAGAAAUCGCCUUUUGUAGGUUUAUCUUUCGUUGUUUUUAAGUUGUAGGUCAUGAUUCUGACUUAUAUAUUAAGUCUACCAUGCACGUGACAGACUUACCACAAUGUCUGUGACUGCCUGUUGGUCACUUCUGUGACCUUCUAUUGGUCACGCCCAUGGUCUCUUGAUGGUAACACUCGUGACUAUAUGUUGACCAUGACUGUGGCCAGUCUGGCAACCACACCUGUGACAAUAUGUUGGCCACACCUGUCAUCCCCAUCCUAUCAGACCAAAACUCAACGGAAUCAAACCAAAACCCAAACCAAUAGUUGAACCGAAGUUCGGGUGUCACAUGGGUUAACAAGUACUUGUGAUAUUACUGCUUAUGUCAAUGCUGACCAUGUAGGUUUUUUGGAUACUCGUUGCUCUCCGUCAUGAUGGUGAGUUAUGCUUGGUGAUUCGUGUGUUACCUGGUAGUGUACGAAACAAGGCGGGUUUCCAAAUCCUCGAUGGAGGUGGAGUACCGAUCCAUAUUUGAUGUGUGCUUCGAGAUAGUUUGGCUUACUCAGUUACUAGUGGAGCAUGGUGGUACUAUGACACGACUUGCAUCUCUUUUUGUUAAUUACACGAGUGUGAUUGCUAUUGUGACAAAUGACUUUGAGACUCAUGUUCAUUAUAUUCGAGAGCUUAUUGUAAAUGGGAGUGUGCGGCUCAUCUAUAUUCGCACCGACGAUUAAGUUGUGGACUUACUCACCAAUUCGGUUGUCACUAGUCAUUACUGGUUGCUUGUGGCCUUACCCAAUUGUAAUUAUUUUGUUGAUCUCGGGUUUGUAGGAGUCUAUAUAUACUCGAUCGAUAUACCUUGUUGGGUUUUGUAUUGACCAGUCUCUCUAAUAAUAUUUUUUAACCAUUGUGUCGUGGAUUAGCCUAAACGAUUUUUGUGAGGAAUACCACGUAAAUCUUGUCUUGUGUGAUUGUUCUUCGUCUCCUUCCUGAUUGUUAUCAGGUUAGAGGUGUUUGAGACUUUGUAUGUUACAAAUUUACAAAUUUACAAAUUUAGCGAGAAGGUUACGAAGAUCCUUAACUUAGUUACUAUCGUAGUUUACAAAUUGAAGAUUUAGAUUAACAAUUGUUAAUUGUAGAAACAUUUUCCAAAGAGAGAAUUAUCCAUGCAUGGCUCUCAAUCUGCAAAAGUUAGGAUAAAGCAUGCUAGCAUUUCAUUAUGGCAUAGCUUGUGUCAGGGUGUAUCAUUCAACGUCUAAAAUUAUUCGUCUUCUUCCUGAUUGUUAUCAGGUUAGAGGUGUUUGAGACCUUGUAUGUUACAAAUUUACAAAUUUAACGGGAAGGUUACGAAGAUCCUUAGCUCAGUUACUAUCAUAGUUUACAAAUUGAAGAUUUAGAUUAACAAUUGUUAAUUGUAGAAACAUUUUCCAAAGAGAGAAUUAUCCAUGCAUGGCUCUCAAUCUGCAAAAGUUAGGAUAAAGCAUGCUAGCAUUUCAUUAUGGCAUAGCUUGUGUCAGGGUGUAUCAUUCAACGUCUAAAAUUAUUCGUCUUCUUCCUGAUUGUUAUCAGGUUAGAGGUGUUUGAGACCUUGUAUGUUACAAAUUUACAAAUUUAGCGGGAAGGUUACAAAGAUCCUUAGCUCAGUUACUAUCGUAGUUUACAAAUUGAAGAUUUAGAUUAACAAUUGUUAAUUGUAUAAACAUUUUCCAAAGAGAGAAUCAUCCAUGCAUCGCUCUCAAUCUGCAAAAGUUAAGAUAAAACAUGCUAGCAUUUCAUUGUGGCAUAGCUUGUGUUAGGGUGUAUCAUUCAACGUCUGAACUUAUUCGUCUCCUUCUCGAUUGUUAUCAGGUUAGAUGUGUUUGAGACCUUGUAUGUUACAAAUUUACAAAUUUAGCGGGAAGGUUACAAAGAUCCUUAGCUCAGUUACUAUCGUAGUUUACAAAUUGAAGAUUUAGAUUAACAAUUGUUAAUUGUAGAAACAUUUUUCAAAGAGAGAAUUAUCCAUGCAUCGCUCUCAAUCUGCAAAAGUUAAGAUAAAACAUGCUAGCAUUUCAUUGUGGCAUAGCUUGUGUUAGGGUGUAUCAUUCAACGUCUGAACUUAUUCGUCUCCUUCUCGAUUGUUAUCAGGUUAGAUGUGUUUGAGACCUUGUAUGUUACAAAUUUACAAAUUUAGCGGGAAGGUUACAAAGAUCCUUAGCUCAGUUACUAUCGUAGUUUACAAAUUGAAGAUUUAGAUUAACAAUUGUUAAUUGUAGAAACAUUUUCCAAAGAGAGAAUUAUCCAUGCAUGGCUCUCAAUCUGCAAAAGUUAGGAUAAAGCAUGCUAGCAUUUCAUUAUGGCAUAGCUUGUGUCAGGGUGUAUCAUUCAACGUCUAAAAUUAUUCGUCUUCUUCCUGAUUGUUAUCAGGUUAGAGGUGUUUGAGACCUUGUAUGUUACAAAUUUACAAAUUUAGCGGGAAGGUUACAAAGAUCCUUAGCUCAGUUACUAUCGUAGUUUACAAAUUGAAGAUUUAGAUUAACAAUUGUUAAUUGUAUAAACAUUUUCCAAAGAGAGAAUCAUCCAUGCAUCGCUCUCAAUCUGCAAAAGUUAGGAUAAAACAUGUUAGCAUUUCAUUGUGGCAUAGCUUAUGUCGAGGUUGUAUCAUUCAACGUCUGAACUUAAUAAAUUUUUUGAGAUAUCUACCUUCGUUACGUGCGAGUAGAAUAUCAGGUUAGGCGGUAUACAACCCUUUGUGUAAAAUUGUAAAAUUGUAUUAUGUAACCUCACAAAUACUUUUAACUCACUUUGUCAAAUAAAAGCCAACUAGCUAAACUUGUAAAAUUAGGUUACUAAACUAACAAAAAUACCAAAAUAUAAUAGCUGCUAUAUCCACUAGUUAAAAAAUUGUGACCACAUGUAAAAAUUAUGAAGAGUAGUACACCAGAUGCGUGCGGUGCGCGUGUAUUCCACUCCCAAACCAAUGUUUUUAAAUGCUUCUUUUCAAUUUCACGCGCAUGUGAUGCGCUUCUGUUAUUUAUUUAUUUUAUUUGCUUUUUAUGCUUUGCGAAGUUAAUUACUAGUAUCACGGGGUCACUAAUUUGUCUUUUACACUAGUUUCAUCCUAAAAUAAGUUGAAUUUAAUUUAUUGAAAAUUUAGUCAAAUUUUAUUAAAAUGUUGGUAUCAAAUUGUGAUUAAUUAAUAUAAAAAGAUUAAAAUAAAAAAUGUUAAUUUAAUUUCGUAAUUUAUAUUUAUUAAACUUAAAAUAAAAAUUUAAGUGUUUAGCUAGUUUUAUAUUUGGAGUAGUUGCAAUAUUCGAAGGGAAUAAAAUGUUAAAAUCACAUUUGGCCUCCUUAUAUUAUUAUACAAAGAGAGUUGUGAUUAGCCUUACAGAGAAGAGCUUUAUUGUUGGGCUUAUUUGUAUUGGGUCAUCAAAUUUGUUUACCCAAAGUGGUGCCCAAAAACACAAACUCGGGCACUGUCAACAAUAACUAAAACAUGAGACCUAGAAGGAGAGAAGAUUAAACUUGAUCUCCAGACAUGAAGCAGCAAGAAAAGCAUCAUGGAGGGAAUCAGCUUAAGUCUGAUGAACCCAAGCACCAAGCACCUUUAGAUCGUCUUUUGGGAGGGCUCUUAUAAUCCACAUGCGAAAGUCAGAACGUUGUGUUUCAGCAACGAAGUCAGCCGCCAGAGGGCCUUGCGGGUCAGUCUAACCCAACUGAGACCAACAAGCCAAGGGGGCCUAGAGCUAUGCUUAGGCUUAAGUAACAACAAAUUCCCUUCUAAGCCAAAUCAAAGACUGGAGGCGCUGCACACCGAUUCUUCACCACUAGUGCAUACCAGGCAUUCACCUACGGUCCCUCUCCAUCAUGGCUUUCUAGUGUGGCAUUAUUGGAUUGGGCAUGAAACAGCUCAAUACAUUGAUGACAAAAGCAAGGUCAGGCCUAGUACAAAGGAUUGAAUACAUUACAAAGUCGACAUCCACGUCAUAAAGAACAUUCCUCAUUUGAGUUGAGGAAGGUUUGACAUUUCUUAUUGAAAACCUAUCUAACACAUUGAACACAUAGUCAACUUGGGACAAGAAAACCUCGUGCUUCACACGAUUAUGAAUGAUCUUAAUACUCAGAAUUUUCUGAGCAGGUCAUAGGUGUUUCAUGUCAAAAUAUUUUUUAAGAUUACCUUUCAUAUUUGUAAUAGAGGAUUUAUCCCUAUAUAUUAGAAGGAUAUCAUCCAUAUACAAUAAAAUAUACAUCAUAGAUUUCAAUUUGGUUUUCUUAAGAUAAAUGUAAGUAUCAAACUUAUUAGGAGUGAAACCUAGAAAGUUUAUAAAAGCAUUAAAUUUGAUAUUAUACGAGUUAGGAGAUUAUUUAAGGCCGUAAAUAGAUUUCUCAAGCAUAAAAACAUGGUCAGGUUUUUGUUUAUCUAUAUAUGAACCCUUUUGGCUUCCUAUGUAUAUGAUCUAAUUUAGAUCAUUAUGUAGGAAGGCGGUUUUAACAUCCAUUUUUUCUAACUCUCAACCAUAGACGACAGUCAUAGCUAGGAGUAACUUUAAGAACUUGUACUUCACAAUAGGGGCAAAAAUUUCAUUUUAAUGUAUGCCCUCCUUUUGGGUAAAGCCCUUACCAACAACGCGAUCAUUGUACAUGGAAGGGUCGAGGGGACAUAUUGCCUCCUUUAACCUAAAGAUCCACUUAUUGUCAAUAAGACAGAUCCUUUAGGUAUAGGUAUGAGAUCCAAAGUUUGAUUCGAGAGCAUGGACUGAAAUUUCUCGUGAAUGGCUUGAUUCUAAAACUCAAACUUUGAGCUAAGCAUGGGUUGUUGAAAGGUUUCAUGAUAAUCAUUAGCUAGCAUCACAAACACAUGAAUUGAAAACUUAGCAAUAUUGGAAGUAAACCUACUAUUGGGAAUUCCAGUUCUAGGCAAAUGAUCCCUAACAAGUUGAUAAUCAGCUAACUCACUAGUGGAAUGAUCAUUUCUAGAAGCAGAGGAAGAACCAUUCACAAAUGAACUAAUCACAAGAGAGUUUAAUUGAGAGUUAUGCUGAUUAUUAUUGGAAGAAGAAAUUGAUACUACUUAUUUUACUGUAGUAGGUUUGCUUACCUCCCCACCUGAUUGGUUAGGUUUUUUAGGGAGUCUGAGAGCUUGAGGAGGUAUCUUGAGUCAAAGACUCGAGAUGGCGUUCUAAGGUUAUGGAAUGGCCAUGAUCAUCAUGACCAAUGUCAAACUCGGGGUCAAUGUCAACCUGUCUUGAUUCAGUUGCUUACAUGGGUGAGAUCUGUAUCAUCUGGUUCAGAUUUCCCUGCUGUCUCAACAAUAGAGGUGAGUGUAUCUUAAACUGAAACUUUCUCAUUAAAAGUAACAUUAAGGGAGGUUAUCACUUUGUAACCUCCAUGUUGCACAAGCAACAACUUGUAACACCAUCAGACUAUCCAGCAUGACACAUUUUUGUGCUUUAAGAUUCAAUUUCUCUUAGAAAAUUUUGGAAUAGGAAGUGCAACCGAAGGGCCUGAGAUGGGACCGGGUAGGUUUCUUUUAUGUCCACAUCUUUAGGGGGGGGUUUGAAAACAGAUAGCGGACGAGGGAGAUCUGUUUAUGUGGUAAGCAACUAUAACCAUUAUUUUACCGUACAAUGACGGUCUUAAUCUUACGCUGAUUAACAUGUAUCUAGCCUUUUCCAACAAAGUCAGGUUCAUCCUCUCAGCAGUACUAUUCUAGCGAGGGGUGCCAGGAACAGUGAGGUGUAUGUUCCCCAAGAAGGCGAGGGAAGCCGAUCGAAAAACCUAUUCCCCAAGAAGGCUGGAGGUCGCCGGCGAGAACAGCAUCUCCAUCGAGAUGUGAUCAGGAAGAAUGACCCUUCUGCAAUGUGAGAAAGAUAAGUGACCUCAGUAUAGUUUCUACAAGUUCAGGGACGGGGUUGUACUAUCUGAAUGUUAGGGGACAGAUUUAAUAAUUAUGACUGUUCAGGGACUGAUCUGCAAAUUAUGACUGUUCAGAGACUGAUCUGAAAUAGCCAGCGUUGGAGGACUGGUGCUGGAAUUUACCAAACUGACCUGUGAAUGACAGUUCUGCCCCUGUAAGUUUAAGUUUGUUGCAACAGAGUAAUUGGUGCAUAACUCUACCGUUUGAGCUCCAAAUGAUGCACCGUUAGAAAUUAUGGUUUCGUAGUGGCAUGGCGGAUCAGCUAAGAUCCAAAUUCUGAGAUGCCGUCUCUUCAAUAAGGUGGGUUGGUUUAAGGGGGUAAUAUAUUUUCGUUGCAGUAGGUUAGGUUAGAUUUUAAUUAAUUUGAUGCAUUUGAUUUAUGCCAUGUUCCAUGAUUGAGUGUUUAUUUAUGUCAUGUUAUGAUUUUAAUAUUGUGCAGGUUGUGUAUAUAACUAUAAGGUUAGACUAGUGUUAAUAACACUAAGAUAAGGUUAGACUAACGUUAAUAAUAGAUGAUGAUAAGAUUAGUUAUGACCAGUGAUAAGAAACAAGAACACAUCACCUACAUUAGUAAUAGGUGGACUACAACAUGAAACUCACUAACUAGACCCCGCCUCUUAUAACUCGAGCCACAUUUUUGCCCACCAUGAUUUAUGGGCCACAGCUGCCCCCCAUGAUUCACGGGCCACAAUAUUACCUUCUAGACCUUCAUGAUUUUAGCACUAGGGCGGUGGGCUAGUUAGUUAAGUUGGGGGACGCCUCACAAGAAAUAACUUUCCUUACAUAAGGACAAGAAUAAUACAAGAAUUAAGUGAUGUAUAUGACUUUCAUCAACAAGAUGAUUAGGAUAUGACAAGUUAUAAGAAUCAUGAUACUAUGAUUUAUAAUGCACCUAACUUGAUUGAGUUUAGCUUCAAUCUUCCUUGAUGAUUCCUCGGUGAUGAUUCGUUGUUGAUGAUUCCUUGAUGAUGAUUCUUUGUUGAUGAUUCCUUGACGAUGAUUCGUUGUUGAUGAUUCCUUGAUGAUAAUUAGUUGUUGAUAAUUCUUUGAUGAUUCAUUGUUGAUGAUUAAUUACUUGUUAUGUUAAGUCUUUAUUUAUGAUAGGAUUACAUAAAUAGGACUACUUUAUGUAAUAUGGUUACUUAGUUAGUACUUAUGAAUCUAAAUGUGUUUUUAUUUUCCUAUGUUCAGUUAUGAUGCUCAUAUGACGUGCCUAUAUGAUUAAACUAGAACAUGAUUGGAUUAGCUAGCAAGUGAACAAAUAGAACUAAGUCUAGAUGAUUAAUAGAUGAUCUAAUAAUACGUUAGGAUUUCAUUUAUGUUAGCAUGUUAUUUAUUAUGAAUAGAGUACGAAAGACUGACCACGAACCACCCACCAUGGUGUUUCGAUAGUUGAUGCAGGAGCAGAGUGGAGCUGAUUCGGGAAGUGGCGAUGUGGACUUGGUUUUUAGACGGAUGUUUUAGAAUUUUUAUGUUGAGACUUGUUUUCAAUAUUUUUGAGCAUUUAUUAGUAGUCAGUUAUUUACAAAAGAUUUCUGUUUUAUUUUUUUGGUUGGAAAAUUCCAUGGUCGGGGAAUUUUAGUCAUUUAAUAAAUCGUAAGAAUUCAAGGUGUUUCGGCUAAUCCCUCAUGGAUUUGGUUUCGGAUGCAUAACAAGUGACUUUCCAAAAGGUCACCCAUUUUUGCACUGCUCCACCCUUGAGCUAGUUGAUACCUGGAAGGUUAUUCGGUCCAAGUAAGUACCUCCUUGAAUGCCAUCAUCUUCUUCAUGGUAAGAAGUUGAGUAUCGAGCAGUAAUUGAAGUAGAUGAUAGAAUAACUAGCAAACUUUGCUCAAAACCUGCUUGCCACCCCGGAAUAACCAUCUCCUUCAGAAGUUAUAUGCUUGAGGAGUGAAUAGGUAGAAAGGUGCAUCACUAUCAACAACCUCAAACUUCUCCAAACCAGUGAUGCCACUUGAAAUGUCUUCUGAUUUGAGCUUGAAUGGUUCCUCUUCUAUGACAUCUUCAACCUUGGUGUUAAGGUGCUUGCUAUCAGUUUCCUGACAAAAAGACUUCAUGACCGAGCAAGAAUUUCGAAGGGCCUCAACAUUCAUUGGUAAAACCACAAUCUGAGCGAUGUCUUCGUCGAUGGAGCACUUUAUAUAGCCAAUCGCUAAUUUCGAACAUGAGCUUCAUCCUUCUACAGGUGUUUUGAUGAGAUAUUCACUGCCAUCGCCUUCAUAUUCUAUUUUAUUUUCAUCACAGAUAGCUUGAAUUUCCUUAAUGAUUUGUUCUUGUAGAUCUUCAUCGUUGUCCCAAAAGCAUGAAAAAGUUCCAUCCAAUUCACAUUCUCCAAGCUCACCAUCAUAGCUAGCUUGAACUUUCACAAUGAUGUGUGCAUCUUCUAGAUCUUCAUCUUCAUCCUCUAAGAAUUAAAAAGGGAAUUCACCCUCGUCCCUUUCAUGAUCUUAUAGCUUUUCAUCACAGUCGACUACAUUGUACUCAAUGAUGGAUGCAUCUUCCUCCUCUAUGACCACUAUGUUUCUUGUAAUACUAAGAACAUCCUGAAUGUCAUCAUCACUGUCGAGCACGUCAUCCUCUUCAAAGGGGAUAUUGACGGGCUCUACUUUGAAAUCAACUCGUAUGUGGCAUUCAUUCGCUUCAUAAGUGCUUCGUAGGCUGCCAUCAUUUCUUCAAACCACAAUAUGCUUUUAACGGUGCAGUUUUGAAAUAACUGUUUUAAUUCUUCAUAAGCUGUAGGAGGUUGAUAGUGAUAAUUCCGUGUAGGCCCUUGGUAGUAUGGAGGUGAGUAUGGAUCUUCAUGAUGGUAAUUAUAUGAUGAUGGCUCUAAAUAACUUGGGGAAGGCUGAUGUUGAUAAUCCCAUGCAGACUUCAGGUAGUAUGAAUUGGAAUAAGAGUUCUCAUACCACGAUAGUGAUGGUUGAUGCUCGUUAUAACUCCAUCGCUGGUUGUAUCCUCUGUAGUCAUGCAUCAAUACACUCAAACAAAACUAUCAAGGUGAAACUAGCAAAAGAAAAUACAAAAUAGAUGGAAAUAUACAAUGAGUGAAUGGUUAACACUAAACUAACUCCUUUCAAACACAACAAAUUGUCUAUGUAUCAAGUAUCCAUGUUUAUUUAAGUUCAUGACAAGCACUAGUUUGCAGAAUAUAUGUACCUGAAUAGGACGGUGGAGCUGGAGGACUUUGAGCGACUACUAAGUUGGUGAAUGUUGCAAUAGCAUUCUUAGUUGAUGCAAUUCUUCUGAGGUGAUAUGAGGAAUGUUGGCAGGGAGUUUGGACUCAAUCCCUUUAGCAUAUUGAUCAUUGGAUAUCUCCCCCAGAGUCACAGCACCUACAAAAUGAUUGUUGGAGUUCCAUUUUCCUGGAUUCCAAGUACCUGCAUCUUCAUGUUGUUUCUUCCAUUUCAGCUUCAUACACUCCUCUAACAGACGUCCUUCUUUCUUACAAUAGCGGCAAGUCUACUUCUCAGAUCCUCCAUGUGAACUCUUGAAAGUGUAAGCUACUUGAACUAUCUUAACAUCUGGAAUAGCAAAGACUACUGCAGAGCUAGCCUUUUCUUUGCCAAUGGUAGCUCCUCCUUUCAACUUCUCUUCAUGUUGUAAAACACUAUCAUAAGCAGCGGUAACGGAAGGUAGUGGUUUCAUCAUUAGCAAUUGAGUUUUCACCACUUUAUAAUCAUCAUUUAAACAACGCAAACACCGAAUGAGAUCAUCGGUGUCUUGUUUCUCCUGAAAAGCAAUGACUGCUGGACAGGGAGCAGUGUACCCAAGAUUGCAAUUGCAAGCCACAAUCGGAGUGUAUUGGCUAUACUCCUCCCGUAAUCCUUUGAUCAGAGUAUAAUAGCUAGUAGCUGACAGAGAUCCAUGUUAGAAUUAGCUCGAGCAAAUCUGCAUUUCAGCUCCAUACAGAGAACUUGAGCAUUCUCGUGAUUAAGAAUGCUAAGACGGAUCUCUGGAUGUAGUGAAUUAGAAAUCUAACACAGUACCAUCGUGUUAUAGACAUCCUACUGAGUGAAGAGAUAACUGGUCGUCGGAGGUUGCAGCAGCGAUCCAUCAACAAAUCCAAGUUUAUGUUUUGUUUUCAACGCAAAACGUACAAGAGAUCUACUCCAUACAUGAUAUUUUACGCCAUCAAGAACAAUAAUGACAAUCGAUUGAGACAGAUUUUCAUACGGAUUCAAAUAGUAGGGAUUUCCAAAGCUCAAUUCAGGAUUAGUGUUACCAUUUGGGUUAAAGGUGCCAAACGUGAAGCCUAAUCGAUCUCCUCUGGAGGUGGAGUGACUUCCAUUAGACUCUGGAGUAUGCUCUCCUCUUCCUUCAUUCACCAUUACGCCAUCAUGGAUCUUCAUAUCUACUCUAAUACCAUCUUAGAAUGGGAGAGAGGAAGAGAAAUGAACGAAGAAAUGAUGUGCAGAAGCUGUCAAACUUACAGCUCUGGCUCAGGAUUGAUUCUUAUUUAAAUGGUCCAGUAAAGUUGGAGUACAUACAACGGUAAACAAGACAAGUGGCAGAGCAUUAUUCGUUACUGAGUAGAUUAAUUAAGCUAAUCCACAGCGACAACGUUUCAGUAAAUGGAGAUGAAAUGACAAAACCAGCUGGUUCAGGUAUCCUUGAUGACCUCUUCUGAUACAGACAAUAACCGUAACGAUGUAGUGUGUUUGGGGUUAGCUCAAACUGUGAAGAAAGAAGAAGAGAGAUAUGGGAGGAGGCAGUCGGUGUUGGGGAUGAAGACGGACUUGUCCUGGAAGAGAUGAAGAUACAAUUACUUAAUAGAGAAUUAAUUUUUUUAAGUUAAUGUGGUAUUUUGAUUAGUAAGUAUAGGCCAUGUCAGUUUUGUUUUCACGGUCACUAACAAUCAUGGUUAAGAAUGUCAGAUCAGACCGGUCGGUCCAACCGAAAACUGGCCGAGCCGAAACUAAGUCACCGGCUGAUGAGAAUGGUCAAAAUUAGGCGUUAACUAGGCUUGACAAAAAAUUCAGCCGGUUAGACCCGAUUUUUAUGACUACACUUUUUAUUUUUCAAAAAUGUAGGAGUAAGAUUUAAGUAGAGAGGAUGAGUGAUUACCAUCUCUACUAAUAUCAUAAUUUUAUUAAAACAUACAUUUAAUUGAUAAUAAUAGACAUUAUGAUAGCUAAUAAGCACUAAAAAAAUAGCAUCUUACCACAAAUUAAGUAAAUUGUACAUUAGAUCUCAAUCAAAUUAAUAAAAAAAUUCAAAUUAUUUAUUUAAUUUUAUACUUCUUAAAAAUGACUCAAUAACUAUAUUUUUUACAAGUUAGAUUAUGAUAUUGAACUCUCUAUAGUAUUGGUUCAAUUGGGCUCAAUAAAAAAAUCGGCCAAUCUGACUUAACUAUAUUUAUUUAUUUAAUAAUUAAAACGGUCUAACCCAGUUUUGAAAACGGUCGGACCUCCAUAGAACCAUCAACUUGAAUCCCUAACCUCACCGGUUCAAUCUCCGAUCCUGUUUUCAAAACCUUUGUGAAAUUCAAAAAAAUUUGUGUACAAACGUGUAAUUACGCUAUAAUUCGUGCUAAUAUGAGAUUGUAAACAUUUUAUUGAAACAAAACUAAUACUAAAAUAAUAGAACAGUACUUACCAAUUUGGUAAUGAUACAAAAAAAUUAAAUAAAAAAUAGUAAAAAUCGUAGAUGUAAUUGAAUUAAUUGUUAGUUGCAAAAUAUGAUAAUCCUGCAGGAAUUUUUUACCUAAUCUGCACUGGAGCCAUUUCGAAUUAUAAAAUAUAUCCCUAAGUUAUCAUUCUAUAUAUGUCAAGUUGUAAGGUUGUAAGGUUGUAAAUGUUGUGAGAAUCAAAGCAUAGAUCUGAAAGUGUAAUAAGUAAGGGUUGCUUUGUAAAAUAGGAAAGAGAGAAAGGGUAGUUGCAGAGGAUGAUGCAGUGUUUCUAUUGCAGCAGUGAAGAUUGGGAAGGAGCAAGGUGGAGGAAGGAACAAGGUCCCAAGAUACAUGCAGCAGUACUAUUCAAUUUUAUUUUUAUUUUUUUCAAAAAGCAUGCAGUUCCCCACUCAUACUGUCAAAUUCAUAUUUCAUAUGCUGAUGUGAUGCCGCCACUGAUCAGGCAACUGACUCAGACUCCCUGAGAGUAAAUUAAAGCUCUCUCGUUCCAAAUUUCUAGCACAUGAAUGAAUGAAUGAAACAGCCUCACCAAUAUACUGCUAGUGGUCGCAGCAAAAUGAAAAACCCAAAAAAGUAAAGUGAGAGAGAAAAACCUGAUCCUUCUCGAAAUGCGUUCCCCUUUUAGACAGUGAUUUGUUAUUAUUUAGGUUAAAGUCUUAUGCCGGUAGCUAGCUGGCUGGAUCCACCCCUUGCACAAACCAUAUCUUGAUAAUGCAAUUCAUUUCAACUUGUGGAAUUACUUAUUCCUUCCAACUUCAAUACACAAUAAUACUAAGCAAAACGAAACAAAUUCCAAUCUUUUUCCAACAUGUUUUGUAAGCCUAAAUGUAAAUACUCGUCUCCACCACUUUUUGUGGUCCGGUCCACAUAUGUAAUUCAAUAACCGCCUUGUCUAUUAAUAAAUUUAUACGAUCGGUCGCAGAUAACUAUAUAAUGUUUUUUUAUCAAGAUAGCUAUAUAGUUCAUACACUGGAUUUCAACUAUUUGUGCUCCAAGUCACAUACUAAAUAUACUUGCAAAUAGAGGUAGACCGGAUUAAUUGAUUAUUAGUUUAAGUGAAGUUAUUUUAGUAAUAAAAUGAUAUAAUAAUGAUUUACAUAUUUUAAUUUGAAAUCCAACCCAUUUCACGAAUAUAUACUAUAUAAUUAUUAAUUAAUUAUUGUAACAUGCCGGGCGUUACUUCUUUUACCGCCGAACAAAUUACACAAUAUGCCAGGUGGACAUCCAUGCUGGAUCCAACGGCACUGGCGAUUGGCCAACUAGGACGUCAAUGGUGGUUGUUGUUCGUCGUAUUUCAUUUAUACGGAGAAACGAAGACUGAUAAGGUCGCUGACACCUGUCAUGUGAUUGUAGGGUUUUAGCUAAGGUUUCCUUUUGUUUCCAUUAUAAUUUAACAGGUUUUAAUUAACAAUAAUAAUAAUAAUAAUAUAUUAAAGGAAGGAGAAAAUCCCGAAAUAAUGAUUCCUGCACCACCAAAAGCAAUUAUGCUUCCCCUACUCUGCUCAAAGAAGAGAAAUUGGUUGGUAGUCGGUAGAUCUGAGUUUCUUUCGUUCGUUGGUUCGUAUAGACUAAAGAGUAUUAGACACACACCCACAGUAUGAGUGGGGCCCUGUAUACUUUAACCAUUUUUGGGUGGGUGGGUCCCAACUUACUUUUUAUUAUUUUUUUCUUUCUUAACUAUUCCAUUUUGGGUAAACAAUUGAAACCGUUGUCAACCGUGACAUAACCCUAUCCCUGGGUCCCGUUUUCUUUUUAACUUUCAACGCUCCCAUUUUAACCGUCAUAUCAUAACAAAUAUCUAAUCGUUCGAAUAUGUUUUCAUGUUUAUUUUUAGUUAGAUCGGACUCUUUUUUUUACGGUCUAGUUGAAUUUCAUUGAACCGUAUGCAAGAGUGGUACUCAAACAUAAAGUCGUUGAAUGAAGCAAACUAAGAACAAGAGUGCUACUUAGAGAAUCAUGAAAACUUGCAUUACAUGGCGAUGAUAAAACCCCCACAUCUACAAACAAAACCUCAUCAGUCAUCACAACAUCAGCCUUGUACCAAUAAUUCCAAAUAAAAAAUAAAAAUAAGAUAUCAUUCCAUCACACGCAAAAAAAAAAGUAAAAUAAAAUAGAAACAAAAAACAAUGAAUGAUAUGGUUCCAAAAUACAUACAUUAUUAUAUUGAGAAGAUAUUGUGCAAUGAAAUAGCUAGGCGGAAGUAAUUAAAUUGUUAUAUAUAUUCACUCUUACACACAAGCUGUAUAGUCCAAUGGGCUGUUCCCGAUAUCCCUUCCUUCUAUUUCGCUGAAUACCCUUUUUCUCUCCUCUUCUUCUUCUCCCCCAUACCCUUAACCCUCUUAACACAGUCUUCACUACCCUGCAACCAUUUCAGAGUAAUUUCUCCUCUUCUCCAUACCCUUCAAAACUGUUAUAUCUACUGACUUGCAAUUACAAGAUGGAAAGGUACUCAUCAUCAUCCUCCUCCACAGAUGAUCAUCAAGACCACCAAACCACCACCACCACCAUGCCAAUGGAGUCCAUGCUUAUGAUGAUGGCCGAGAAGCAGCACCUCCCUGUCGUCGACGACUAUCUCUACUCCUUUGACUGCGGUGGUGCAACUAAUCCCACCAACGCCACCACCAUUAACCCAUUCAACACCAACAACCCACUUCCUUCAACUACCUUGUCCUUUUCCACUACAUCUCAAGAUCAGCAAUCAAUCUCAUGGAGAGAUCUCAUGAUGACGGGUGAAUCCGGUAACGAUAAUGUCGUCAAUGGUCGAGGUAUGGGGUCAAAUAAUAGUAACAACAAGGCGUCGAUGGCGGCGAUGAGGGAGAUGAUAUUCAGGAUAGCGGCGAUGCAGCCGAUCCACAUAGACCCGGAGUCGGUGAAGCCACCCAAGAGGAGGAACGUCAGGAUAUCUAAAGACCCGCAGAGCGUGGCGGCGCGUCACAGAAGGGAAAGGAUUAGCGAGAAGAUUAGGAUACUUCAGAGGCUAGUCCCAGGUGGUACUAAGAUGGAUACUGCUUCCAUGUUGGAUGAAGCUAUUCAUUACGUUAAGUUCUUGAAGAACCAAGUCCAGUCUCUUGAGCGCAAUGCUCCUCAUCGCCCGCCGGCGCCGGUGGCAGCUGGCAUUGGGUUUCCUGUGCCUGUCACUAAUGGCCAUUGGAAAAGCGGUUAUAAUCAACAGCCUCCGGCGCACCAAGAUAUUUCUGGUUAUGGGGAUGCUUAAUUAAUGUAUCCCAACACUUUGAAUUCUUGUGGUUAACUUAUAGUUAAGUACGUACAUUAAUCUUAACUGUUGUCUCUUUUUCCGCCAUCGGGAUUAUAAUAUUAAUAAUAAUACUAAUGAAAUGGUCAUUGCUGGAUUAUUAUUAUUCUAUGUAAUAUCCACUGGCUAGGUCAUGUGUCUAAUCCUUCACUGUAUCAUUAAUGCAUUUGGUAUAUUUAAGUGCAGCAUUCCCUUUUAAUAUUAUAAUAAUAAAAAUACAAUACAAGUACCGAAUUUGAUUACUGCUUCUUGUAUAGUUAAUUUUCUUUUUCCUUCAAAUAUACGAAAGGAGCUUCAAUCUGAAACGAAAACGCUCCAAUCUGAAUAUUUCUUCAUUGUACACAGCUACCAAUCGUCGGCAAACAAGUGUUGAUCAACGUACACAAACACCUUGUAGUUGUAGGCAUCAGAUAGUCUUUUCAAUUCUUUUCGUUCANNNNNNNNNNNNNNNNNNNNNNNNNNNNNNNNNNNNNNNNNNNNNNNNNNNNNNNNNNNNNNNNNNNNNNNNNNNNNNNNNNNNNNNNNNNNNNNNNNNNNNNNNNNNNUAGUUAUUUUAUAUAUUUUAACAUAAAAGUAAAUUCGUUAUUAAUUAAAAAUUCUAAUAUUCUAAUAAUAUUAUUUAAACUUCAAAUCCAACUUAUUGUAUAUUUCGUUUCUAAUUACUCUCUAUUCUACUACUCUGUUAUAUGUCUGGCCUAUAUAAUAUACAUGAGUUAUUAGUAUGAACCAAUUCAUUUUGGAUAAGAAGCUUCUCUUAGUGGUUGAUUUUUUAUUUAUUUUUUAUGUGAGACAUCAUAUUUAGUAAUAUUAAUAUUAAAUAAAUUUUAAAUUAUUGGCGAUCAAACCAAGUAAGACGAGUCAAUAAUAUCUUUAUAUGAGUGUUAAAAUGAUUAGUAUUAUAGACUUCAAAUUCAAAAUUUUCAAAAACAAAAUAAUAUACUACGACCACUUAAUAACGCAUAAGUGGUUGAAAUUUAUCAUAAAGGUUAACAACAAAAGCAGCACACGUUUACGGCUAUUAAGGAAAGACAGGAAGGUGCCUCCCAGAACACACUCAGUUCGUCCACUUGACUGUUGGUGGCUAUCUUAUUAAUUGCUCGUAAUUUAAAGUUCUCUUUUUUUAUAUGACGUGCUCUCUAAAAAGCAAUUAUAUCGAUUAAAUAAAGUCGUCAAUAAGUUAUUGAAUUGAGAUGUUACGAAUACAGGUUACAAAAGUUGCUAGGUGUUAGUUUGGAUACAACUAAAUAAAGUGACUGAUUCCGGAUGAAUCAAUUUAUUAAACUGAACAUAUGAAAGGUAAAUUACAUUUGAUCGUACUAAUCAAUCUAUAAAUAUUAAAAAAGUUAUAUAAUAUAAAAAAUCCAGGAUCUAAAAAUAAGCUGGAUAAAGACGUCCGGGGAGGCCUUUGUAUCGGCAACUGACUUAAUGCUAUCAAUAGCAUAAGAGAAAGUAAAAAGUUGCAAAACCAAAAACAAAUUAAGUUCUGGACUGAAAGACAAACAGCAUACGGAAUAAUAAUAGAGAUGAGAUAAAGUUGGUGAAUGCUGCCAGUGGUGGCCGUAGCAAAUGGAAAAAGCAAACCAUACUGUUUAGAAACCGGUCCAAAAUAUGUCGUAAGUUUAGGUUAAAAUGAAAGGGUAACGGUUUUAAUUAAUUCAUCCAUUAAUAAAUAUAAUAAAAAAGAAUGGUUCAAGUUAAACCCUACUUGUUCAACGCUUUCAGAAAAUAUAGCAUGCAUGGUUCACUACAGUUUUCGUUAUAUAAUCCGCAGCCAUUAUACCCUCUAACAGUUGGUCUCUUUAUACGAACAUGUUUUUUAAACGCAUAAUAAAAUAUUUGGGUGUUAAACUUGGGGAUGAGUUUGAUUUCAUAUGGUGGGUACAGAUAUUAAUCUGGGAAAACAGGAAUUCAGGGAAAGCGGAAGGAUGAGGGCCGGUGGAAAAGGAGGCAUGAGAAUUCCACGUGAACGUCUGACAAUGCGGUGGCCAAUUAAUUAUUUUACGCCACGUGGCCAAAUGAUGACGUCGCUGUCCGCCCCACGCCUUCACACGUGACAAUCCACUGCACUUGGUCUUUCCCUUCCGUUACGUGGCGCUCCACCUCAUCUUCAACGCUCCAGCUCCCCUCUUACCCUUUUCUUUUGCCGUUUGCCGUUAAUUAAUUUAUCUCGUUUUCCUUUGUGUUUCUUUUGUUGUAUAAAUUCCUGAAUUCAUUAGUGGUUUGCUCCUAAUCUAAUGCGAGUUCGUGAUUGUUAUGCAUUCACCACUCAAUUAAUAGGUAGGACAUGGUUGUAUGACGCUUACGAUGAUUUGUGAUAUUGAGGGCCCAUGGGCGAAGCCCCACGAGGAAGUCAACCGCGGAAGAGUGGACAGCAUAGUCAAUAAUCGACACCUUUUUUAGACGUAGAUCACCUCAUCGUGUAAAAAGGACACUAGGGCUCAUUAUAACAUAAUAUGUCGAUUAUUGGAGACUAAUCCCUCUAAUCACUAAGCAAGAUUGAAGUAAUGACAAACUGAAAGUCAAGAGAAAUGAAAUUGAUCAGCUGAAAUAAAGUUUUCGAUAAGAUCGAAAGUUUCAGCCACUCAUAUAACUGAAUACAUAAAACAUGACAUUGUCAUAAAUUAAUAUAAGUCAUCAAUCUCCCCCUAAGUCUGAGAAUGCUUUUCACUAUGAUGUUUUCUAAGCUCCCCCUUAGCCGAGUGCCUAAUACAAGAACUGAAGAGAUUUCUUCAUAGAAGAACACAACUCAAAAUUAAAAAAUCAAAAUUCAAAUCGAGCACUUUUAAUGAUAAUGAAAAGAGCAGAGAGACUAAACUAGAACUGACAAAGAAACAAAUGCAGGAAAAGAAGAAAUCGAAUAGCUCUAUCUCUCUGAACAAUAAUCAGCUAAGUAGAAUACUCAAUGAGAAGAAGAACCCAAAUGCUCAGAAGGCGCCGCCUCAAUAAUAUCAAGAACACAAAUAUUCAGAUGACGAUUCAAUCUUUCGAUAGGAGCAUCAAUAAUUUCUCCUUAGAGAGAUUUUCAGACUUCGUUUCAUAUUUGAUUUGAGACCCAUCACUGUCUUCAUCAUUUUCACCCCCUGAAACAUUUUCCAGACGAGAAAUACACUCGAUUUCUUAAAACACUGUAUGAGGGUUCAGAACAUCCAAGGGUGAAACAUAAUAGAAUCUACCAAAGAGGGAAAUUCAGGACAUGCCAGCAGAGCAGAGAUUUCCGGAGCAAAAGGCAAUGCACCUGUAAGACGAGGAUUUGCAAGUUAACAAUCAUGCGAAAUUGAUGUGCGGAUUUUACCCUACUUUUAAAUACUUACUAGAUUAAAUUUAAUGGGAUCGUAAAUUUUCUUAGGGUUUUCCUACUUCUAUUAUUCAAGUUGAUUAACUAACUAGACCAAGUAACAGUUUAUGAUUAUUUUUAAGAUUGUAUCAAGUAACCAAUUAAUAACUAAAAAUUCAAAUCAAAAGAAAGCAAAUUUAAGAGGUUGAGUUUCAAAUGAAUCCACUAAAGCUAAUUCAGGAUGGUGAUGUGAAAGUUCAUUAUUUCAACAUGUCAAAUUGAAGAUGUUUAUACUAAGGCGCUGGCUAUAAGCAGACACUGGUUCUUGUCUACCAAAUUGAUGUGACAUAAUGAACAUCAAUUCAAACGAUGUUAUUAAUAGUUGGGGUACCAAUAUGACGUUGUACAUGUGAAAAGAUUAAGUAUAAAUAAUUUCUAAAUAUGGUUCAUAAACCCUCAACAUACCUCGACAUUUCCCUCCACUUUAUUCACUGAAUAAAAUUCUCACAUUUUUAUAUGAACUAAUCGAUCACUUUAAUUGAAUAUCGUGUUCAUUUUUAUUUGUUCAUUUCUUGUUUCCGAUUAUUCUUAUACCCUCUUCUCAUACUUUUAUUUACUAUUCUUCCUCGUCCGUCUUGUAAGGAACUAUCUUGAAAGACUGCAAAAAGUUCUCAAAAACAACCAAUCAAGCAAAUGGAUUCACAACCAAAAAAUUUAUGGGCCGCCAAUCGAACCGAACAGAACAUGAAGUACCAAAUAUUAACUAAAUCUAACGCAGGGGACGACUUGCAUAUUUUCCUUGUUCAAUCCUCUUCCCCACUUCUCUGAUAUGCUGUAGAAUUCUGGAAGCACAGCGACGACAAAUUACCCCAUUAUGAAUGUAUGUUCAUCCCAGCUAUCAUAUGAAGACAAAUGUAGCUUGAAACAAAAAUGGAAUAUUAAUUUUAUAUUAGCUUAAAACAUAUAUUUUUCUUUUCUUUGUCCUUUAUCUAUUUCCUUUAUGGACGAAUUUAAAAUUUUUCUUAUCACCACUUCUAGCCAUUUGACAAACCGAUGAUUGUAACUCAAUAGACUAUUAGACUUAGCUUCAAAGUACACACUUUAUAUAUAAUUUUUGUCCUACAGUCUGGUUAGUCAUGCAGAUCAUGGACGUAUUAUUUGUUUCUGGGGCAAAAGUCAAAAUCUCUUAACCUAGCCCAACUCUAUAAGUAUCCUAGAUCUCUACUACAUCUUAACGUUCAGAUUAACUAAGAUAAAUUAAUUUUUUUUUACAUUUACGAACUUUUAAUACUGUGACAGUUUAGCCAGCUUGGGUAACGAAAGUUUUUUUUGAAAAUUUUCAUGAUGACUCCGAUAUCCGUCCACAGUAACCUUUUUACCCAUGUGAUUGUAUUCCCUGGCUCUACAUUUUUAAAAAAUUAUUCAGGCGAGUUUGUUUUUUUUCAAAACAUUCAGACGAGAUUCUUAUAAAAUAUGAGUUCGUAUAGUUCAUAUAAACUGUAUACACUAUGCGUAGCUUUAUACACAAUAAUAAAUACAAACUAUAUAUAUAUAUAUAUAUCAUACACAAUUUAUAUAAAGGGUAAGACAUUUUUUAGGUGACUUGAAUUAACUGAUUUUGAGUUAGUGACCUACAACAGUAGGUUUAGCACGCUACCUUAUGUAAUGAAUAAUUGUAGUUACAUAAACCUUACGUAACGGCCUUCACUUUUACGUAACAAAUAUAAUUUUGCCUGUUACGUAAGGAACCACUGUCGUUACAUAAGCCUUACGUAACGCCCUUCACUCUUACGUAACAGACUUAAUUUUGCCUGUUACGUGAGGAACAACUGCCGUUGCGUAAGCCUUAUGUAACGGACUUCACUCUUACGUAACAGGUUUAAUUUUUCCUGUUACUUGAGGAACAACUGUCGCUACGUAAGGAUUACGUAACGACCUUCACUCUUACAUAAUAGGCUUAAGUUUGCCUGUUACGUAAGGAACAACUGUCGUUACGUAAGCCUACGUAAUGACCUUCACUCUUACAUAACAUGCUUAAUUUUGCCCGUUACGGAAGGAACAACUUCUGUUACGUAAGCGUUACGUAACGACCUUCGCUCUUACGUAACAUGCUUAAUUUUACCCGUUACGUAAGCCUUAUGUGACGGCCUUCGUUCUUAUGUAACAUAUUUAAUUUUUUCCGUUAUGCAAGCCUUACGUAACGACCUUCACUAUUACGUAACAUGCUUAAUAGUGCCCGUUACAUAAGGAACAACUUCCGUGACGUAAGUCUUACAUAACAACUUUCAAUCUUGCGUAACUGGCUUAGUUUUUCCUGUUACAUAAGAAACAACUUCCGUGACGUAAGAAACAACUUUCGUUACGUAAGCCUUGCGUAACAACCUUCAUUCUUACGUAACAGGCUUACUUUUUCCCGUUACGUAAGCCUUAUGUAACGGCCUUCACACUUACAUAACAGACUUAAUUUUGCACGUUAUGUAAGGAACAACUGCCGUUACGUAAGCCUUACGCAACGACCUUCACUCUUACGUAACAAGUUUAAUUUAGCAUGUUAUGUAAGCCUUAUGUAACCACCUUCAUCCUUACCUAACAAGUUUAAUUUUGCCUGUUACGUAAGCAACAACUGUAGUUACGUAAGCUUUACUUAACGACCUUCACUCUUACGUAACAUGGUUAAUUUAACCUGUUUUAAUCGUCUGUAACUAGUUACUUGCAAGCGCAUGUAACUAUUUACAAAACUCAAUAAAUCACUGGCGAUGAUUCGACCAGCUUCCAUAACUUAUUAUAAUCUUCUAUAACUAGUUAUAGUAAUUUAUCGUUGAUUUUUCAAUAAAGAAUUGUUUAUCGUGACAAGAUUUAAUGACUAGUUAUGAUCAAUAGUAACUGUAUAACUAGUUACAUUCAUCUAUAACUAAUUAUAAUCGUCCAUAACUAGUAACACAAUUUAAUAACGAAUUAUGUCCGUGCACAACCAAAAUUGCUCAACCAAACAAAAUAACAUUAUUGAUUGCAGAAAAGCAACGCAACAUAGUUGCUUCAAGAAUAAUAAGCUCAGCCAAUUGUAAAAUUUGAGAAGAAAAAAGAUAAUGAACAAGAGUAUAAAUCCUAGAAAUGAGCUAUACCUCUACCAAAAAAAUAGGGAAAUACAGUUCCUCUUUUGGCCGGUUCCUAGUAAUAAUGAUUAUUAUCAAUUUUUAAAUUUAAAUCCUAAUCAAUGGCUCUAAAUCAUUGUAGUUAAUUUUGAUGGUUUUGAUUUAAUUUAAUUAACUCAAANNNNNNNNNNNNNNNNNNNNNNNNNNNNNNNNNNNNNNNNNNNNNNNNNNNNNNNNNNNNNNNNNNNNNNNNNNNNNNNNNNNNNNNNNNNNNNNNNNNNNNNNNNNNNNNNNNNNNNNNNNNNNNNNNNNNNNNNNNNNNNNNNNNNNAAUGCAAUACCCUGUAUAUAAAAUUUGUAAAUAGUUUAUAUAAAAUAUAUUACACUCUAUAUGAAUCCGGUGUUGGCAGAGAUCUCUGGGGUUAGUCAUGGCUACAGGUAUCGCUUCUUCCACUCAAAAUUCUAGUUGUUGAUAAUCGAAGGUAGCGCCGUAGUAUUGAAAAGUCUGUCGUUUUGUGUGUGGUUGGGAAAGGGAACAAUGCAUAUUGGCUCCACAUGAUGUUCUGAUGUUAUAAUAAUAUAUUAUAUAAAAAUUAAAAUGCAACGUAUAGAGUGUCCCAAGUAACGGAUACAAUGUAUUUGGGGAGUAUGUCCUUUAUUCCAAAAUGAAUUAGCAUAUAUGCCUCCACAUCUUUGACCUCCAAAAUUCCUAUCUUAUUUCAAGGCCAAGAUCUUAUUUUUAAACAUUCACUGCUUAACUUCAAACUAUUCAGAUAAACUGGUGCUCAACCGGAUCAAUCCUAUGAACAUAGUGGCUCUGUAUCACCUAGGAAAUCCACUCUCUGUCACUCGGUAUGGUCAUUACGAGUUCUUCCAAAGCUUCGAUUUUUUUUUUUGUAGGUUGUGCCAUCGCAUACUUCCAACUCGCCAGGGCCUGUUGCAUCAGCAUGUGCCAAUAACGAAGAUCAGUUGUCUGGUCUGCUAGGCGCCAGAGGAAUCAAUUUAACAUCUCCUUUUUUACUGCCCAGUUGACAUUAGACUCACUACACUUGCGGGAUUGCGUGUCCUGGGUUCCGACCACUUUCAUAAUGUGAUAAUUUGGCGCACUCUCAUUCAGAAUCAGCCUGAUUAUGGUCCACGAUACACUUUAUUAUGGUGGCGGAUUUGAAAAGCUCGUAAUUUGGUAGUGUUUGAGUAUUGCCAACUGGUCCCUAAUGAUAACUCCGAAAUUUUUGAGUCUAUGUUUCCUAUGUUGGACAGACCAUCAUCUACUAACAGAACGAAAUCUUGCAGUACUCCUAAAUUUUCUGCAGAACCAGCUGAGAACUCAAAUCAACGGGAUGUCAGGAGAAGUAAGAGAGCCAGAAAAAGUACUAAUUUUUGUCCUGACUUCCUAACCUCAUUUUUUAUUGAUUCAGUCACUACAGAGGAAGAAACCUUCUUGCUAGAAGAAGAACCAAUAAGCUUUGAAGAAACAAUGAUGUCACCUGAAGCCACACUCUGAAAAGAAGCAACUCAAAGUGAGAUGGAGUCCAUUAAGACAAAACAAACUUGAGAUCUUGUAGAUCUACCUAAGGGAUCAAAAGCAUUUGGUAGUAAGUGGAUCUUUAAAUUUUUUUUGAUAAGUGAUGGUUCAAUUGACAGGUUCAAAGCGAAACUAUUUUGCUACUUAUUCUCCAGUUCCAAAGAUAACCAUUAUUCAAACUUUUUUGUGUGGCUUCAAUCUAUGACAUGCAGGUACAUCAGAUGGAUGUUAAGACAACAUUCCUCAAUGGAGAACUGGAUGAAGAGAUAUACAUGCAGCAACCUCCAGGUUGUGUGGAACCAAAUCUCAAGACCAAGGUUUGCAGGAUAAAGAUAUCUCUUUAUGGCUUGAAACAAGCUCUAAAGAAAUGGUAUGAAAAAUUCGAAAGGACCAUAACUGAGUUUGGUUUCAGUUCAAUCUCAUCUGAUUCAUGUGUAUAUGCAAAACAGUUUGGUUCCAGUUGUGUAUUAAUAUUUCUAUACGGUGAUGACAUGUUUAUUUUGAGUACUGAUCUAAAUGCCAUUGUUGAGACAAAGAAUAUCCUAUCUUCCAAGUUUGAAAUGAAGUACAUGGGAGAAGUAGGAGUUAUUUUGGGAAUAAAAGUAACCAAACGGAACAAUGGUUAUACCCUUUUAUCAGUCUCACUAUGCUGAAAACGUUGAGAAAGUUUCACAGUUAUGAUUUAUUUGCUGCCAGGAACCCUUAUGAUGCCCCCCCCCCCCCCCCCCCUCCCCCGUUCUUAUCCUCACUCUACACUCACACAACUCACUACUCACCACCCCCCCCCCUUCUCAAAUUGAUGGUCAUUCGACAAAUCAAUUUGCUAGCGAGAAACCAGUGACGACUAGUCACCACUGACUUGAUGAGAAGAUCAGCCACUUGCUCAUCGGUCUGUAUAUAGAAGAGAUGUAUAUUGCCUUCCACAAUAAGCUCUCGGAAGAAAUGAACAUGUGUCUCACCGUGCUUCGUCUGAUCAAGAAACAUCGGGUUCAUCGCGAUUGUAAUAGUGCUGGUGCUGUCAGCAAAUAGAGAAGCUGGUCGCAUUAAGAUACCUCCAAGUUCCUGCACCAAACGAGUAAGCCAAACAAUUUCGGAGCACACAUCAAACAUGGAUCGAUAUUCGACCUCUGUAGAAGAUUUGGAUACCCUCUCCUGCUUCUUGCACCUCCAAGUAACACAGAAUUGCCAAACAUAACACACCAUCCACUCGUUGUACGACAAGUGUCCAAACACCCUGGAUGAUCUGCGUCUUCAUAGGCAGUAAUAGCACAGCUUCCUGAAGCAGGAAGAAAGAUACCAAUAUGAGGAGUACCAGAUAAAUAUCAAAGAAUGCGUUUCACUUCCGUAAGAUGAGAAGAACGCGGAGCAGCCAUAAAUUGCCCUGUACUGCAUAAAAAAUCUUCGGGCGAGUAGACGUCAAGUAAAUGAGACUCCCAACCAGACGUUGAUACUGCCGCGGAUCCGUCAAGAGAUCGCAUUGAUCUCGAGCUAGUCAACCAAUGAUUUAACUCCAUAGGAGUCACUACCCGAGUAUAAGCCGUGAAUCCAGCACUCUCCAAUAGAUCACCAAGAUCUAGUAAUCUCAAGCCCUAAGAAAUACGACAGAACACCAAUAUCCUUAAGAUUAAAGUGAGACUUAAGCCACUGCUUUGUCUCGGAAAUACUAGUAGAAUCAUCGCCCGUAAGAAUUAUAUUAUCAAUAUAAAUAAGCAGGACUAUAAGACCACGAGAAGAACAAUGAAGAAAUAAUGAAGGAUUGGAGACGCUCUGUUGAAAGCCAUAAUCAAAUAUAGUCUGAGAAAACUUGUCGAACCAGGCAUGAGGCGUCUGUUUCAACCCAUAAAGUGAACGACGAAGAUGAAAAAAACAUCUUUGGAUUGUUUAUCUUAACCAGAUGGACACUCCAUAUACACCGUCUCCUUGAGAUCACCGUGCAAAAAAAACAUUUUUGACAUCCGGUUGAGAAAGAGGUCAAACUGGUUGGGAAGCAUAAGCCAACAAGGUUCGAACCGUUUUCAUUUUGGUAACAGGAGCAAAAUGUCUCAUCGUAAUCAAUAUCGUACUCCUAUUUAAAACCCUAUGCUACAACCCGAGCUUUGUAGCGAUCAACUGCCCCAUCCGGGUUAUGGUAUAGACCCAACGACAUUCAAUCACUGAAACAUCGAUAGGACAUGGAACAAUAUCCCACAUGCGAGUAGCAUCCAAAGCAUCAGAUUCACCAUCCAUAGCUGCGACCCAUCUAGAAUCCUUAGAAGCAAUACGAUAUGAUGAAGGAAUCCGAGGAGAAGCAUCCGGAGUUGAGCUAGGACCCGCAACAUAGGUGCCAAAGUCCUGAAAACGAGCAGGAAGUUGUCCAUGAGUGGAACGAGUCGGACAUAUCGUAAGAGACAUAUGAGCUCCAGGAGAAGUACUUUGUAUGGUGAUUGGCGUAGGGGAGGUAGGUGUAUGCAACCCAUGCAUGUGGAUAGGAGAAGGAGGAGUUUCUUCCCCAAUAGUGACAUCCACUUCAGGCACCAUCAUCACAUCAUCAACAUCAGCCUCAUCAUCAUCAAAAGAAGGUAAAUCCGCAGGAACAAAAGUAGUGGAUUCAAUAGACGUGUCCGACGAAGGAUAAAAGUAAACAUGCUUAACAAAAACUACAUGAUAGGCAAUUUGAUUCCAUCGUCGACCGGGAUCAUAGCACAAGUAUCCUUUAUGAUGAUCAAUGUACCUAAUGAAAACACAUCGGGAAGUACGAGACUGAAGCUUAGUUCGUUCAUGAGAGGGAAGCAGAAUAGAGCAGAGACAACCAAAGACCCGUAAAUGACCAAAAUUGGGUGGCGGAGUAAAGAGAAAGGAGUUCAACUCUCCAAAGUAGAAGUAACUUGGCAAUUAAUAAGAUAGAUAAUUGUGUGAAUUGUCUCCACCCAAAAUGUGGACGAUACCCUAGACUCAAGAAGAAGAGCUCGAGCAAGAUCGAGCACGUGUUGAUGUUUACGCUCCACCAAGCCAUUCUGUUCAGAGAAUCCUGGACAGGACUGCUGAUAUAAGAUCCCAUUAGAUUUAUAAGAAUCUUAAAGGGCAUGCCCCGAAAAUUCUCCACCGGGAUCAGAACGAAUAACUUUAACUGUCAUAUCAAACUGAGUUUGAACCACACGCAGAUACUCCUUAGCAACCGAUAACAAAUCAGACUUGAGUCGAAGAAAUUAAUCCAAGCAUAUCUAGUCUUGUGGUUAAUGAACAAGAAAAAAUAUCGAUAUCCCAAGCAUGAAGUCGCCGGAGCCGGUCCCAUAAGGUCGGUGUGAACUAAAUCAAAAGAAGCAUAUAUCUCGGUAGUACUUGAAGCGAAAGGCCGUUUAAUAGCCUUAGCCGAGAUACACUGUUUACAAGUGGGAAGAGGAGAUGAAAUCAAAGGCAAACGAUCUGGUAUAAUUUCACUGAAAUAUAAAUUUGAGACGAACUGCAUGCAGAUGACCCGAACGAGAAUGUCAUACAUUCUAAGUACGAGUAACAUUUUUAGCCAAAUAAGUAUGCCUCAAACAAGCUGAAUUUUCCAAAAUGUUAUCUGAAAUACCAAACAUAAUAUUCUCUGAAUCUGAACUACAACGCAAACUACUACUAGAAAAAGCUAGAAAACAUGAAUUUUCUCUUCGAGUCCCCUCCUUGCAAAAAUCAUCAAGGUAAAAACUCCUCCCAAAUUUACUUCAUCUCCUAAUCUACUUCUGCGUCCUCGGAUCCUGUAUAGCACAACCGGAGGGAGAGAAAGUUACAAUACAUCCACUAUUUGUCAACUGACCAACUGAACCCAAAUUCGCACAGGAGAAGGGACAUGAAGAGUUGAGGAAGCUCCAUCGUAGUAGUCUUAACACACCCAAUUUGACUGACAGACAAACGUUGCCCAUUGGCAACUUCAAUGGCAAUAUUUUGAACCUAGUAUAAUCACAAAAUAACGACAACUCACUAGUCAUAUCAUCAAAAUAACGACAACUCAAUGUGGCAAUGAUGAUGAUUACCUGAAAUACCUGCAGCCGAAAAGGCUGCCUGCAAAGCCGUUGGAAGAUAACGAGAUAAUGCUUCCUGAACAAGCACAUCAACCGAAGAAGUCGUCGUGGAAGCCGAUGUUGCCGAGGGAGUCGGAGUAGGAGAGGGAGUUGUCACAGGUUGAACGGCAAAAGCAGUAGCACGCGGUGGACGAGGAGGCUUAUUCUUCAAAGCUGGACAUUCAAGAAUUAUAUGAGCAGACUGUUUGCAGUAAUUACAAGUGUUUCGCUGCUUGCAAUGAGCUACCAGAUGCCCCAUAACAUUACAGUGGCGGCAUUUAAUAUUUGUUGGAGUUGAACCCACUUGUCCCGUAGCAGGAAGUAUCGAGAGUUCCCAUCUCCUACUCGAUUAUUAGCCGAAUAAAAUUGUGGCUCACCUGCAGCAAAAAUAGUACUAACAUUUUCCAAAACCGAGGUCUGAUUAGUUCCAUCCAACUGAGCUUGAGUGUUGAGCCGAGUCUCAACUCGAAUUAAAUCCCACAAGAUAUCUUCCAUCUCAAUAAUAUUAUUAGCUAUCACCUAAGAACGAACAGAUUCAAACUCGGGUCGGAGUUUCAUAAGAAACUGAAGAACCGUAGUGCAAUUCUUUCCUCCAAAACUUCGGAGCUAGCAGUGGACGACAACAUCGACAUAGAUAGCAAAUUCUGUUCAGUCCAGAGAUCAAGAGCAGCGGUAUAGAAACUAUUGAUAUCUCGAUCUCCUUGAGUAAGUUUUGCUAACUCAUAUUCAAAUUCAAACAAUCGAAAAGAGCUAGCUUUCGCAUAAAUCUUCUCGAGAUGGGUCCAUAUUGUUGCAGCCGUACUAUAAUUCCUUAAAGUAAGAGCAAUUUGCGCCUCCGUCGAAUUAAUCAACCAAAAGAAAACACGAGCGUUAUUCAAAUUCCAAGUAUCUCGCUCCUUCUUGAACUCAACAAGAUUGGCAACAAGUUUCAUCACGGUUGCAGCUUGAGCUGCAGCAUCUUUACCAGAAACUGAGUCAGUCAAUGACUCUUUGGAUGCUCUGUUUUCAUUUCCGCUACCAUUUACUUAUGGUAUGAGAUAUUUUAUGUUUCAGUUUAUGAGUAUGUUUAUAUGUAUUCAUGUGAUAAGUGAAUUCGCAAGUAAUGCAUGGGUUGAACCGGGUUUUCUAGAGGGGGUUUCACAAUACGAAGGUAUUAUGAGUGAAUAUCAUAUAAGUACUAAACCCACAAUACAAACGUAUGAAUACUUGAUACAUUCCUAUGUAUUCAAAAUAGUACGAUAACGUGAAUUAUUUCUAUUAUUAUUAACUCAAAAUACUAUCAAAACUGAUCUCGUUCGAUUCAUAAUUGAAUAACAAAGAUUUUGACAGAAAAUUUACUUAAAAUGGAUUAAAGAUUAAUAACUUAUGUGAGUUUAAGUGUUGUUGUUAAUAAAAAUAAGAGAGAAAAAAUUUAUGUUAAUUAUUUUACCAUACGAAUAUAUUUAUUAUUUCANNNNNNNNNNNNNNNNNNNNNNNNNNNNNNNNNNNNNNNNNNNNNNNNNNNNNNNNNNNNNNNNNNNNNNNNNNNNNNNNNNNNNNNNNNNNNNNNNNNNNNNNNNNNNNNNNNNNNNNNNNNNNNNNNNNNNNNNNNNNNNNNNNNNNNNNNNNNNNNNNNNNNNNNNNNNNNNNNNNNNNNNNNNNNNNNNNNNNNNNNNNNNNNNNNNNNNNNNNNNNNNNNNNNNNNNNNNNNNNNNNNNNNNNNNNNNNNNNNNNNNNNNNNNNNNNNNNNNNNNNNNNNNNNNNNNNNNNNNNNNNNNNNNNNNNNNNNNNNNNNNNNNNNNNNNNNNNNNNNNNNNNNNNNNNNNNNNNNNNNNNNNNNNNNNNNNNNNNNNNNNNNNNNNNNNNNNNNNNNNNNNNNNNNNNNNNNNNNNNNNNNNNNNNNNNNNNNNNNNNNNNNNNNNNNNNNNNNNNNNNNNNNNNNNNNNNNNNNNNNNNNNNNNNNNNNNNNNNNNNNNNNNNNNNNNNNNNNNNNNNNNNNNNNNNNNNNNNNNNNNNNNNNNNNNNNNNNNNNNNNNNNNNNNNNNNNNNNNNNNNNNNNNNNNNNNNNNNNNNNNNNNNNNNNNNNNNNNNNNNNNNNNNNNNNNNNNNNNNNNNNNNNNNNNNNNNNNNNNNNNNNNNNNAGCGUAUUACGUAUAUAUAUGAUGUUGAGAUUCUUAAUUAUAUCAUUAUACUCAACUAUGACUCCCAUAAACUAAGCAAGCAUACAUGAUCAAAUGGACAAAUCAGAUUAAUUAAUGACAAGUAUGUCGUAAUUAGACAACUAACCAUAAUAUAUCAAGACUGUAUCGAUGUCCAACACACCCAUGUGUUGUAAAUCAACUAAAAUAAACCUGAUUGUGGAAUAAUGUAGUUUUCCUUAACACACAAAGCAUAAUCAACUAAUUAUAUAAUAUAUAUAAACAAAUGCAAGCUAGGUAUACCCUUAGCUUGAUGACAUUACACCAAACUGAUCAUAAUAUCUCUCAUCGUCAUCAUCCUUUCUCCUUCACCUCGAUUUCCUUAGAAGCUAAAGCUAUUAUGGGUGGUGAUGAUGAUGGCUGUGUAAUGAUGAUGAAUGAUGAUGGACAAGUAGUUGACAUUAAUAGACUGUUGCUGCAGCCGGAGGAAGCUGGGUUAUGGGAUCUCAUUCUUUUACUCUGGAGCUCCGACGUCCAAAGUAGAAAAUUCGUGGAGUGCUCCCAUCAACAAGCUAAUGAGACGACGGAGGUGAACGACUUCCAUCCAAGAUGGCUGAUAUUCAUAUCCGUGGUUUUCCAGAAGUUGUUCCUUCGCUCCAAAGGCACAUUGGACAGCCUAGGCAGGGGAAUUGAGAUGUGGCUCAAUCUCCUCUCCACCAAUGCCGGAUUUCUCAACCUCCUCUUCAAUCUCCUCAUCAAGCGUAUGUAAUAUGCUGUUAUCUUAUGCUUUUGCCAGUUGGGAUAGAUAUGAUAAAAUUAAAUUGAUUUGUGGGAAUUAUAUUUCAGGGGAGGUGGAGUGGCCGCAGAGGUCAUCGGCGGAAUUCAGGUCGUUGAUUGGGAACCUUGACCUGAGUGUGGAGAUGAUGAAAACUCCAGGUCACAGGAGAUACGAGGCUGUCUUGUCGUUAAUGGCUGCAAAACUGUCGUACGAGAAUGAGGCCUUUGCUAAAUCCGUAGUCCAAGAUCGUUGGAAUGUAAGUAAUUAAUUAUUUCUAAUUAAACUAAUACCACUACAAAACAGAGAGUACGUACAGUUUUGGUUGGUUAAUUGAUUUAUGUUGUGAUGCAGAUGGAAUUCAAGGGAUUCUACGAUUUUUGGAAUGGUAAGAACAUGAUAAGUUGCUUUCAGUAUUUGUUAGUGUUUUCAUCUCAACCAUCUUAAAGUAAUUAGCAACUAAAAUUAUUUAAAAGUAAACCCUGGUUAAUAAUAAAACGCACAGUCGAGCACCUGACAGCGUCUCGUCGGCGUAAUUGUUAAUUAAUCUCUUAUUGAUACGGGUUUGGAUUUGUUAAGAAAAAUAAGAAGUAGCAUGUAGCUAGUUAAUGUUUGCUUGUUGAGCUAAACGUGAUGUUGCCUGCCUGCCAACGAUGUCUUGUUAGUCAAAUCUUCUGAUGUACAUUAUUUGAUAAAUUAUUAAUUUUAAAACCAAUCUCAUUUUUUAUCCAAUCUAGGCUGCAAUAAAGUAAGUUUGUUAAGUAUGGGAGGACACAUGGUUUCCAUCAUUUUCUAAUUAUACUUGUAGGUUGUUUAACAAAAAAAAAA
rnacentral:lncRNA from 1 species